UGAGAUUUUACAGUUUUUCAUAGUUUAGAUCGCAUCUGUCAUUCAUACCUACAGUCCAUGAAAAAGCCACAAAAAAAAGUUAGAUCUGUUCAUCCUUUAUCCAAGCCAGUCUGAGCCUUUGCAAUUUUCUAUUCAUUGCUUGCAUAGUUGAAUUAUCGGUUGCAUUGUCGUGUCAGUUGCUGGUCUUAGUGUCUAGUUCCUUUAGAGUUUCGAGUUCUGUUCACAUUAGUCACGCCGCCGCUGCAUCAUUAUCCCUUCCGUUGUCCACCAUCCCAUCUAUUAAUUUCCACCACGUGCUACGCACUGUUCAUUAUCAUAAUCAUAGUUGAGGUCAUUCACAUCUUCGCCUAAUCCAAUCUGCAUCUUAUCUAGUUUGUCUUGGAAAGAGGGAAAAAAAAGAGAGAGAAAAAAAAAGAAAAAAAAGGAAAGAAAAAAAAGAAAAAGAGAGAGAAGAAAAAGAAAAAAAAGUGUGAGAAAAAAAAUGAGAGAAAAAAAAUCGAAUCUAUCUAGAAUCAAUCUCGUACCUGAAUUCGGAUUGGAAUCUAUUUUGCGCACUGUUCAGUAAAACAGGUGUAUCUUCCUCAUACGAAGUCCGUUUUGGCUCCGUUAGUACUCAAAUUGAAGCUAGAGACGAGCCGCAUCUAAAUAGUUGUAGAAGCUAGUUCAAUAUUUGACACCUCAAAAUCGGCUUCUAAAUAGGUCUUUUUGUCCUCUGAAGUUCGUGAACACAGCUUGUUCCAAUUUUUCAGGCCAGUUUUAGAAUUCUUUGACUCCUCAUAUCAACUCGGAAUUGAGUGAUUCUUUUUGCAUUGGAAAGCAUGAGUUAGUAGCAUUCUUUGAAAGAAUUUAUCAGAAAAUUGUCUCAAACUUUUCAAGAGAAAAGUUGGAGAGAGAGUUGUUGUAUAUCCUGCUUGGCAGUUGUUUUUCAUCAUUAUCUUCACUGCCGUUGUGAUCUUCACUUAUAUCUUGCUGUCAAGAGCUACUUAGUAUCCUUCAUUGAUGCUAGUUGUGCUACGCCAUGACCUCAUUAGUGUUCUAGGCUCGCGUCUCUAGUCCGGUCUAGCCUAGGACCAGCACAGUACCGUCGUUGAGCGUUUAUUCAACAUUGCAUCUUUGAAUUGAUUAUUGCUAAUUUUUUUGCUACCAUAUAUAGCCAACCCAGCUCCACAUAUUUCUACACCGUGUAUACGUACGCUCCCCUGGCAAUCACUUUACUCAAUAUUCAGAGUUACUUGACACCGCUGGUUGCCGAUCACCGCCUGCUGCAUGGUAAGAACGUGUAAGACAUUGAUAUUUGCUUUACUGUGAGCGUUUUACCACCACAUCCUAGUAGUUAUAGGAACAUUAUUUUUGGGUUUUGUUUCUUGUUCUACUAAUCAUGACAGGAUCCAGAGUCAAUUCAUGGGCUUCGUCGAUCGCGGGAGACGUGCCACCACCUUUGCAAAUACCACAACCGUCACGAGAGGUGCACAGACAUCCAAAUGCGCAUGAUCAGGUUAAUGUAUCUAUACCACCAUUUAAUGGCCGUUUGAAACCUGCUUUAUAUAUUGAAUGGGGGUUCGACAUAAAAAAUAUAUUUGCUUCCCAUAAUUUCAAUGAACAUAAAAAGGUUAAGGUUGCGGUUGGUUCUUUCACUGGUUAUGCUUUGGUUUGGUGGAGUGAAUAUUGUCGGUUACACCCUGAUUAUAUACCUACUACUUGGGAUGAUUUGAAACUUGCCAUGCGACAUACUUUCGUCCCUGCUUAUUAUACUCGUGACAUGAUUAAGAAGUUGCAACACUUAAAACAAGGUAGUGAAACUAUAACAAAAUAUUAUAAUGAUUUACAAACUACCUUGUUGCAUUCCUCUUUAGAAGAAAGUGAAGAUGAUUUUGUGGAUAGAUUUUGGGGAGGAUUAAACCGUGAUAUUCAAGAGAUACUAAUUCAUGAAGAGUGUUAUCCUAUGGACCAUUUGUUUCAUCUUGCUUGCAAAGCUGAACAGGAAAUAAAACGACGUGUUGGCCACGAGGAGAACAAGCGCACGGUGCACAUUCCAAGAGUUGAUAUGAUUGUUCCUUCAACUACUAGGCAUACUAUGACAACCACAUCCGUUGUUGUCAGGACUACAUCACCUCCACCAUGUGACACAUCGCCCCCGAGAGUGGCUACAUCAUCUGAGUUGAUCAUAAGAGGUAAUGACAAAGGUACUGAUCUUCCAUCUCUAUAUGAGAAUGAUGAAUGCCUUGUCAAUUUGAAUGCACCAUCUGAUGAGCUACCCACUACUUUGAUCACACCACCUAUUUUAGAGGACUACGUUGAUAAUUUGACUUUGCCAUGUGAUCAAACAACUGAAAUACCAACAAUUUUGAGUGCACCCAUUGAAUUAACUAUUGAUGCAAAAGAACCAAUGUUUAAUCAUUUUGAUAUGACCUCUAAUCUUGGUGAUGAUUCUUUGUUGAAUGACUUAUUGCAUGUUUGCUUAUUUAAGCAUGUUGUAGCAUGUAAAUUUGAUGCAAGUAAGGUUUAUUCACCAAUGUUGGGAUGGUUUAAUGAUGAACAUUGUCAAUCUUUUGAAAUGAAUAAGAGCUUCACUUAUAUGUGCAAACUGAGUUGCAAUAUUUUCAUGCCUUCUACUUCUUGUGCUAAUUUUUUGGCUUUAGAUUUUAUGAACUAUGCAAGUUACGCAUCUAUUCAUGUGUCAUAUAUGCAAAAAUCAAGGGAAGUAAAAAUGGAUGACAUAUACAUGUACAACAUGUACACCUUGUCUCUUUUGUUAGCCACAUUUCAGAUUAAGCAACGCCGAGGACGGCUUUAUUUUCAAGAAGGGGAGGAUGAUGAGGACAUGACUACCUUGGAUAUGACCAAAAAUAUUGCAUAUAUGCAUAUUUGUCAGGUGAUUUCUAGUGCAAACUAUUCAAUAAUCUAUUUAUGUUAUCCAGAACAAAAAUACUUCACACACUUUUGUGUUUUGUCCAAUUGCAGGUGUAUGGGACAUUUGUACAAUCCACAUAUGAAGAUAAGGAAGAAAGAGAUGUUUAUUUGCUGUCCAAAAAGUUCUCUCACGUCACUUUUGGCCCAAGAGAAGAUAGAGUCCAAGUCUCUCACGUUCUGGAUUCAGAUUCGGACUGCACAGACACACCUGACUCAAAACGCACACAAGUUUUUCAUACGGACUCCGAAUUGGGUGAUUCUUUUUUUGUUGGAAACUAGAUUUCGUGCACUUUCCAACACAAUUGGAAUCACCUUCAAAUUCGUCCGGAGCGUUGAGUUGUGGACGAAACAAUCUGAUGCUGCAGCAAAAUCCGAGUCAAACUACAAGUCCAAAGGUGUUACAUCACCUCCACUUGGGCCCAUUGGCCUUGUACGACCUAGAUUUAGUCUUAGGCUGCCUUGGGACGUCCUCCCACCUCCUUGGCCGCCACCCCUUGCUCCUAUAUAAGUAGAUCCAUCUAGUAGCUUUUCCUUGGGAUUUGUUUAGUUAAAAGUUAGCCAUUGCAACUUCGUGUACUUCGGUUGUGUCCAACGACCAGACCAAGACCGCUUACGGAUCCCCGCCUUUAUCAAUACUUCAUAUAUACUCGCAAUAUUCAGAUUGCUUUUAUCAUAUUCUUGCUUGUUCUUCGAUUGCUUGCAGGAAUAGACCUUCGUGGUCAGGUUGAUUGUGCUCCAGCGUGGUCAAUAACCUCUCGGAGUUGGUUUAGCGAUUGCUAAGGCGCAACGUCGUGCACGUUUGUAGUCGGAUCGUCAAAGUCGUCUCCACCAAAUCGAUAGUUAUCAUCUCAUCGAAAGAUCGGGACACCCCGCCUCUAUCAGGCAACCUCAAUUCCCUGUGUUUUUGUAGUUUUAUUAUAUAAACCAACUAGUGAUAAAACAAGAAACUAAAAGAUUCAAUUGCAAGAUCUAAAGAUAUAUCUUCAAGCACUCACCUCCCCGGCAACGGCGCCAGAAAAGAGCUUGAUGUCUACUACACAACCUAUUCUUGUAGACUCGUGUUGGGCCUCCAAGCGCAGAGUUUUGUAGGACAAUAGCAAUUUCCCCUCAACUGGAUGACCUAAGGUUUAUAAAUCCGUUGGAGACGUGGGGUGAAGAUGGUCUCUCUCGAACAACCCUGCUAUCAAAUACAAGAAAUAUCUUGUGUCCCCAACGCAGGCAAUACAAUGGCAAAUUGUAUAGGUGCACUAGUUCUGCGAAGAGAUGGUGAUACAAGUGUAGUAUGGAUAGUAGAUAUUGGUUGUUGUAAUGUGAACAACAAGGUAGCAAGUAACAAAAGUGAGCACUAACGGUAUUAGAAUGCUUAGAAACAAUGCCUAGGGUCAUACUUUCACUUGUGCAAUCUCUCAAUAGUGCUAACAUAAUUGAAUCAUAUAACAAUCCCUCAACAUGCGGCAAAGAGCACUCCAACGUUCUUAUCUAGAGGAGAAUAUAAGAUGAAAUUGUUUGUAGGGUAUGAAACCACAUCAAAGCUAUUCUUUCCGAUCAAUCUAUUGAGCUAUUCCUAUAAGUGUCACAAACUGCCCUAGAGUUCGUACUAAAAUAACACCAUAUGAUACACAUCAACAAACUCUAGUGUCACCUAGCUAGAUACUCCAAUGUCACCACGAGUAUCUAUGAGUUGAUUAUAUGAUAUGCAUCAAACAACUUCAGAUUCAUAAUAUUCAAUCCAAGACAAAGAACUUCAAAGAGUGCCCCAAGAUUUCUACCGAAGAAAGUAGGAGGAAAGCAUGCAUCAACCCUUAUGCAUAGAUUACCCCAAUGUCACCUCGGGAAUCCACGAGUUGAGUGCCAGAACAUACAUCAAGUGAAUCAAUAUAAUACUCCAUUGUCACCACGGAUAUUCAUAUGCAAGACAUAAAUCAAGUGUUCUCAAAUCAAUAAAAGUAUUAAUUCUGAUAAUGGUGAAACCUCAAGGUAAAAACUCAAUUCAUCACAACAAGAUAGAGAGGGAGAAACACCAUAUUAUUGAACUAUAUUAACAAAGCUCGCGAUACAUCAAGAUCGUGCCAAAUCAAGAACACGAGAGAGAGAGAGAGAGAGAGAGAGAGAGAUAAAAAACAUAGCUACUGGUACAUACCCUCAGCCACGAGGGUGAACUACUUCUUCCUCAUCAUGGUGGCCGCCGGGAUGAUGAAGAUGGCCACCGGUGAUGAUUUCCCCCUCCGGCAAGGUGCUGAAACAUUGCCCUGAUUGAGUUUUCUUGGAUACAGAGGCUUGCGGCGGUGGAACUUCUCAUCUAGGAUUCUUUUGGAGGUUUGGGUAUUUAUAGGAAUUUUUGGCGUCGGUCUCAUGUCAAGGGGGGCCCACAAGGGGCGACAAGCUUGGGGGGCGCGCCCUCCCAGGCUUGUCGUGCCCUCGUGGCUCUUCUGGCUUGGCUGUGGUGCUCCGUGGGUCUCUUCUGGUCCAUAAAGAAUCAACAUAAAUUUUCAGUCCAUUCCGAGAACUUUUAUUUCUGCACAGAAAACACCAGCACGGUAGUUCUGCUGAAAACAACGUCAGUCCGGGUUAAUUCUAAUGAAAUCAUACAAAGUCACAUAAAAUUGUUGUAAACAUGGCAUGAAUACUUCAUAAAUUAUAGAUAAGUUGGAGACGCAUCAGAAACUAACAAACUAUCACUACUAGGGAAAAUGUUAUACACAGAACUUUAGCAGUAGCGCUUGUUAAAAAAGCUCGCUACUGCUAGACAGCAGUAGCGCGUGCCAAAUAAGCGUGUUGCAGAUGCAUAUAUAGCAGUAGCGCGUCUCGCUGAAAACUCGCUACUACUAAAAUUUCGACCACUAAGCCGACGGGCUACACAUAGUAGUAGCGAUCUUUCAGAAAAUGCGCUGUCGCUAAUAUUCUUAUAGCAGCGCGUUUACGUGUAAAGCGCUACUGCUAACGAAAAUAAAAUAAAAUGAAAAACAAAUAGAAAAGUAAAUGAAAAUGAAAGAAAUAGAAAAAGGAGAAAGGAAAAAUAUAAAAUAUAAAGAAGAAUAAACGAAAGAGGGAAAAAAAGGAUGAAGGAAUAGCAGUAGCGCGUUUGUGAAAACGCGCUAUAGCUAACUUAGCUAUAGCGCGUUUUCCCGAACGCACUACCAUUAUUUUUGACUUAACCCAAAAAACGGUUUCCCCCGGCCACCACUUCUCCCCCAAAUCCCUCGCCCCACUCUUCAUCGCCGUCUCCCCCACUUCACCGUCGCCCCCACUUCACCGCCAUCUCCUGCCAGCGUUGACGCCACGCUCAUCCUCACCGCCACUGCCCGAGGCCACCCAGCCUCUCUGCCUCCGCCUCUUGGGCCGCCCUCAACCUCACUGUCACCGUCCUCGACCUCUCUGCCGCUGCACUCAACCUCACCGCCCCCGAGCCCGCCCAGGAGCGUCGCCUCUCGAUCCUGAGCCCGCCCUCACCGCCCCUACCUCCGUCGCCGAGCACCUCCCCGCCACCGUCUCUCCCCUCUCUGUAAGCCCCCCACCCCUCCCCAACCCCCUCUGUGUAAGCCUAGCGGUAGAUGUUAAUUAGUACUAGGGUUCAUACAUAAUGAUUUUUAGUAGUAGUAGUUGAUGUUAAUUAGUAGUAGUGAUUGUACUAGUUAACUAGGGCGAUAUGGUUAAUAGUAGAUGCUUUUUAGUUAGGGUAAUAAUAGAUGUUAAGUAGUAGAUAAUGUUGAUGUUAAUUAGUUCAGUAGGGUUUAGUUUUUGAAUUGAGUUUCUUUAACUAGAUGUUAAUUAGGGCAGUAGGAUUUAGUUUAGAGUAAAGUAAUUUAGUUCAGUAGUUAACUAAAUAUAAUCUAUAUUUGGUUUUUGAAUUGAGUUUGAUAGAGCAUGAUAUUUGUGUAGAUUUUCUUGUAGUGUCAAACGCUAGGACAUGCAAAUUUGAAGUGGUCAGGAUAUAUGCAAAUUCCUCAAUUGUGUUUGCACAUGCAUGUUUCGAUUGUGCCCAAGUGGCCUUUUGUUGUUUCCAGGGAAUGAAGCCGAGUGGCCUAUGUUUUGCUGGAAUGUUGAUUCAUUUUUGUUCCGGCAAAUUUCAGGUUCUCGAUUUGUCCACUUUUUAGCAAAGGUCAUGCCGAAAUUUUCCGUGAAUUUCGGCAUGACUUGUGCUACAAACUAGGACAUAUCGAGUGCCCGGGAUUUGCCGCACCGGGAAGGAGUCAACAUUCCUGCAAAACAAUAGGCCUUUUUAUGUCAUUAUUCAUUUUAUUAGGUCUAUAAUUAAUUGACUAGAUUUAGUCGUAGGAAACAUGGCUAGCAACAAUGAAGGGCAGGGUUCUGGUGAUUGCGACGACGUCCACCGGGCGGCUGACGAUUUUUUGAGCCUUGCCGACAAUCAACCGAUGUUGUUGCUGGGCCCACCGGUGGCAUCGGGGACUGAGACCAACACACAGACCGGUGCUGAGACUCAGACCGGCAUCGAGACCGGCGCUGAGACUGAGACCGGCGCUGCCUCGGGGAGUGGAGCCGGUGUAGAACCAAAAGCAAAGAGGAAACGACUUCCUAACAAACUCAGGACUACUAGACUGAUGGUCAUGGAGUUGGACGAUGGCAAUUUUGAGCCAAACGCGCCCGAGGAAUCACGCGCGUGCUACGGCAAUCAAAUAGGCUGCAUCGUAUGGACAACCGCACCAUCAACGAUGAGAAACUACAGAAGAUAGAUAAUAUGAGGCCCUCCCUCCUAAAGAAGUUUCACCAGAUAUUCUUGUUCCCGGGCCGGAAUGAAAAGGAUUAUGAAGAUCCAGAUAAGGACCCGACAAUGAAGAAGAUAAAAAAACAUGCCAUGACCAAGUUUAGCGAUCCGUUGGCCUCCUGGAAAACAAGGGUGAAAGCAAGGAUCAUCGACAAGAAGGAACCCUACUCCGAGAUUGUAAAGGAUAAUCCGACAAUCACGGAAGAGCAGUUUCAAAUAUUCAAGGCGACUUGCGAGGCCGAAGCUGCCAAAAAAAAUCUAAGUACAUGAAGGGGCUUCAAGAGAGGAACAUUGGGAGCCACCACCUCGGAAGCCGUGGUUACGGCGGGAAGAGGUCGAAAUGGGCCAAGGAGGACGCGGAAGCCGCGAGUCUGGGCAUCCCAGACCCCUUGGCGGAGUUCACCGUCCCGCAGGAGCGUGCUGUCCUUAGGGCCCGACACCGCUAGGACCCGGUGAAGAAGGUUUAUGAGACAAACGUGGUCACGACGGAGUCCAUUAGACUGCUAGUAAUUUUAGUUUCUAAUCAAUUCGACGCACACGUUAGUCAUAUUUGUAAACGAUCCUUGUACCUUUUGCAAAGAGAGCAGCACAGGAUUGCGGUCGAAAGCGACUCGCCGUCUGAGGCAUUGGCGAGGCCCAAGUGGGACACUCCAUUCAACCGGGCGUUGAACAUAUUGAAGCGACUCCCAGUGGAGACUCGACCGUCGUAUGGACGCGUGCACGGUGUCGGAUACGGCGCCACGUGGAAGAAGUACUACCGUGAGACCACAGAGGAGAGAAAGGAAAGACGGAGGUUAACUAGAAAACAUCGACAAGAAGGUUGAGAUUGUGGUCGAGAAGAAAUCAUCUCAGACAGUUGCAACAAUGGUAGCUGCCGCAAAACAGGUGGUUGUAGAUAUGUCUACUUCCUUGGUUCCGGCCGUUUUCAAUUGGACCAGGCAAAAUCUAGAAAAAAAUGCAGCAGACUUUCCCCUUGCUGACUUCUUGGGGAGCAGCUCGGCUAGCGUUGCACCAGCACCUGCUCCCGCACCGGACGUGCUCAGCAGUGCUUCGUCUUUGGCUGAGCUCGACGCCCUCGCGGUAUCUGUAACACCGGCCCCUUCAAUAAAUGUAUGAUCUCCCGUUUUCAUUGCCUUCUGGAUGUCUCACAUCGCAGACUUUUCUUUGCAGGCCGACGAAACCCCGUGCACCAUAUUGUACACCAUCGGUGACCAGAAGGUAGAUGUGGGGAAGGCGACAAUAAUGGAGCCGAAGGAACCAUUGUUCCAUAGCCGGCCGAUCCCCCCGAAUGUCUUCAAAGUUUCCGUGGCCAGUGUCAAACCGGGCCACGAGAAUUUGCCUCCUCUGAUACUAGUGGGGGAUGACGACGAUACCCCGCGGCGGUUUGGUGAUUGUUGCAAUGGUUGGGUCCUGUUGUGGCCAAAGAGUCUUCUUUGUCUGGAGGCGGUCGGGAGCACACCCACGAGCACGCAGCCUCAGCAAGGUAUGAACAUCAACACCCCACCUACCCAAUUAGCGUCGGGUGUCGGGUUGGGUGAUAGCGGAUGGGGUAAGGAAGAGGCUCCAUUAGUCGCUGAUGACGUUUCCAUGGAUGAGGAUGAGGAUGAUGAUGGCACUCAAUAGUAUGUCUAUACUGGCACCUACUCAGGGUUUGAGCGUCAUGAGUCGGUGCCUGAAUUUCCGUCUCCGGAGGCUGAACCUAUUAUGGACGACCUUCCAGUAGUAAAGAAGUCUAGGAAGAGAGCGAGGAAAGGCAAAAAAGCUGAUUCUAUGAUCCAGCCGCCUCAGCAGCCUCGGCUUUAGGACCAUAUAGAUAUCCCCGAUGCGGAUAAAUGGCAUAUCCCCGGUCAACCAAUCCUACAUGCAAGAGCGCUAGGGGCCACAUUCGGCGAUCUAGGGAGACUUCAUGACGAUGUGCUGCGGAUAGAGAAAUGCCUCAUCGCCUUGAAAGAUCCAGGAUACCCACUCUACGUGGUUAACGUUCCGUGGCAAUUGUCGUACGUCGACUGCUUCCCCGCGGAUAAGUUCUUCCUUCGAUUCCAUUACAUAUUCGACAUGUUUCACGUGAAGAAGCUGGAUUUUACGUUUGUCCGCCUUUAUGCCUUGCACAUGAACUACAUCAUCGGGGUUGAGCAGAUACCUCAUAUCUAUGUUGUUGAGCCGUACUACAUGCACGAGGGCUUCUUGGGAGUCUGCGCAAAGCACCAUGAAUAUGCGAGGGAAUACAUCGUCGGUUUCAUGCUCGCCAAUAAGGACAAGGAGGCGAUUCUCAUGCCUUAUCAUCGCGUGUAAGUCAUCCGCGCGGAUAUCCUUCCUUAGAUUUCAAUCAUUCAUUUGCACGGUGGAGGCUAAUUAAUUUGAGGUGUACUUAUUUUGCACAGCGGCGGGCGCGCCGUCCUCAUAAUCCUCUACCCCCGAUACUCCCACGCUCUUUACUUGGACUCAUCGAAGAACAUUCACAAAAAGGAUUACACCCACAUUAAGGAUGUUCUCGACAGUGCUACGUUUUACUACCAAGCACGAGGUGGAGAGGUCAAGGACAAGAAGAGAAGGGGCGGCUGGCUUGCCUUCGGCCAUAAGACCGACUUCUGUUGCAUCCAGCAACCGAGUGAUUCUCUUAAUGAUGGAUUCUAUGUCCUACACCACAUGCUGGAGUACAGACGGGAUCACCAGAACCUUCGCAUGUCACCUAGAUCUGGCGAUGCCCAUAUUCUGCAAUGGGCAAAGGACGUAGGAGAUAUUGAGGAUCAUCGACUUCGAGCUGAGUUCUAUAACAUCCAGCGCGAACUUGCCCAAAUCAUCAUGAAGGAGGUCGUCAGAAAAACAGGGAUGUUCUACGAAGAAGGACAAAUGUUGCGGGAAGACGUCCGAACAUGGGUAGCCUCUCAGCGUCUCGACAUGAAGCCUUUCACUAAGCUCGGGGACUAUCUCCUUAACAUCGAUGGAUGGCACGACAUGUUGGAGUGAUUGUCGAUAUAUGACAAUGUGUCCCUUUAGUCCAUACUUUAUGUAUGACAAAACUUUGAGUUAUGCACGGCGAAACUUUAUUUGUGAUGUAAUUAAUCCGUCCUCCUUUUGUGCUGCGGGGGUACGAUGAACUUUGUUAUUUAUGCUUAUGAUAUGUUGUUUCUAUUUUUGCCAAGUCUGUCUCUUUCUAUUGCUCAACUAUAUAUGUUGCAUAUCAUCGACUCAUGUGACGAUGCAGGUGCAUAGAUCAUCGAUGGCAAAGAAGUGCUACGCCAGGAGUGUAUAUAUGAUGAGUGGCCGGAGUGUCAGGCCCAGGUGUACCGGUUUCCGGUUUCCGAGCGAUAGGCAGUAGUUAGUUUAGGUUCACGCUAAUGCGAGAGACUUGUAUCGCUAUUUUCGAGAUGAUGACAAGUGACCACUUUGUGUUGGAUGAUGAUUAUGAUGAUGCCAUGAUUUGAUGAGAUUAGUUGUAGUAUAUGCUAUGAUUAAAUUUGUAUGUGUAUGAUAGCGCAUCGUCCCGCGCUACUGAUAGGCCUAAAACCCGCGCUGCUGCUGGGCUUUUCCCUAGUAGUGUAUGGUUUCAGUCAUGGAAACAAUCACAAUCCAUCAUAUUUCAGAAAGAGAGUCUAUGUAAGAGCUUUGUUUAGCAAGUUCACAUACUCAACUAUCAUUUAGUCUUCUAUGAUUACUGACACUCAAGGCAUAUUCAUAGAGAAAACUUUUCAGUCAGACACAUAGAAAGAUAGGGGCUUAUGGUUUUGCCACCGAACUUAUUUACCUCAAGGGUAAUGUCAACAAUAAUAACUCAUGAUCACCUACAUUCAAUGGGAUAUAUAUAGCUGGAUCUAUCCACCAUAUGAUGCUUGCCACUAAAGAGUACAUAGGGAGGAAUAGGAUGAACACUAUUGACUAUUGCAUAAAAAUAAAUUCACGAAAGUAAAAGAUAGGCCCUUCACACAGGGAAGCACAUGUUGUCAUUGCUUUUUUUGGAUGUGCAAACUCUUAAUGUAAAGCAACGUCACUUUAUAUUGCCCCUUGAUAACCCACAAGUGUAGGGGAUCGCAACAAUUUUUGAUAAGUAAGAGUGUCGAACCCAACGAGGAGCUAAAGGUAGAAUAAAUGUUCCCUCUAGUUCUAUUGACCACCGAUACAACUCUACACACACUUGACGUUCGCUUUACCUAGAACAAGUAUGAAACUAGAAGUACUUUGUAGGUGUUGUUGGAUAGGUUUGCAAGAUAAUAAAAAGCACAUAAAUAAAAGCUAGGGGCUGUUUAAAUAAAGAUGCAAUAAAGUAAAUAUAGCGAGUGUGGAUAAGUGGUGGUAGGAGUUGUGGAAUUGUCCCUAAGCAAUUGACUAUGUUACUAGACCGGUAAUCACUAUUGCAAUUCUAUUUGAGGGAGAGGCAUAAGCUAACAUACUUUCUCUAGUUGGAUCAUAUGCACUUAUGAUUGGAACUCUAGCAAGCAUCCGCAAAUACUAAAGAUUCAUUAAGGUAAAACCCGACCAUAGCAUUAAAGUAUCAAGUCCCCUUUAUCCCAUACGCAACAAUCCCCUUACUCGGGUUUGUGUUUCAGUCACUCACGCAACCCACUAUAAGUGAAUCAUGAACGCAUUGCAACACCCUACAUCGGGAAUCCCUCAUGAUUGCGCGACACAGAGGGCACCAUAGGACAGCACCAAUAAUAAAACAUGCAACUCAAACCAAUCAUAGCAAUUCAUCAAUCACCGAUAGGACAACGAAAAUCUACUCAGACAUCAUAGGAUGGCAACACAUCAUUGGAUAAUAAUAUGAAGCAUAAAGCACCAUGUUCAAGUAGAGGGUACAGCGGGAUACGGGAGAGUGGACCGCUGGAUAUAGAAGGGGGAAGGUGAUGGAGAUGUUGGUGAAGAUGACGGCGGUGUUGGUGAAGAUCGCGGUGAUGAUGAUGGCCCCCGGCAGCGCUUCGGCGCCACCAGAAGCAAGGGGGAGAGAUGCCCCCUUCUUCUUCUUCUUCUUUCUUGACCUCCUCCCUAGAUGGGAGAAGGGUUUCCCCUCUGGUCCUUGGCUCCCAUGGCUUGGGAGGGGCGAGAGCCCCUCCAAGAUUGGAUCUAUCUCUCUGUUUCCGCGUUCUAUGUUUCUGCCCCUUCACCGUUUCCUUUAUAUCUGGAGAUCCGUAACUCCGAUUGGGGUGAAUCUUUCGCCCAGAUUUUUCUCGUAAAAUGAGCUUUCUUGCGGCAAAAGAAGGGCAUCAACCGCCUUACGGGUGGCCCACGAGAGUCCAGGGCGCGCUCAGGGUGGGGAGGGCGCGCCCCCUGUCUCGUGGCCACCCCGGACACCAUUUCGAGUUGAUUCGUCCUCCGGAAAAUCCCAAAUAUUCCAAAAUAAUUCUCCGUCCAUUUUUAUCCCGUUUGGAUUCCGUUUGAUAUUGGGUUUCUGCGAAACAUAAAACAUGCAACAAACAGGAACUGGCACUGGGCACUGGAUCAAUAUGUUAGUCCCAAAAUUAAUAUAAAAAGUUGCCAAAAGUAUAUGAAAGUUGUAGAAUAUUGACAUGGAACAAUCAAAAAUUAUAGAUACGAUGGAGACGUAUCAGCAUCCCCAAGCUUAAUCCCUGCUCGUCCUCGAGUAGGUAAAUGAUAAAAAAGAUAAUUUUUGAUGUGGAGUGCUACCUAGCAUAAUCUUGAUCAUAUGUCUAAUCAUGGCAUGAAUAUUAAGACACGAGUGAUUCAAAGCAAUAGUCUAUCAUUUGACAUAAAAAUAAUAAUACUUCGAGCGUACCAAUAAAGCAAUCAUGUCUUUUCAAAACAACAAGGCCAAAGCAAGCUUAUCCCUACAAAAUCAUAUAGUUUGGCCAUGCGUCAUUUUCGUCACACAAAAUGCUCCCAUCAUGCACAACCCCGAUGACGAGCCGAGCAAUUGGUUCAUACCUUUUAACGCGCUUCAGCUUUUUCAACCCUCACGCAAUACAUGAGCGCAAGCCAUGGAUAUAUCACUAUAGGUGGAAUAGAAUAUGAUGAUGGAGGUUAUGUGGAGAAAACAAAAAAUGAGAAAGUCUCACAUCGACGCGGCUAAUCAACGAGCUAUGGAAAUGCCCAUCAAUUUAUGUCAAUGCGAGGAGUAGGGAUUGCCAUGCAACGGAUGCACUAGAGCUAUAAGUGUAUGAAAGCUCAAACUGAAAACUAAGUGGGUGUGCAUCCAACUUGCUUGCUCAUGAAGACCUAGGGGAUUUGAGGAAGCCCAUCAUUGGUAUAUACAAGCCAAGGUCUAUAAUGAAAAUUCCCACUAGUAUAUGAAAGUGACAACAUAGGAGACAAUCUAUAUGAAGAACAUGGUGCUACUUUGAAGCACAAGUGUGAAAAAAAAGGAUAGUAACAUUGCCCCUUUUCUUUUCUUUUUUUUUCUUUUUUUCUUUUUUCUUUUUUGGGUGGGCUUCUUUGGCCCCCUUUUUUAUUUAGGCUUCUUUGGCCUUUCCUUUUUUUUCUUUUUCCUUUUUUUUCAUGGGGCAAUGCUCUAUAAUGAUGAUCAUCACACUUUUAUUUACUUACAACUCAAUAUUACAACUCGAUACUAGAACAAAGAUAUGACUCUAUAUGAAUGCUUCCGGCGGUGUACCGGGAUGUGCAAUGAUCUAGCGUAGCAAUGACAUCAAAAAAUGGACAAGCCAUGAAAACAUCAUGCUAGCUAUCUUACGAUCAUGCAAAGCAAUAUGACAAUAAAUGCUCAAGUCAUGAAUAUGAUGAUGAUGGAAGUUGCAUGGCAAUAUAUCUCAGAAUGGCUAUGGAAAUGUCAUGAUAGGUAGGUAUGGUGGCUGUUUUGAGGAAGAAAUAAUGAGGCUUAUGUGUGAUAGAGCGUAUCAUAUCACGGGGUUUGGAUGCACCGGCGAAGUUUGCACCAACUCUCGAGGUGAGAAAGGGCAAUGCACGGUACCGAAGAGGCUAGCAAUGAUGGAAAGGUAAAAGUGCGUAUAAUCCAUGGACUCACAUUAGUCAUAAAGAACUCAUAUACUUAUUGCAAAAGUUUAUUAGCCCUCGAAGCAAAGUACUACUACGCAUGCCCCUAGGGGGAUAGAUUGGUAGGAAAAUACCAUCGCUCGUCCCCGACUGCCACUCAUAAGGAAGACAAUCAAAGAAACACCCCAUGCUUCAAAUUUGUCACACAACGGUUACCAUACGUGCAUGCUAUGGGACUUGCAAACCUCAACACAAGUGUCUCUACAAUCCACAACCACCCACUAGCAUGACUCUAAUAUCACCAUCUUUAUAUCAAAAAACUAUUGCAAGGAAUCAAACAUAUCAUAUUCAGCGAUCUACAAGUUUUAUGUAGGAUUUUAUGACUAACCAUGUGAAUGACCAAUUCCUGUCAUCUCUCUAAAUAGAUAUAAGUGAAGCAAGAGAGUUUAAUUCUUUCUACAAAAGAUAUGCCCACACUCUAACAAAUAUAAGUGAAGAAAAAGAGCAUUCUAUAAUUGGCGGGUUUCUAUGUAAAGAGAAACAUGCAAUCCAACUUCAAAUGAUAUAGGUGAAGCACAUGAAGCAUUCUAUAAAGCCACAAUCAAAAGAUUUAAGUGAAGUGCAAUGAGCAUUCUAUUAAUCAACCAAUGACUAUCUCAUACCAGCAUGGUGCAUAAAAGAAAAGUGAAAACUAAAUGCAAAAGAUGCUCCAAGACUUGCACAUAAUGCAUAGCGAAUACGAAAACAUACUGAUACUUGUUGAAGAAAGUGGGGAUGCCUUCCGGGGCAUCCCCAAGCUUAGACGAUUGAGUCUCCUUGAAUAUUUACUUGGGGUGCCUUGGGCAUCCCCAAGCUUGAGCUCUUGCCUCUCUUUCUUUUCCUCAUAUCGAGACCUCCUCGUUUAGACACUUCAUCCACACAAAACUUCAACAGAAAACUCGGUAAGAUCCGUUAGUAUAAUAAAGCAAAUCACCACUCUAAGUACUGUAGCAAACCAAUUCAUAUUUUUGUUUUUGCAUUGUGUCUACUGUAAUAUAACUUUUUCAUGGCUUAAAUCCACUGAUAUAAAUUGAUAAUUUCAUCAAAAGAAGCAAACUAUGCAUCAAAAACAGAAUCUAUCAAAAACAGAACAGUCUGUAGCAAUCUGAACAUCCAGCAUACUUAUGGUACCCCAGAAAUUCUACCAAAGUUAGGAAAAAUAAACAAGUUGUAUAGCAAGACAGUGCAAUAGGAAUCAGAACCAAUUGACGUUCCAGUUAAAAAUGUAAAAUCGAGCACUACAGCUAAAGUUUCUGUCCUACACCGUACAAACCAACAAGCAUUGUAAACAUCCUAAAGGCAAACCUUGGCACAUUAUUUUUAUAAUACAAUGGAAUUGUACAAGGGGAUAAUUAUUUUUGUUGAAAUUUUUUUGUAAUCAAGAUUCACAAAGUUUCCGUGAGCAUGAACAAAGUUCAAGGAGCUCUCCCAUGUAACGCCCCGGAUUUGAUGCGCUAGGUGUCUGCCAGUUAUUCGCCGUCAUUGCCAUGUCAUUUGCUUGCGUGUUGCAUAUUGCCAUGUCAUCAUCUGCAUUUCAUUUGCAUGUUUUUCAAAACUUGCAUCCGUUCGGGUUCCCCCGGUUCUCUCCGUUGUCCGUUAGGAGUCCAGACCUCUCGUGCGCGCCCGUCGCCCCUCUCAGACCUUGUUUUCGUUAGCAGGUUAAAAACGUUCUCGGAAUGGACCGAGGUUUGCCGAGUGGCCUUGGUAUAGCACUGGUAGACCGCCCGUUAAGUUUUGUGCCAUUUAGAGGUUGUUUGAUACUCCAACGGUUAACCGGGUAACCGUAAAAGCCCUCUUUGUGUUGCAGCCCAACGCCCCUUCAAAGUGGCCCAAAACCCAUCCAAACCCCCUCCAUGCUCUCGGUCGUUCGAUCAUGAUCGCGUGGCCGAAAACCGCUCCUCAUUUGGACUCUCCUAGCUCCCUCUACCUAUAAAUAUGCCCUCCCCGUCCAAAUUCGCGGUCUAAUCCUACCCUAACCCUAGCCCCGCUCCCCUCGCGCCGCCGGACAUGUCCGCUUCCCCGCCGGACAUGUCCGCGUCUCCGCCCGCGACCAACCGGCAUCCGCCACGCGUCCCCGCGGCCCUCCUCUCUCCACCGCGCGCCGCCACGGGCCCGCUGAGCCCAAGGCUGGCCCGCUCGGCCCGUCCCGCCGCCGCCGCNNNNNNNNNNNNNNNNNNNNNNNNNNNNNNNNNNNNNNNNNNNNNNNNNNNNNNNNNNNNNNNNNNNNNNNNNNNNNNNNNNNNNNNNNNNNNNNNNNNNNNNNNNNNNNNNNNNNNNNNNNNNNNNNNNNNNNNNNNNNNNNNNNNNNNNNNNNNNNNNNNNNNNNNNNNNNNNNNNNNNNNNNNNNNNNNNNNNNNNNNNNNNNNNNNNNNNNNNNNNNNNNNNNNNNNNNNNNNNNNNNNNNNNNNNNNNNNNNNNNNNNNNNNNNNNNNNNNNNNNNNNNNNNNNNNNNNNNNNNNNNNNNNNNNNNNNGCCUGGCCCGCUCCUUCGCCGUCCUCCGACAUCCGCGCCGCCCCGCCGCCGGCCGUCCCCGUCGCCCCGCCACCGGUUCCCCGCACCUCCCACGCCUCUCCGCCUCCGCGCCGCCCGCUACCAUCUCGCCGGAGCCGGAGCUCGCCGGACUCCACUCCGGCCGGAUCUACCCCGGGUGGAUGAGAUCCACCGGGAGUCGAACCAAACGCGCCCGCGCCCCAGUCCCGGAUCCCGCCAUCCCGCGUUGUCUUUUCGCGGAGGUAUAAUUUUGCCUAAGUCCCUGAGAUUUUCAGCAUUCUGGUGCCUUGUUCGACAUGUCAUAACUCUUUGCGUACUGCUCCAUUUUGUGCGUGUAAUAUGUCAAAAUGUUCGUUGGGAGAUGCUAUACAUUCCAUUCCAUUGUGCCAUGUUCAUUUGAGCUCAUCUUGAUGCCUGAAUCAUCGUUGCAAGAGUUCUAUGUGAUGUUAAUCUGCUGAAACUGUUAUAACUUGGUGAUUUGUCAUUUUUGUUGCAUUUGAUGUGUGCAUCCUAUGAGCAUGAGCUCUACAUGUGUUUUGAACUACAUCAUGCCAUCUUUACAGGGGUGCCAUCCAUGUAGUUUUGUGAGUUGUGUAGUGAGUGCAUCAAGCUUGUUAAGUGUGGUACUUGCUGUUACUGUUUUGCUAGGCUGAAUCUGUUAUUUUGUGAUGCUAUGUAAAUCUGCUGCUACCAGUCAUUCUAUGCAUAAUCUGGAGAUGUUCACUAAGGAUGUUUUGUUAUACAUGUCAUGAUCUAUCCAUCCAUGCUCCUGGUUGCAUUUAUAGCCUGCUUUAGCUUGUUGUAAUCUUGAUCUCAAAUUGCUAAAUAAUGUUGCUGUCAGCCUGUUAACAUUAAGUUCUAGUAUUGCCAUGUGUUUUGCUAGUGAUCCAUGCACCCUAUGAACUUGCUCUUGCCAUGCUUAGCUUCAUAAUCAUGUAUUAUUACUGUUGGUUGCCCUGUCAUGCCAUGAAUUGCUCUGUGGUGAGUGGUACAAGCUCACCAACAUGCCUACUUAUUGUUGCUCCUGCCAUGUAUGAAUCUGUCAUAUAACUUGCUAUGUUUACAUGGGUGCCAUCAUAUCUUCUGAUCCUUUUUGGCUCAUGGUCAGUAAGGGACUUUUGUUCUAUACAAUUAGUAGGUUCAUGCCAUGCCUUAUUUUUCUAUGAUAAGUUCCUAUAGCAUGCAGUUUGAUAGCUCUAAACAUUGCAACCUGAUGUUGUUUCUGCAAAGUCUGAAACUGUUAUUAUUUGCAAUCUUGCCAUGUGUGUUUGAGCAUGUUCUAGUGAUUUCUGGAGAUAGCUCAGUGUUCAUGUUUUGUUAUGAUUUACCUGUACAACAUGUCCAUGCCUUUUGUUCUUAUGUUGAGGUGUUGUAGCAUGUUGUUUUGAUGCUUGCAAUAUGCCUAGUUGCUGUUUUGGACAACUUGUCCUUUUAAACUUGUAUAGCGUGUAUGUGUUGAGCCGUUGCUCCGUUUUGAGUGUGCUCUAUAUGAAACUUGGUUAGAAUUGCAUGUAGUUUCAUAUUAUCAUGUUGCAUCCUUGUUUUUAGGUGCUUGCUUGAUGUUUGAAUGCAUUUUGCAUCAAUGCCUUGUUUAACUUGUUUUGCUCAUAUAUUUUAGGCCGUAGCUCCGAAUUAAAUGAACUUUAUAUGAAACUUGACUAGGAUUUCCUGUAGAUCCUCUUGGUGCAUCUUAACUUGCUGUUUAACAACUUGAACAUAAGGUUUAUUCAGAUCUGGACCAAUUUCGAAAUUUGCAUAUGAGGACUUACCGGAAUUGUUAUAUGUUGUUCCCGGCCUCAUUUAAACUUGCCUUGAUGUGUUGUUCUUGUUUGAAUCAUCUCUUGCCAUGAGUAGCUUCAUGUAGCCUUGUCAUGCAUCAUACUUGUUUGUGCAUCAUGUCAUGUUCAUGUGUGGUGUGUUUUACUAUGUUGUGUGCUUCUUCUGGACAUUUCCUGUUUCGUUGCGAUCUUGAGGAUUCGUUCGUCUACGCUUGGUUCGGCUUCAUCCGUUCGUCUUCUUCAUGGACUCGUUCUUCUUCCUUGCGGGAUUUCAGGCAAGAUGACCGCUACCCUGGAUCUCACUACUAUCAUUGCUAUGCUAGUUGCUUUGCUCUAUCGCUAUGAUGCGUUACCUAUCACCUGUUUAUCAAGCCUCCCAAAUUGCCAUCUCAGCCUCUAACUUUUUCACCCUUCCUAGCAAACCGUUGCUUGGCUAUGUUACCGCUUUUGCUUAGCCCCUCUUAUAGCGUUGUUAGUUGCAGGUGAAGUUGAAGAUUGCUCCAUGGUGGACAUGAUUAUUUUGGGAUAUCACAAUAUCUCUUAUUUAAUUAAUGCAUCUAUAUACUUGGUAAAGGGUGGAAGGCUCGGCCUUAUGCCUGGUGUUUUGUUCCACUCUUGCCGCCCUAGUUUCCGUCAUACCGGUGUUAUGUUCCCGGAUUUUACGUUCCUAACGCGGUUGGGUGAUUUAUGGGACCCCCUCGACAGUUUGCUUUGAAUAAAACUCCUCCAGCAAGGCCCAUCAUUGGUUUUACCAUUUGCCUCACCAACACCUACAUUUCCCUUGGGAGUAAUUAACCCAAGGGUCAUCUUUAUUAUAGCCCCCCCGGGCCAAUGCUUGUCUAAGUGUUGGUCCGAACCAGAGCCCUUUGCAGCGCCCCCUCAGGGAAACUUGAGGUCUGGUUUUAGUUGUACGGAUUGCUCAUCCGGGGUUGCCCUGAGAACGAGAUAUGUGCAGCUCCUAUCGGGAUUGUCGGCGCAUCGGGCGGUCUUGCUGGUCUUGUUUUACCAUUGUCGAAAUGUCUUGUAAACCAGGAUUCCGAGACUGAUCGGGUCUUCCUGGGAGAAGGAAUAUCCUACGUUGAUCGCGAGAGCUUAUCAUGGGCUAAGUUGGGACACCCCUGCAGGGUAUAAACUUUCAAAAGCCGUGCCCGCGGUUAUGUGGCAGAUGGGAAUUUGUUAAUGUCUGGUUGUAGAUAACUUGACACUAGAUCCGAAUUAAAACGCAUCAACCGCGUGUGUAGCCAUGAUGGUCUCUUCUCGGUGGAGUCUGGGAAGUGAACACGGUUUUGGGUUAUGAUUGAUGUAAGUAGGAGUUCAGGAUCACUUCUUGAUCAUUGCUAGCUUCACGCCCGUUCCAUUUGCUCUCUUCUCGCUCUUAUUAGCGUAUGUUAGCCACCAUAUAUGCUUAGUCGCUGCUGCAACCUCACCACUUUACCCCUUCCUUUCCCAUUAAGCUUUGCUAGUCUUGAUACCAUGGUAAUGGGAUUGCUGAGUCCUCGUGGCUCACAGAUUACUACAACAACAGUUGCAGGUACAGGUUAUGCGAUGAUCAUGACGCGAGAGCGAUGUUUACUUGUUUUGGAGUUCUUGUUCUGCUUCUUCUUCGAUCAGGGGAUAGGUUCCAGGUCGGCAGCCUGGGCUAGCAGGGUGGAUGUCGUUUGAGUUUCUUUUUGUGUUUCAUCCGUAGUCGGAUGAUGCUCUUAUGUAUUGUGAUAUUGUAUUUGUGUGGCAUUGUAUGCCUCUUGUAUGUAUCCCCAUCUAUUAUGUAAUGUUGAUGUAAUGAUAUCCACCUUGCAAAAGCGUUUCAAUAUGCGGUUCUAUCCUUGGUGGGUCCUUCGAGUCUCUUUAGGAUAGUAUCACAUAUUGGGCGUGACAAGUUGGUAUCAGAGCCUCGACCGACCCUAGGAGCCCCCCUUGAUUGAUCGUGUAGUUUGGCCGUUGUUGAGUCUAGAAGUAAACUAUUUUUCGGAGUCUAUAUAUAUCGGAGAGUAGGAAUUCUUUUUACUCCUCUGCCCCUUCGUCGCUCUGGUGAGGAAUCUUGACGUAUGUGUUUUGAAUUACUCGUCUUCCCCUUCAAAUUUUUCUUUAGGAUCACACAGUUGGUUUUCUGGUAGUUGUUCCUCAGCUCUUUUUAUCCGAUGCAUUUCUCGUCAAGUUGACUUGAGCCUCUUCAUCUUUGAGUUCAAUCCUUAGUUAUUUUCUUUCCCACCCGCCCACCCUUUUCUUCUCGGAGUCGGAGGCCGUAAUCGAGUAUCCAUCCUACUCGUGCGAAGUCUUUGCUUUCUUUCCUCAAUGAUUUCAACUGGUGUUUUCUCUUCAAGUUAUUCAUCGGUUCCCCCUCCCAAGUUGCUUUUGUUUUCCCGCCCUCCCAACCUUUUCUUCUCGGAGCCCGAGUCUCUUUCGAGCAUCAAUUUCAUUCGUGUGGAGCCUCUUCAGUCUUCCCUCAAUCAUUUCAACCGGUGAAUUCUUGCUUCGUUUGACAUUCGUCAUCUCUUUUUCUUCUCAGGUGGACUCAAUUCAAGUUUUUUCGGGUUGAUCGUUUUCUUUCCCUUGGAUCAAAUGUUUCCCCUUGCUCGUUUGCCUCUCACCAUUCAAUCAUUCCGGAGUUCGGAAGACAUCUCAGGAGAUUCGUCUGUGUUCGAAUUAAUUCGUGGUUGUCACCUUAUUCAAAUAUUUCAAUUGUUCCGGUGCUUCACCUAUCUGUUCAACAUCCCUUUCCAACGGUGUUCUAUUUUAGUGGGCCCAUGACCCACAGGUCUUUUCCCAGGAUCUUACCCGACUCAUCUAAUUCCCCCGGAGUUAUUCUCAAUUCUUUUCAGGUGUGACGUAAGAAUGAAUUUCAUCAGUCAGAUGCUUGUCCAAGAUCGUUUUCAAAUUCUUUCAUUGUUGGCUCAACCUCUUCGCUUGUCAUUCUUUCGGAGUGUCUCAAUAAAAUUUGGUGGUGUUUCUCAUCGUCAUUUGAAGACCGAAGAAGAGUUUUUCCUCUAAAUCUUGCCCGUUCUCUCGAAGAUUCGUGGUUCUAGCUUCUUGUUAUCCUCGAGAAUUAUUCCAUUUGUCAGAUAUUCUUUUCAUCCAUCCGGAGUAUUUCAGGAGUUGUUUUUCCGUUUCUUUCACCGGAGGCCAUCAUUCUAGUUAUCGUUCUCUAUUUAUCCCGGUGCUUCGUUCAAGUGUUCUUUAAUCUGCUCAUGAUCUCUUUGUUCUUUUGCAUCUAAAUCCCCUCUAGCAUAAUUGUUCUUCUAAUUCUUCCCGGUGAUUCAGUCUCUUUCAUCAGUCAUUUUCGAAUUCUUACGGUGGUUCGUUCAAGAUUCUUUUUCCUUGUUUAUCAUUUUAAUCCAUUCGUUCUUUCAAUCCUACCAGUGGUUCAUGAAGACUUUCUCAAGUUUUGUGCUAUAUACCCCCUUAAUCCUUUUCAAGAAGAAUAAGUGGUAUGCAAAAUCCUUUGGUUGUCAUCAAUUGAAUUUGAUGAAGGAUAAGCAUACAAUAAAUCUUAUUCUUAUUUCAUCAUCGUCAAGUAAUCCCUUCCUUCGGAGUUUGUUCUUGAUGAAUAAAUUCUAGUUCCAAGUGUUUUCAUCUUUUCUUUUCCGGAGUUCAAAUUUCCUCGGCCAUUUCGUCGGAACCUCCAUCUAAAUCAUCGCAAGCUUUAAUCUUAUUCUUUAAUCCUUCACUUUAUCUCAUUGUCCUUUUGUUUACCAGAGUUCUUCAUGGUGGUUCUUCAUGAUUUAAUUCAAUCUUCAAGUGUUCAUCAAGAUUCUUGUCGGACGAGUUCAAGUAUCCUUCUUCUUGCUUCUCGAGGUGCAAUUAAUUCUUCGUAUUGUUAAUGGAGUUUUGCAUUUCUUCUUUCUUCUCGGCUAUUCAGACAUUGGUUGUGGUAUUAUUUCACCUCAAGUUUUGAGAUGUCAUCUAUAAAUCCACAACAAGCUUAUUCUUUCGUUGUUGAUUUUCUCAACAACUCCGUUCAAUCCUUCCUUCUAAGUUCUCUCCAUUCCACUACGUCAAUUCUUCCGGAGGCAUUGCAUUGUUCAUCUCAUCAAGUGCCAUCCCAUCUUGUGAAGUUUGUAUUCUAUUCUUUCCUUCUUCAACCGGAGUGCUGCCUAAAUCCUUUUUCAGUCUUAUUCGUUUCUUAUCUCGUUCUAACCGGAGUGGUUUCAGAGUCUAUCUGAUUCCGUGAGCUUUCGAUUCUCGUCAUUCUUGCCGUUCCUCUCUUUUUCUCGAGUGAUCUCGAUUCUUUGUUUGUUCUCUUGAGUUCUUGCUUCACCUCUUCCUCUUUCCCUUCUGUCUCGGUCCUAAGAUCUCGGGACGAGAUCUCUUGUUAGUGGAGGAGUGUUGUAACGCCCCGGAUCCGAUGCGCUAGGUGUCUGCCAGUUAUUCGCCGUCAUUGCCAUGUCAUUUGCUUGCAUGUUGCAUUUUGCCAUGUCAUCAUCUGCAUUUCAUGUGCAUGUUUUACAAAACUUGCAUCCGUUCGGGUUCCCCCGGUUCUCUCCGUUGUCCGUUCGGAGUCCAGACCUCUCGCGCGCGCCUGUCGCCCCUCUCAGACCUUGUUUUCGUUAGCGGGUUAAAAACGUUCUCGGAAUGGAUCGAGGUUUGCCGAGUGGCCUUGGUAUAGCACCGGUAGACUGCCUGUCAAGUUUCGUGCCAUUUGGAGGUUGUUUGAUACUCCAACGGUUAACCGGGUAACCAUAAAAACCCUCUUUGUGUUGCAGUCCAACACCCCUUUAAAGUGGCCCAAAACCCAUCCAAACCCCCUCCAUGCUCUCGGUCAUUCGAUCACGAUCGCGUGGCCGAAAACCGCUCCUCAUUUGGACUCUCCUAGCUCCCUCUACCUAUAAAUAUGCCCUCCCGUCCAAAUUCGCGGUCUAAUCCUACACUAACCCUAGCCCAGCUCCCCUCGCGUCGCCGGACAUGUCCGCUUCCCCGCCGAACAUGUCCGCGUCUCCGCCCGCGACCAACCGGUGUCCGCCACGUGUCCCCGCGGCCCUCCUCUCUCCACCGCGCGCCACCGCGGGCCCACCGAGCCCGAGGCCGGCCCGCUCGGCCCGUCCCNNNNNNNNNNNNNNNNNNNNNNNNNNNNNNNNNNNNNNNNNNNNNNNNNNNNNNNNNNNNNNNNNNNNNNNNNNNNNNNNNNNNNNNNNNNNNNNNNNNNNNNNNNNNNNNNNNNNNNNNNNNNNNNNNNNNNNNNNNNNNNNNNNNNNNNNNNNNNNNNNNNNNNNNNNNNNNNNNNNNNNNNNNNNNNNNNNNNNNNNNNNNNNNNNNNNNNNNNNNNNNNNNNNNNNNNNNNNNNNNNNNNNNNNNNNNNNNNNNNNNNNNNNNNNNNNNNNNNNNNNNNNNNNNNNNNNNNNNNNNNNNNNNNNNNNNNNNNNNNNNNNNNNNNNNNNNNNNNNNNNNNNNNNNNNNNNNNNNNNNNNNNNNNNNNNNNNNNNNNNNNNNNNNNNNNNNNNNNNNNNNNNNNNNNNNNNNNNNNNNNNNNNNNNNNNNNNNNNNNNNNNNNNNNNNNNNNNNNNNNNNNNNNNNNNNNNNNNNNNNNNNNNNNNNNNNNNNNNNNNNNNNNNNNNNNNNNNNNNNNNNNNNNNNNNNNNNNNNNNNNNNNNNNNNNNNNNNNNNNNNNNNNNNNNNNNNNNNNNNNNNNNNNNNNNNNNNNNNNNNNNNNNNNNNNNNNNNNNNNNNNNNNNNNNNNNNNNNUCUCCGCCUCCGCGUCGCCCGCUGCCGUCUCGCCGGAGCCGGAGCUCGCCGGAGCUCCACUCCGGCCGGAUCUACCCCGGGUGGAUGAGAUCCACCGGGAGUCGAACCAAACGCGCCCGCGCCCCCGUCCCGGAUCCCGCCAUCCCGCGUUGACUUUUUGCGGAGGUAUAAUUUUGCCCAAGUCCCUGAGAUUUUCAGCAUUCUGGUGCCCUGUUCGACAUGUCAUAACUCUUUUCGUACUGCUCCGUUUUGUGCGUGUAAUAUAUCAACAUGUUCAUUGAGAGAUUCUCUACAUUGUAUUCCAUUGUGCCAUGUUCAUUUGAGCUCAUCUUGAUGCCUGAAUCAUUGUUGCAAGAGUGCUAUGUGAUGUUAAUCUGCUGAAACUGUUAUAACUUGGUGAUUUGUCAUUUUUGUUGCAUUUGAUGUGUGCAUCCUAUGAGCAUGAGCUCUACAUGUGUUUCGAACUACAUCAUGCCAUAUUUACAGGGGUACCAUCCAUGUAGUUUUGUGAGUUGUGUAGUGAGUGCAUCAAGCUUGUUAAGUGUGGUACUUGCUGUUACUGUUUUGCUAGGCUGAAUCUGUUAUUUUGUGAUGCUAUGUAAACCUGCUGCUACCAGUCAUUCUAUGCAUAAUCUGGAGAUGUUCACUAAGGAUGUUUUGUUAUACAUGUCAUGAUCUAUCCAUCCAUGCUCCUGGUUGCAUUUGUAGCCUGCUUCAGCUUGUUGUAAUGUUGAUCUCAAAUUGCUAAGUAAUGUUGCUGUCAGCCUGUUAACAUUAAGUUCCAGUAUUGCCAUGUGUUUUGCUAGUGAUCCAUGCACCCUAUGAACUUGCUCUUGCCAUGCUUAGCUUCAUAAUCAUGUAUUAUUACUGUUGGUUGCCUUGUCAUGCCAUGAAUUGCUCUGUGGUGAGUGGUACAAGCUCACCAACAUGCCUACUUAUUGUUGCUCCUGCCAUGUAUGAAUCUGUCAUAUAACUUGCUAUGUUUACAUGGGUGCCAUCAUACCUUCUGAUCCUUUUUGGCUCAUGGUCAGUAAGGGACUUUUGUUCUAUACAAUUAGUAGGUUCAUGCCAUGCCUUAUUUUUCUAUGAUAAGUUCAUGUAGCAUGCUGUUUGAAAGCUCUAAACAUUGCAACCUGAUGUUAUUUCUGCAAAGUCUGAAACUGUUAUUAUUUGGAAUCUUGCCAUCUGUGUUUGAGCAUGUUCUAGUGAUUUCUGGAGAUAGCUCAGUGUUCAUGUUUUGUUAUGCUUUACCUGUACAUAAUGUCCAUGCCUUUUGUUCUUAUGUUGAGGUGCUGUAGCAUGUUGUUUUGAUGCUUGCAAUCUGCCUAGUUGCUGUUUUGGACAGCUUGUCCUUUAAUCUUGUAUAGCGUGUAUGUGUUGAGCCGUUGCUCCGUUUUGAGUGUGCUCUAUAUGAAACUUGCUUAGAAUUGCUGUUUUAGGUGUUUGCUUGAUGUUUGAAUGCAUUUUGCAUCAAUGCCUUGUUUAACUUGUUUUGCUCAUAUCUUUUAGGCCGUAGCUCCGAAUUAAACGAACUUUAUAUGAAACUUGACUAGGAUUUCGUGUAGAUCCUCUUGGUGCAUCUUAACUUGCUGUUUAACAACUUGAACAUAAGGUUUAUUCAGAUCAUGACCAAUUUUGAAAUUUGCAUAUGAGGACUUACCAGAAUUGUUAUAUGUUGUUCCCGGCCUCAUUUAAACUUGCCUUGAUGUGUUGUUCUUGUUUGCAUCAUCUCUUGCCAUGAGUAGCUUCAUGUAGCCUUGUCAUGCAUCAUACUUGUUUGUGCAUCAUGUCAUGUUCAUGUGUGGUGUGUUUUACUAUGUUGUGUGUUUCUUCUGGAUAGUUCCUGUUUCGUUGCGAUCGUGAGGAUUCGUUCGUCUACGCUUGGUUCGGCUUCAUCCGUUCGUCUUCUUCAUGGACUCGUUCUUCUUCCUUGCGGGAUUUCAGGCAAGAUGACCGCUACCCUGGAUCUCACUACUAUCACUGCUAUGCUAGUUGCUUCGUUCUAUCGCUAUGCUGCGUUACCUAUCACCUGUUUAUCAAGCCUCCCAAAUUGCCAUGUCAGCCUCUAACUUUUUCACCCUUCCUAGCAAACCGUUGCUUGGCUAUGUUACCGCUUUUGCUCAACCCCUCUUAUAGCGUUGUUAGUUGCAGGUGCAGUUGAAGAUUGCUCCAUGGUGGGCAAGAUUAUUUUGGGAUAUCACAAUAUCUCUUAUUUAAUUAAUGCAUCUAUAUACUUGGUAAAGGGUGGAAGACUCGGCCUUAUGCCUGGUGUUUUUUUCCACUCUUGCCACCCUAGUUUCCGUUAUACCGGUGUUAUGUUCUCGGAUUUUGCGUUCCUCACGCGGUUGGGUGAUUUAUGGGACCCCCUUGACAGUUCGCUUUGAAUAAAACUCCUCCAGCAAGGCCCAACAUUGGUUUUACCAUUUGCCUCACCACCACCUACAUUUCCCUUGGGAGUAAUUAACCCAAGGGUCAUCUUUAUUAUAGCCCCCCCGGGCCAAUGCUUGUCUAAGUGUUGGUCCGAACCAGAGCCCUUUGCAGCGCCCCCUCAGGGAAACUUGAGGUCUGGUUUUAGUUGUACGGAUUGCUCAUCCGAUGUUGCCCUGAGAACGAGAUAUGUGCAGCUCCUAUCGGGAUUGUCGGCACAUCGGGCGGUCUUGCUGGUUUUGUUUUACCAUUGUCGAAAUGUCUUGUAAACCAGGAUUCCGAGACUGAUCGGGUCUUCCUGGGAGAAGGAAUAUCCUUCGUUGAUCGCGAGAGCUUAUCAUGGGCUAAGUUGGGACACCCCUGCAGGGUAUAAACUUUCGAAAGCCGUGCCCGUGGUUAUGUGGCAGAUGGGAAUUUGUUAAUGUCCAGUUGUAGAUAACUUGACACCAGAUCCGAAUUAAAACACAUCAACCGCGUGUGUAGCCGUGAUGGUCUCUUCUCGGUGGAGUCUGGGAAGUGAACACGGUUUUGGGUUAUGAUUGACGUAAGUAGGAGUUCAGGAUCACUUCUUGAUCAUUGCUAGCUUCACGACCGUUCCGUUUGCUCUCUUCUUGCUCUUAUUUGCGUAUGUUAGCCACCAUAUAUGCUUAGUCGCUGUUGCAACCUUACCACUUUACCCCUUCCUUUCCCAUUAAGCUUUGCUAGUCUUGAUACCCAUGGUAAUGGGAUUGCUGGGUCCUCGUGGCUCACAGAUUACUACAACAACAGUUGCAGGUACAGGUUAUGCAAUGAUCAUGAUGCGAGAGUGAUGUUUGCUUGUUUUCGAGUUCUUCUUCUGCUUCUUUUUUGAUCAGGGGAUAGGUUCCAGGUCGGCAGCCUGGGCUAGCAGGGUGGAUGUCGUUUGAGUUUCUGUUUGUGUUUCAUCCGUAGUCGGAUGAUGCUCUUAUGUAUUGUGAUAUUGUAUUUGUGUGGCAUUGUAUGCCUCUUGUAUGUAUCCCCAUCUAUUAUGUAAUGUUGAUGUAAUGAUAUCCACCUUGCAAAAGCGUUUCAAUAUGUGGUUCUAUCCUUGGUGGGUCCUUCGAGUCUCUUUAGGAUAGUAUCGCAUAUUGGGCGUGACAUCCCACUUCAACAAUGCUUGUCUUUCUUACUUUCACUUUCCUUUUUGAAAAGUUUUUAGGUUUCCCUCGUUGUUUUUUGUUUUAAAACUAUAUAAAAGCACUCAACAGAAAUAAAUGACUCUCUAAAACUUCCGGGUUGUCUCCCUGGCAGCGCUUUCUUUAAAGCCAUUAAGUUUGGCAUAUAGUGCUCAAGUAAUGAAUCCACCCGGAUCCCAAGGUAUAUCAAAGCCAAUUUUAAUUAACAAUGAUUUGUAAUUUAGUAGUGAGCACAAAGUAACAUAUAUCAAGCAACGACAAAGUCUAACUCUCUUCCUAUGCAUCGGCAUGUCAUAAAAGAACAAUUCAUGCACACCAAGUAAAGGCCAAUGCAUAGUAUAAGAAGUUUCUUGCAAUUCUAUCGUGUUGGAAACAUAGAGAGGUGUAGAUAUAGUUCCUCUCUCAUAAUAAUUGCAAGUAGGAGCAGCAAGCACAUGCAUAUUAUAUCUAUCAAAAUCAUCAUGUGAAGUAGUAAAAGGCAACCCAUCAAUAUAAUCCUUAAUAAGCACAAACUUCUCCGAUAUAGUGUAGUAGGGAGAAUUCGAAAAGAUAAUAGGACUAUCAUGCGUGGGUGAAAUAGCAACAAUUUCAUGUUUAGCAUAAGGAACUAUAGAAAGUUCAUCUCCAUAAGCAGAAUUCAUAUUGGCAUCUUGGCCACAAGCAUAUCAAGCAUCAUCAAUAGGGGAUAUUUCAAGAGAAUCAACGGGAUCAUAACAAUCAUCAUAGCAAUCAUCAUAGUAAUCAUCAUAGCAAUCAUCCUUUGGUAAGCACAAAGGGAAAUUAAAUAAUGCAUGAGUUGAAGAGUUACUCUCAUUAGAAGGUGGGCACGGGUAGCUAAUCCGCUCUUCCUCCUUUUGUUCUUCGCUCUCCUCAUCAUCUUUUUCAUCCAAUGAGCUCGCAGUUUCAUCAAUUUCUUCUUCCAUAGCUUCCUGCAAAAUAUUAUUCUCUUCUUGGACAGCGGAGAAUUUCUCAAUAUAUGAUUUAACAUAGGAAUUAGAAGCAUAAUUAUCAUAACAAUAUUCAAGUAUGGCAAAACUUUCAGAUUUGUAAAGAGUAGCAUCAUACUUUUUAAUCAAAGAAGCAAUUUCAAAAGCACCCUUAAAAGCAACAAAUUCUUCAAUUUGUGGAACAUCAUAGUAAUUAUAAACACCCUUAGCAUACAAAGAUAAAAUUCCAUUAUCAAUAAACUCACAUUGGUAGGGAAGGUGUUUCUUAGGGUUUUCAGAACAACAAGUAACAUCAUAUAUUUCACAUAACUUCCAAGCAUAGCAUUGCAAACGUUGAAUUUGAUCCCAUAAUAGUUUCCCUUUUUCAGAUAUACGGUGUCGCACAUAACAAGCAUGCUCAUCUAAAGAUUGGCCCUCAACUAAGCUAGUUGGGGUUUCAACACAAGCACAUAGGGAUCGAAGAUGAUCCAAGUAAAAAGCUUCAGUAGUGUGGUAGAUUUUGAGUGGUUCUUCAACCAUUGGAGUAGUAGGUACAACUAAUAUUUUUGGUAUUUUGCAUUUCCUACCCAUAACUAAAGAUAGAAAACAACUAAGAACAGCAAAUAAAAAUUACUUAGUGAUAAAGCAAACAAACACACAUGAGAAUAUUCACCCACGCUAUGACUCCCCGGCAACGGCGCCAGAAAAAGGUCUUGAUAACCCACCAGUGUAGGGGAUCGCAACAGUUUUCGAUAAGUAAGAGUGUCGAACCCAACGAGGAGCUAAAGGUAGAAUACAUGUUCCCUCAAGUUCUAUCAACCACCGAUACAACUCUACGCACGCUUGACGUUCGCUUUACCUAGAACAAGUAUGAAACUCGAAGUACUUUGUAGGUGUUGUUGGAUAGGUUUGCAAGAUAAUAAAGAGCACGUAAAUAAAAGCUAGGGGUUGCUUAAAUAAAGAUGCAAUAAAGUAAAUAUAGCGAGUGUGGAUAAGUGGUGGUAGGAGUUGUGGAAUUGUCCCUAAGCAAUUGACUAUGUUACUAGACCGGUAAUCACUAUUGCAAUUCUAUUUGAGGGAGAGGCAUAAGCUAACAUACUUUCUCUAGUUGGAUCAUAUGCACUUAUGAUUGGAACUCUAGCAAGCAUCCGCAAAUACUAAAGAUUCAUUAAGGUAAAACCCAACCAUAGCAUUAAAGUAUCAAUUCCCCUUUAUCCCAUACGCAACAAUCCCCUUACUCGGGUUUGUGUUUCAGUCACCCCACUAUAAGCGAAUCAUGAACGCAUUGCAACACCCUACAUCGGGAAUCCCUCACGCUUGCGUGACACGGAGGGCACCAUAGGACAGCACCAAUAAUAAAACAUGCAACUCAAACCAAUCAUAGCAAUUCAUUAAUCAUCGAUAGGACAACGAAAAUCUACUCAGACAUCAUAGGGUGGCAACACAUCAUUGGAUAAUAAUAUGAAGCAUAAAGCACCAUGUUCAAGUAGAGGGUACAGCGGGAUGUGGGAGAGUGGACCACUGGAUAUAGAAGGGGGAAGGUGAUGGAGAUGUUGGUGAAGAUGACGGUGGUGUUGGUGAAGAUCGCGGUGAUGAUGAUGGCCCCCAACAGCGCUCCGGCGCCACCGGAAGCAAGGGGGAGAGAGGCCCCCUUCUUCUUCUUCUUCCUUGACCUCCUCCCUAGAUGGGAGAAGGGUUUCCCCUCUGGUCCUUGGCUCCCAUGACUUGGGAGGGGCGAGAGCCCCUGCGAGAUUGGAUCUAUCUCUCUGUUUCUGCGUUCUUUGUUUCUGCCCCUUCACCGUUUCCUUUAUAUCUCGAGAUCCGUAACUCCGAUUGGGGUGAAUCUUUAGCCCAGAUUUUUCUCGUAAAAUUAGCUUUUUUGCGGCAAAAGAAGGGCAUCAACCGCCUUACGGGUGGCCCACGAGAGUCCAGGGCGCUCCCAGGGGGGGAGGGCGCGCCCCCCUGUCUCAUGGCCACCCCGGACACCGUUUCGCGUUGAUUCUUCAUCCGGAAAAUCCCAAAUAUUUCAAAAUAAUUCUCCAUCCGUUUUUAUCCCGUUUGGAUUCCGUUUGAUAUUGGGUUUCUGCGAAACAUAAAAUAUGCAACAAACAGGAACUGGCACUGGGCACUGGAUCAAUAUGUUAGUCCCAAAAAUAAUAUAAAAAGUUGCCAAAAGUAUAUGAAAGUUGUAGAAUAUUGGCAUGGAACAAUCAAAAAUUAUAGAUACGACGGAGACGUAUCACCCCUUAUGAUAGCAACCUUUAUUAUGCGGUUUGUUGCUUUUAUUUCUUCACCAUCACAAGAUCAUACAAAGCUUAUUUCCCUUACAAUAAAAGAUCAUACAUAUUUUGGAGCAAUUUUUAUUGCUUUAUGCACUAAUGACAACUUACUUGAAGGAUCUUAUUGAAUCCUUAGGUAGAUAAAGUGUACUCUCAUGACGUGGAACUUGGUUUAAGAGUUUUGGAUGCACAAGUAGUAUCUCUACUUAGUGCGAAUUUUUGGCUAGCAUAAGAUCCUAGACAAGCAUCACAUGUUAGAACAUCCAUGCCAAUAUAACCUCUAUGUGAAUGUAAACAAUCAUAACUCAUUACGUUGUCUUCCUUGUCCAAUGUUAACUAAUUGAUUAAUAAUAAGUACAGGACGUCUAUUGAUACUAUACAACUUAAGUUGGUGGAUAUAAGCGUCAAACAAGUGCAGUCUCAUCAGGUUGCUAAGCUGCUUGCGCUGCAGCUCUUGGGCAGGGCUAACCUUUCGUGAACUACGUUGAAGUGUUGUCGGUUCUGUCUAUUAUUUUGUCGUCAUGUUUACUUCCACAGGUGUUGACCUGCCCAGUGUAUGGAAUCUGCUGUCUGGUUGCCCUUUAUUAUCACUGGCGACUAACUUUCAUGCCCAGGGGAUGUAAUAUGUUUUAAUUUCUUUGUUGUAUAGUCCAGGUUUAUUCUUCGUCACGAUGCUGUAAUUUAUUUGCUGUUUAUGAUGUCGUCACUCUGAGAAAAGGUCGUAAUCUUCGAUCGGAGCACAAUGAACCAAUAGGUUAGGUUUAUAUAAAAAUAAUUUCAGUACUAAAAUUGGUCGGUCGCCAAUCGCUAGGAUGGGCCGAACCGUGGGCCUACAAUCAUCUUGGGCCAUUAGUUAGGCCUAGACUUAAUCUGGCCCACUAUUAAUUUCAGGCCUUUAAAAGGCUGAGUAAACUGCUUGCCUUAAUUGGGCAAGAAAAUUAAAUAUACUUUUAAUAGGUUGAGAUCUAGAUUGAGCCUUGACUGUGGCGAACAAAUCACGGGCCAACAACAGGCUAUAAUAUACAUUGGACCAUUAUUGGCCCAUUGGUAUGAUGGGCCAUUAACAGGCUGGAAUGUUUUUGGGCCUUGGCUGACCCAAUUACAUGACGGUGGAAGCAUGCCAGAUGUAUAACGGGCCAAAAUUAGGCCUAACACUAUCAAGGCCUUUAACGUCCGAUAGGAAGUUUGGGCUAGAAUGUAUCAACGAAGACUACGGGCCGUUAAGAGGCCAAAAGUCACUACGAACCAGAAUUAGGCCCAGGUGCAAUUCAGACCUUUAAAUGGCCGAAAGUGAAAUCGGGCCGAAAGAGGCCCAUUUGUAGACAGGGCCGCUGAUAGGCCAAAACUAAUAUGGGGACAAACUGUUAAAUGGGCCAUUAAGGGGCCGAAGAGCAAAUCAGGCCCCCAAUGGGCCCAAUGACAUAGUAGCUGUUAAAGGGUCGUAUAUGUUAUGGGCCGUAAUUUGGCCCAAGAUGUGAAAUCAGUUAACGGGUCGGAUCAAAUAUGGACCGUAAUUUGGCCCAAUCUAUUGUAGGCUGUUAAUGGGCCGGAUCUAAUAUGGGCCAUGAACUGGCCCAGAAUAUUAUAGUCCUUUAACGGACCGUAUCUGACGUGGGCCAUAAUUUGGUCCAGAAAAUGUUUGGCUGUUAAUGGGUCAAUCCAUUAGAUCUGACAAAAUCUUGAGGGCCUAUUCCUAGGCCGACCUUUAAACCUAUAUGGGGCUCUAUUGGGCUGUCCAACGUGUCAACGUUUCAUUGGCGACUCAUGUCCAGUGGAUGGUUGACAUUUAUCCCAACGCUGAGCUGACACGUGGAUCGUCCAGCGAAUGAGACUUUUACACGUGGAAAAUCGCCAUUGGUGCGGGCUCUUAACGGGUUAUCGGAUCCAAAUUGGAACUCGAUAGCUUAACAACGACCCGUUACGGUGGAUGCCAUGUGUCGGUUACCUUGAUGAAAGCACUUGCAUGACACGCCAUUUAUUGUCAUGGAAGUGGACACUUCCGUGAUGAUAAUUUUGGUAUUGUCAUGGAACACUUCUACGACAACAUGGGUAUGACUAUUUUGAUUCUAUCAUAAAAUCGUCAUGGAUGUACAUGCAUGACAGAAAAUGUGACCUACUGUGACAAACACGUAUCAUCACGGAAGUGAUUUUUGUAGUGAGAAGGUUUCCUCCAAAUCUUGAAUCAGGGUCGACUUGUCCUUGGUCUUGACCACAAUAGCAUCCAUGUAGGCUUCUAUGUUCCUAUGUAGCUAUGGCUCAAAACCGUUUUGAACUGCCCACCCGCACUCUUUAGUCCGAAAGGUAUCCGCAUAAAGCAGUAUGAGCCACAUGGAGUAAUGGAUGCAGUUUUCUCUUCAUCUUCUUUGGACAUGAAUAUCUGGUGAUAUCUAGAGUAGGCAUCAAGAAAUGAGAGUAGAUCACAACCGGCAGUGGAGUCCACAAUAUGGUCGAUGCGCGGCCAGGGGAAAGGAUCCUUUGGAGAUGGUUUCUUGAGGUCGGUGUAAUCAAUACAAAGUCUCCAUUUCCCAUUCGCCUUGUGCACGACAACCGAAUUCGCCAACUAGGUUGGAUGUAGCACUCCUGUGACCAAGCGAGAUGCCUCGAGUUUCUUGAUCUCUUCUACUACAAAUUUUUGCCGUUCCAAGGCUUGCUUUCUGACAUUCUUCUUGAUGGGCCGAGCAUGAGGGCAUACAUCAAGGUGGUGCUAAAUUACCUCCCUGGGAACACCGGGGAUGUCAGAUGGUUGCCACGCAAACACAUCGACAUUCACCCGUCGGAAGGCAAUGAGCGUGCUUUCAUAUAUGUGCUUUCACCAGUGCCAUCCUCCCUUGCCGGCACCUUCUUUGUCGUAGGUGGAAUGGCCUUAGAUCUCUUGCCAGCAGAGCUUUUCGGCAAAUCCUCAAUGGGUGUGUAGCACUCCGACGAGGCGCGCUUCCCGGAGGCCUCGCUGGAUGUCUUGCCAUUUUUUGCUAUUCUUUGACUUGGCGGGAGCUAUUGCCUUGCCAGUUUCCACUGUGACCACAUCCGUGUAUAGUUUGUCCAUACAAAUGACUGCAUCUUUCUUGCUAGAGUUGAUGGAGAUGAUAGCAAUGGGCCCUGGCAUCUUCAAUGUGUUGUAACCAUAGUGGGAUGCCGCCAGGAAUUUGGCCAAGGCCGGGCGACCAAGAAUUCCAGUAAACAGUGAGGGGAUCUUAAAAACAUCAACACGACCUUCUUUGUUCUUUAAUUUAGUUCCCCGCCAAACUUCACUGGUAGGGUGAUCUUUCCCUUGGGUCGGCUCCUUCCUGGGUUGAUUUCUUGGAACGUCCCUGUUUUCUGGAGCUCUUGCUCAGGGAUUUGCAGCCUCUCGAUCACCUCAGGCGAGAUCAAGUUCAAGCCGGCCCCACUGUCAACUAAUUUUUUCAUGACCUUGAGGUUGUGUAUAGUUGGUGAUACCAACAAUGGCAAGCAUCUGACCAUGGGUUGUGCAAUCAAGGUGAUCCUCAACAUAAAAAAUAAUAGGCGUGUGGGACCACUUGAGGGACUUUUGUGCAUCCACUAUCGGUUCCGCCAUAAUGACUUCCCGCGCCCACUGCUUGAGCUAACGGUGAGAGAAGUGCAAAGAUGCACCUCCAUCAAUGCACAUGGCCUCCAUUGCCUUAUGGAAUUUGUGUUCUCUGGAUUCUUCGUCAUCCUCCUCAUCAUUUCCUUCAUCUUCCUCUUUCUUCUCUUUACCCGUGGCAGGCUUUUAUUUUUUCUGGCCAGCAUUGCCGCGGCGUCCACCUCGACCACCGCGACCCUUCCUGCCGGAUCCACCUGUACUGUCCUGACCCUUCUCCUUUUCCUGCUUUUCAUACUCAGCUUUCUGUUUCCCAACCAGCUGCUUGACUUGACGACACUCCUGGAGGUCGUGGCCUUUGGUAUGGCGGAUCUUGUAGUAUGGCCCGUCGGACUUGCCAGCUUUCUCUCCUACCACAGCAACCUGGCAAUCAAUGCAUGUAGCUGCUUCCUUGCCGGUACUCUCCAUUUUGGGUUUCUUGGCGGGGCCGGAGAUGCCUGAUCCUUCCACAGCCAUAACCUUCUUACCUUUGCGCUUUCUGUUGUAUCUUCAACCAUUCUUCCCUGGGCGCGGCUGCAUUGUCAUCAUCAGAAUCGACUACGGCAGUGUCAUCCUUCCCGGGAAGCCUCCUCCCUUCUUCAGACACGCACAUUUGUCUGCCAUUAUAUAGAGUUCAUUGACGGACUUCGGCAGGUGGAUAUGCAUCUUAUCCCACAUCUCGCGAUUGCGCACAUUCGUGUGGAAUGCGGCAAUCACCACCGUGGGGUGGAUAUCCAGUAUGCUGUGAUGCACACGACUGAAUCUCUAGAUGUACUUGCGUAGGUUCUCUCCUUCCUUCUGUGGGAUCAUUUACAAGUCGAUGGGUAACCCUGGACCUUUCUGUCCCCCGGUAAAAACACCAACAAACUCAUUGCAAAGAUCUGACCACGAGGAAACAAAGUUUUCUCGCAAGUUCAUUAGCCCAGACCUCAUGUUGGGCUUGAGUACCAACGGGAAGUAGUUGUAUAGGACUUUCUUGUCCCUUGUUCCGACGCCUUGCACAACAAUUGUAUAAAUGCCCAAGAACUCUACCGAGUUCCGAUUACUGUCGUACUUUUCCUUGACCUCGAGCUUGAACGUGUGGAGGGAUGGCCAGCGGACUUGCCGUAGCUCACGUGUGAAGGUGGGGCACCCGACCUCGUAAGUUAAGUACUCACCAACAACGGGCGCUGGCUCAUCGAUGACUGGACCGUUGCGCUUGUGUGAUUGACGGUGCGCCUCCCGAUGUUGUUGGAUGGUAGUGCGAGCAUCUUCUGCUCGUCUGUCCAGCAACACCUUCCUCUGAUCUUGUUGCAUCUGCGGGUCUGAGGAAGCCAUUGAUGCAUCAUCGGGCUGUGCAUCUCGCUAGGCCCGCUGCGAGUGCCGAUGCUACCGCUGAGACUGUUGCCGAGGAGGUGAUUGCACCAUGGGUGCACCACCUACCACACGACCUUCAGUUUGAGGCGUAGACAUAGUUGGCCAACGCCGCAAAGGCUCUGCCAGCUGGGACCUGUUGCCAACAGCAAACUCGACCAAACUCCUGAUGGUGGCUCUCCACUCAUCCAUCUUGUGAGCUACCGGAGGAAAAUCCAGCAACAUCUGUGCUCACCCCAUCACCUCCAUCGCCAUUGAAGGAUGUUGGAAUGCGAAGAGCACGACGUCGCUCAACUCUUCGCAGAGCCAGCAGGAGCGUUAUUGCGUUCUUGUCACCAUGCCGUGAGGGCAACAACGAGUUGGCAUGGCGGAAGCGGCGCCCGAGGGUCUUGAGUUUGGUCGACGGGUGAUUUGCCAUGCCGGUGUUGCUGUGGAGGCACAACAACACCACUUGGUGUCACAUCGCGCUCAUCUUGCGAUGAGUGCGGAGUGUGUUUUGAGGUCGCUCCCAUGGCCGUCGUUGGUGCUGCCGCAGCGGGAGGGUCGCGGUUCAUGCCCAAUCGAGUGGGGUUGCUCUGGUGGCUAUGUUUGCGGGCACAAGGAGGAGGCAGGGGUAGAGCACCCACGUCACCCGUGCCAUGAACGUCGUUUUCACCUGACCGUUGAGGUAAGCAUCCGCCUCCAACAUCCCCACCGCCUGCUCCUGUUGCCGCAGGCUUGGCGACCGCGCUACCUGUGUCGGUCGUGCCCACCACAGUGUUUGCUCCAUCCGCGGCGGUGGCACCGCCUACGCCACCCUCAGAUAAGGGUGAUGGGUGUCGGGACGUAGAAGGCUUGACAACCAUGGAGCCCUUAUUCUUGGGCACCAUGGGUGGUGGUGGUGAUGAUGAACUCGAAGGAAUCGAAGCACCGCCUGCUGCCUCAGUUCUCGCCAACGGAGCCCCUACCCGGUGCAAAAAAGAUGUCAGUAUGGAGCCGACGAUCUAUGGGGUGGGGCUAUCCUUUUGCUGGUUCGGCAGGCGGUCAAUUGGUUCGAAGAGCAAGCACAAUGGGAGACACAACAACUUUACCCAGGUUCGAGCGGCUGAGAAGCGUAAAACCCUACUCCUGUUUUGGUGUAUUGGAUGAAUAUUGAACAAAGUACAUGAAGCGCUCUCCCCCCGGCAAGUCGGUAGGGGAGGGCAUCUGCACGAAUAUCUAUGUGUGUGGGUUGCAAGGGUUCGAAGCCCUGUAAAUGUUGCCCUGGCCCAACUUUUAUAUCUCAAGGGGUUACCACAGUGGCAAAAAGGUCAUUAUAGGGUGAUUAGACUGAUACAGAACUAUCAUACCUAACUCUACAAGUUAGGACGAAAAGUGCAUUAAAUGCACUGCUAGGUGUCGUGUGGAGGGUGAACCCCGGGAGAGAGAAUGCACCACUUAUACACCACCUCAUAUUAGCUUGACAUGCCAUUAGGAUGGGUUUCAAUAAAGGUAAUCCUCCCCCGGCAAGCUGACAUGUAUCGACUGCCUCCACCUAAUCACCUGUGGGCUCAACAUCUUGCUGAUCAGUGACCAGCUGUCCAGAGAGGUGGAGUGCUGGCGUUCUGCGGGAAGUUCGUGCUCGAGGGGCUUGCCGGGCCGCAACUUGCCGGCUUGCUUUUUUCGGGGUUAGUUGCUUUUGUUGUGAAUCCCGUGGCUUUGCUCCAAGCCUUCGUCUUCUUAAUGUGCUCCUUGAUCUCAUGAAGAGCGGCUUCUCUGGUCUGGUUGUGUAUAGAACUUGAUGCUUACCGGGGGGAACGACAAUUCAUCUAUGCAUAAGUCAGGGAAGCAACCGCCCAUGUUCGUUGCACUGACAAUAUGAUAUAUUUGUUUCUAUCAAAUCAUUAUGUAAUACCCUUUUGCCACUCUGGUAACCCCAUGAGCUAUAAAAGGAGGGCUCGGGCAACCUUUACAAGGGUUCAAACCCUUAGCAACCCCACACAUACGUACCUGUGUAGCAGCCUCCCUUUGCUCCUUGCCGGGAGAGAGCGCUCCAUGUACUUGUGCACACACACCUAAUCAAUACACCAAAGUAGGAGUAGGAUUUUACACUUCUUAGCGGCCCGAACCUGGGUAAAAAUUGAUGUGUCCAUUGUUGUUCUUGCUCUUUGCGUGGAGUGCAUCCCCCUUGCCGAACGAGAAAGGGGCAGCAUCGUCCCAUAGAUCGCCAGCUCCACGACGACAUCUUUGGCACGCUGGGUAGGGGUUUCACCGGCGUGAACCAAGGCGAUGAGCAGCACAUCGACUUCAUCGAGUUAACAUCUUAUUCACCUUUCAUGGUGCACAAGAAGAAGGGCUCCAUGAUGACUAAACCUUCAACGUCCAAACUCCCAUCACAUGCGUCUGCGGGCGGUGCAGGCAGCGCUGCCACCGUGGAUGGUGCGGACGCCACGGUGGGCGCGGCCGGCACAGGAGGUGCGAUCGUCGUGCCCACUAUGGUGGAGACGGUCGGAGGAGAUGUUGGAGGCAGAAAUCUGCCUCGGCCCUCCGGUGGAUAGGCGCUGGCGCGUGGCCCCCGCCUCCUCAGUGCAUCGGCGAAAGAAGCCAUCGGAGCCGGUCGGGCGCGAGCCGCAACCCUCCCACUGCUAUGACUCCGGCGACAGUGACCAGGGGAACGACAUCGAGACACAUGUUGUGUCCAUUGCAAGAUGGGCGCGACGUGAUGCCAAGCGGCGUUAUUGUACCUCCACAGUAGCGCCCGCACGGCAAGAUGCCUGUCGAUUAGAUCCAAGAUCUUCAAGCACCACUCCCGCCACGCCAGCCUGCUGUCACUCUCAUAGUUCGAUGAGAAGAUCAUAACGUAGCUCUUGUUAGCUCUACCAGGAGUCGAGCGACGUCACGUUCUUCAAGUUCCAACAUGCCUUCUAUAGCAACAGAAGAGAUGGCGCGCGCUCAGAUGCUGUUAGAUUUCCCUCCAGUAGCUGACAAAAUGGACGAGUGGAGAGCCACUAUCCGGAGCUUCAUCAAGUUUGCCUACGCAAACAGUUCCUAGUUGGCAGAACCCUCGCGGCGGCAGCUAAACUAUGCACAUAGCUCAAACUGAUGGCCGUGUGGCACGUGAUGCACCAACGGUGCAAUCACCUCCAAGACAUCAAUCCCAACAGCAACACAGGCAAUCACAGUAGACCCAGUAGAAUGCAUAGCCGACGAUGUGUCGAUGGGCUCCUCAGAUCCGCAGAUGGAGCAAGAUCAGCGACAAGUGCUGCUGGACAGGUGAGCAGAGGAUGCUUGCACCACCAUUCAAUAACCUCAGGAGGCGCGCCAUCAGUCAGACGAGCGCAAUGGCCUAAUUGUCGAUGAGCCAGCACCUGUUGUUGGCGGGUACCUGCCUGACGAGGUUGGGUGCCCUACCUUCAUACAUGAGCUGCCGCAUGUCCGUUGGCCGUUUGUCCGUGCGUUCAAGCCCGAAGUACCAGAAAAGUACGAUGCCAAACUAAACUCGGCAGAAUUCUUGGGCAUUUACGCAAUCAUUGUACAAGCUGGUGGAGGAAGGGAUGAAAAGAUUUUAGCCAACUAUUUCCCGUUGGUGCUCAAGCCCAAUGUGAGAGCUUGGCUGAUGAACUUGCCGGAGAACUCCAUUUCCUUGUGGUCAGAUCUAUGUAAUGAAUUUGUUGGUGCCUUUACCGGAGGACCGAAGGGCCCCGGAUUUCCCAGUGACUUGCAAGUGAUCCCACAAAAGGAAGGACAAGAUCUGUGUAGGUACAUUCAGAGGUUCAGUCGUGUACACCGUAGCAUCCAAGAUGUGCACCCAGCAGCUGUGAUUGCCGUGUUCCACACGAACUUGCACAACUGCUAGAUGCGGGAAAAGAUGCACGUACGGUUACCGAAGACCAUCAAUGAGAUUUACACGUUGGUGGAUAAAUGUGCGUGGGCUGAAGUGAGGAGAAGGCUUCCUGAGGAAGAUGCUGGCAUUGAAGUCGACACUGAUGACAACGAUGCCACCGCCCCGAAGAAGAAAGGACGAAGGCGCAAUAGAAAGCACAAAGGAAAAUCAGAGAUGGCUGUAGAGGGAUCCAACAAUUCUAGCCCUGCCAAGAAAACCAAGACGAAAAGCACUGGCAAGGACGCAGCUGUGUGAGGUGAUUGCCAGGUUGCUGCGGUGGGGGAGAAGGCCGAUAAAUCUAACGGGUCGUACUGCAAAAUCUACCAUACUAAGGGUCAUGACCUGCAGGAGUGUCAUCAAGUUGAACAUCUAGUUGAGAAAUAGAAAGCUGAGCACAAGAAGCAGGACAAGGAGAAGGGCCAGGACGGUUCGGGUGGAUCCAGUAAGAAGGGUCACGGUGGUCGAGGUGGACGCCGUGGUAAUGCUAACGAGAACAAAGAAAAGCCCGCCAGGGGCAGAGAGAAAAAAGAUGAGGAUGAUGAGAGUGAGAAUGAGGAUGAUGAGAGUGAGAAUGAGGAUGAUGAUGAGUCUAGUGAACUGGAAUUCCAUAAGGCAACAGAGGCCAUGUGCAUUGACUGGGGAGCAUCUUUGCACUCCUCUCACCGCCAGCUCAAGCAAUUAGUGUGUGAGGUCAAUGCAGCGGAGCCAGAAGUAGAUGCCAGAAAACCCCUCAAGUGGUCCCACACGCCUAUUAUUUUCGACGCCGAGGACCACCCUGAUCGCACAACAGCGAUCGGGUGUUUGCCAUUGUUUGUCUCACCAACAAUAUGUAGCCUUAAGGUCACAGAAAUACUAGUUGACUAUGGGGCUAGCUUGAACUUGAUCUCCUCUGAGGCGAUCAAGAGGCUGCAAAUUCCUAGGGAAGAGCUCAAGACGACCAAAACGUUCCAAGGAAUCAACCUGGGAAGGAGCCAACCAAAGGGAAAGAUCACGUUGCCGAUGACGUUUGGCGGGGAGCUAAAUUACAGGACCGAGAAAAUCAUGUUUGACAUUGUUAACAUCCCCUUGCCAUUUAAUGGAAUUCUUGGUCGCCCAGCCUUGGCCAAGUUCAUGGCAGCAUCACACUAUGUUUACAAUACGCUAAAGAUGCCAGGGCCCAUGGAUUUCAUCUCCAUCAACUCUGACAAGAUAGUUGCAGUUAUAUGCAUAGAUAAGCUCUACAGAGGAGCGGUGGCAGCGGAGUCCGUCAAGAUAACCACUCCUACCAAGGAAAAGAAAAGCCAGAAACCCAGUAAGACAUCUAGUGAGGCUUCCGAGAGACGCACCUCCUCGGAGUGCCACGUACCCGUUGAGGACUUGCCAGAAAGCUCUGUUGGCAAGAGGUCCAAAGUUAAUCCACCUACGACAAAGAAGCUGCGAGUGAGGGACGACGGCACUAGCGGCGCUUUCAUUGUUGGUGCCACUCUUGACAACAAAUAGGAAAGCGCGCACAUUGCCUUCCUACGAGCGAAUGUAGACGUGUUUGCAUGGAAACCAUCUGACAUCCCCGGUGUUCCCAGGGAGGUAAUCGAGCACCACCUUGCCGUCUGCCCGCAUGCUCGAUCCAUCAACUAGAAAGUUAGGAAGCAAGCUUUGGAACGGCAACAAUUUAUAGCAGAAGAAAUUAAGAAACUCGAGGCAGCAUGAUUGGUUAGAAGAGUGCUACAUCCAACUCAGUUGGCAAAUCCAUUUGCCGUGCCCGAGGCAAAUGGGAAGUGGAGGCUUUGCAUUGACUACAUUGAUCUCAACAAGGCAGUUCCCAAGGAUCCUUCCCCUUGCCACGCAUUGAUCAGAUUGUGGACUCCACUAAUGGUUGUGAUUUGCUCUUGUUUCUUGAUGCAUACACCGGAUAUUCAUGUCAAAAGAAGAUGAGGAGAAAACCGCAUUCAUUACUCCAUGUGGUACGUAUUGCUUUCUACAUAUGCCUUUCGGACUAAAGAGUGUUGGUUCAAUGUUUGCAAGAGCAGUUCAAAUUGGUUUUGAACCAUCACUACUAGGGAAAACCUUAUACACAGAAUCUUAGCAGCAGCGCAGCUCAAAAAGAGGCACUACGGCUACUUAGCAGUAGCGAUCUUCAGAAAAGCGCGCUGCUAAUGAAAAUUUAGUAGUAGCGCUUGAUGGAUAAACCGCGCUGCUACAAAAAUGUACCGACAGAACCCAAUAACCUCAGUUUACCAGCAGUGCGGUGGCGCGAUGCGCGCUACUGCUAAAGCACUACUAGUAGCGCGCUUUUUUGUCACGUCGCUGCUGCUAAUUUUGAAAUUGUCCUCACAGUUGGCCCGUUUAGCAGUAGCGCGUGUUUGUAAAGCGAGCUGCUACUACACGCUUAGCAGUAGCGCUCUUUUCCUCCCGCGCUACUGCUAAGGCGCAGCACCCCACCACCUUUUCCCCACCCGUCCUCCCCUCCCCCAUAUCCUCUCCUCCCUUUCCCAUACCUCCCACAUCCUCCCUCUCUCACUCUUCUUCUUCCUCAAGACUUCUCCCCCAUUACUCUCCCUCUUCUACCUACCUUUCUCUCUCUUCAUUACUCCUAGCUAACUACACCACCUCCAUUAAUGCAUCUCCUUUAUCUUUUUCCUUCCCACCACUAGUUGAAGUUGUCUCCUCCCAAAUUAGCUAGCUAGGUAGAUGUAGCAUUUAUUCAAGUGACCUAUUUGCCCCCUAACUAGAUCUAUCUUUGUCAAGAAGAGCUUUGUGCACUUUUGAUCUCCCUACAUCAUCAUCUCCACCGUGUGCUCGAUCUCGAGAUAGAGCUGAUUAAAAUUUCAUGCUUUUGCAAAAUGGAAAUAUGUGUAUGUGUGUGUGAUAUGAUAAUUGGCAAUAUUAUGGAAAUUGUGUGUGUGGCAUGAGUUGAUGCCAAAUUGUGCUUUUGAGUUGCCUAUGUUUUGCCGAAAUGUCAAUUUAUUUCUGUUUCGGCGAAUUCCGGGCAAACUCUAGAUCUAUAUAUGUCCUAUUUUUAGGGAAGGUCAUGCCGAAUUUUUGUAUGACUUUGAUGCAUGCACUCAUUUUUAUAAUCAAUUUGUUUUUUAUUAUCGUGCAGACGUUCAUGAUGGUCAGUGGAACGAUGGUGGACAGGUGGUUGCGGUCGGCGGUGCAGGACAUGAAAGAAAAUAACCGGACAGAGGUUUUAUGUCCAUGUCGAAAAUGCAAAGGAAUAGUUUGGCUCGACCCCUGUGAUGAUGGUCGUGUCGAAGCGCACCUGCUCAUGACUGGUUUCAUGGAUGGCUAUACUCAGUGGAUAAUUGAAGAUGAGGAUGAUGAUGUUGAGGACGCCAACGGGGCAGGCAAUGAUGACACGGGGCAAGACGAAGAGAUGAUCGAUAAUGGCGGCGGGGAAGAGGCUGGACAUGGCGGCGGAGAAGGGGCCGGACAUGGCGGAGGAGAAGGGGCCGGACAUGGCGGCGGAGAGAAUGUCAUGGACUCCACGCAGCAGAGUUUGUCGGUACUAAGUUCAAUCGUGCGGGACCCUCAUGUUCAAGCAUUGCUUCGCAAGGAGACGAGUACUGAGAGAGCUGCUUCUAGAGAGGAGGCUAAGCUGGAGCAACUGGUGGUAGACUUGAACACUCCAUUAUAUGAUGGUUGCAAUCCUGAGGUGACCCGCUUGAGUUUCACGCUCCAACUCCUGAAGACGAAGGCUAAAAACAAAUGGACCGAGCCUAGCCUCGAUGAGCAUCUCAAGUACCUAAAGGAUGUUCUUCCCGUGGGGAAUCUAUGUCCUACUAGUGUUGAUGAGUCCAAGAAGAUCGUGUGCCCUCUUGAUCUGCCACAUGUUAGAUACCAUGCAUGCAUCAACGAUUGCAUAAUUUAUCGGAAGGAGCACGCGGAAAAAACAAGCUGUCCGGUGUGCAAUGCUUCUCGAUACAAGAAGGCCAGGAAGAAAUGUCCCCAGAAAGUUGUAUGGUACUUACCGAUCACUCCCCAUCUCCAGCGGUAUUUUGUAGAUCCCAAGGAAGCAAAGCUAAUGCGCUGGCACACGGAGAGGAAGACGUCCGACGAUGGAGAUGAUCCGAAGCUGAGACACAUCAAGGAUGGAAGCCAGUGGAGAGCGUUGAACAUCUUCUAUCGGUAUUUUGAAUGUGAUGCAAGGAACAUCGUGCUCGGCGCGUGUCCCGAUGGCAUGAAUCCGUUUGGCAACCAGAACACCAACCAUAACACAUGGCCAAUGUUUGUAUGGAUGUACAACCUCCCCCUGGUUGUGCAUGAAGUCGACAUACAUCCACAUGAGCAUGCUUAUUCAAGGGCCGAAACAACUAGGAAAUAAUAUUAAUUUGUAUCCGGGGCUACUUCAAGAGGAGUUAGACACGUUAUGGAAAACACUGACCAAGACAUGGGACGCCAGCAAAGGCGAGUAUUUCUACAUGAGAGCCGCGCUGAUCACGACGGUGCACGACUAUCUUGGUUACAGAUAUGUCGCAGGCUAGGUGUGCCAUGGAUAUUGCGGAUGCAUGCAGUGCAUGGAUGAUACAACGUCUCAGCAGCUAACGUCAAGGAAAGAUGGCGGGUCUGGGAAAAUCGUGUACAUGGGGCAUCGAAGAUGGCUCGAACAGGACGACCCAUGGAGAAACCAUGGAGAUCUAUUCAAUGGUCACACUGAGCAUCGAGGACCUCGACGUAAGCAGAGCAGUGCCGAAAUCGAUGAGCUGUUGAAAAACUGGAAGGAGUGCCCCGCACUGGGAAAGACGAUGAGAAAGGUGCCGGAGCCGCUGCUGAAGGUAUGGAAGACGAGGUCUGUGUUCUAGGACUUGGAGUACUUGCACAAACUUGAUACACCUCAUUGCCUUGAUCAAAUGCAUAUCUGUAAGAAUGUCCUUGAGAGCUUGCUCGCGACACUGAUAAACAGGCCGGAUAAGACCAAGGAUGGGCCGAAGGCAAGAAAAGACUUGCAAGAUUUGAAAAUCAGGGAAGAUCUGCACAUGCUGCCCCGUAAAAUGUCAGACGAGACAGAGACGGAGACAGAGGCACGGGAGAAGAAGGGCAAGAAAAUAAAGAAAGAGGAUUAUUGCCCCCCUUCUUGCUUCACCUUAAGUCAGGCUGAGAUCGGUCAAUUCUUUAAGUGCUUACCGGAGUCAAAGUUAGUUCCGGUUACUGUGGUAAGAUAAGCAGAUAUCUAGACACGGACAAGAAAAGGUUCAGCAGGAUGAAGUCCCAUGACUGUCAUGUGAUGAUGAUGCAGAUACUACUUGUUGCCCUUAGAGGGAUUAUGGACAAGCACGUCCGUGACACGCUUAUUGGUCUCUGCAACUUUUUCGACGUCAUCUCUCGAAAGUCGAUCAGUGUGAAGCAACUCCGAAGGCUACAGGAAGAGAUCGUUGUCAUACUGAAUGAGCUUGAGAUGUACUUCCCACCCGCGUUCUUUGACGCGAUGGUGCAUCUAUGUGUCCAUAUUGUGGACGCCAUAAUAGACCUGGGGCUGUCAUUUCUGCACAACAUGAUGCCGUUUGAGAGGAUGAAUGGGAUCAUCAAAGGAUUCAUUCAUAACAUGUCCCGUCCAGAUGGAAGCAUCGUCCAGGGCUAUCUGACACAAGAGUGCAUCUCUUUCCACGAGAAUUUUCUAUAUGGUGCAGACCUGCAGCCACCUGGUGUUAGUGUUGGUUUGCCCGUUAACAAGCACGAUGGGAGGCUCGAAGGAGAAGGUCACUCCAACGGUCGCAGGGAACUGCACGUGGCAUACUCAGAUCGACGCAACGACUUUGAUAGAGCAAACUUGGUAGUGCUACAACACGUAGACGAGGUAGAUCCUUUCGUGGCACUGCACCAAGAAAUUAUCGCAAAGAAGUAUCAUGACCGGGGGGUAUGCAGGAUGGACACCGAAGUUACUAGAGAGCACAACUCCACUUUCCUGCAUUGGUUCAAAGAGCAUAUUAUCCUAAUCCCCCGGAGGAGGGCUCUAAGGACGGAUUGCUCAUAUACGCCUUAGCACAUGGCCCCUCGCCCAACCUUGUAACCUAUCAGACAUACGAUAUCAACGGAUACACGUUCUACACGGAGGCCAAAGAUAUGGACAGUGAUGAUCAGAACUCAGGGGUGACGAUGGAAUGCAUGACCGAAUCCGACAACGGUGGAGCUAAAAGAUUUUACGGAAGGGUCGAGGAGAUCUGGGAGCUUGACUACGCUGGACUGCACAACACGACGAUGUUCCAUGUCAGAUGGGCUAAGAAUGUCGAAAGAGAAAACCGGAAUUUCACUACCAUGACUAUACCCGACGCCAAGAGCGCUACCGCGAACGCUAUCGCAAAAAACGAGCCAUGGGUACAUGCUAAGCACGUGACACAAUGCUUCUUCAUAACUGGCCCGUGCAAUCCCAGCCGUGUUGUCGUGAGGAGAGGAAAAAGGAACAUCAUUGGAAUGGAUGGAGUCGCCUACGAGGAAGACUACGAUCAGUAUGGCAACCCAAUGAGGGAAGAUGACGAUGAUGAUGAAGUAUACGUCAAAAGAAGAAUCAAUACUACAUUACCUAAGAAAAAUCGUACUCCAUGGAAAAGGCAAAGUCACAAUGAGGGGCUCAAUUAUUGUUCAAUGAACAAGAAGGGAAAGAAGCUGACUCAAAAACGAAAAUGUCAAUGCUCUAUGGUUACAGUUUUUGCGAAAAGCCAAUUUUUCCCUACUGCAAAGGAAUAGAUUUUAUUUAACUAUCAUUGUGGUUGUUAAACAUUGAGAAUGGUUGACAGCAUUCUCAAUCCCAAUUAAACAUCAUCAUUAAAACCCAACAAAAUUAAUUAUAAGUAACAUGAUGAGAUCACAUGAUAAUCCAAGUACUAGAUACUCAAAACGUCCAUAACCGGGGACACGACUAAUCAUGAUUAGUUUGUACACUCUGCAGAGGUUGCGCACUUUUCCCCACAAGACUCGAUCGCCUCUGUUUGUUUUCUCGCACUACAUGGUGUUUGAGAAACGGAUGACCGAGACAUAGUCUUUCAGAAGCGCUAGCACCUUACAAUUGGGUAGACCGUACCACCUACAUCCCUACAUCUGCUAGUCUACCACUGUAAGAGUUCACACGACUUACUCAGCUAUGCUAGAGCCCAUAAUAGCAUGUGGCUGCACACGGAAGUUUCUAGCAUCAAUAAUCUUAUGAUCCCUAUGAGCCUGGGUGGCGGCCCAAAAAAAACAGGCAAUCCUGGUCUACCCAGGUGCCUAGACAGGCAAUCCUGGAAUAACCAGGUACCUCAAUCCACCCAGAUGUGUAUUAAUGUUGCCACCUUAAAUAAACCAUUAAAUUAACAAUCUCACAUCUGUCAUGGAUAUUCACUCAAACCCAAUCCACCUCUACGAGCAUAGCAUGGCAUAAUAAGCAAACGUAGAAGUAACUCCCAAGGGUUUGAUAAUAAAACAGGUAAUAGGUACUACCUCAAACUACUUCCCAAAACCCACAAUUUAAUUAGUUCCUAAUCAUGCAAUUGUUUGAGGAUUGAUCUAAUGCAUAAAAAUUGGGUAGUAAAGGGAUAUGAUCAAAGUGUGAACUUGCCUGUACUGUUGAUGAAGAUGAUUCGCACUCAACUCCUGAUAGUUCUAUUCGUCUCACUCCGUUCAAUCUAUCGUAAGCAAGCAAUAGUAACCACACAUAAGCAAUCACUCAAAAGAUCGGAAAGAACGAAGAAAACAAAUCAGAAAACUUCAAAACCAAACAAAUAACUCUUGCAACAGAAAACAAUUUCUAACAGUACCAAAAUUAUGUGAAUUUGGCCUUAUCAGAAAGUUUAGGGCAAGAGCUUCGAUUUGCAAAAAGAAUCAACUAAAACGGAAUUAUAAAACUCCAGUUACGAUCAUACAAAGUUCAAGUACUAAACUGUUUGAAAUUGAAAUUUUACACUUUCAAAAACAUGUUUAAGUUGUUUAUCUGGAUAGAGGGGAUCAUAACGAAGAAGUGGGCAUUGGUUUCGUUGGAUUUGGAUAAAAGGUUGAAAAGUAGUGAGCGUUUGAAGAUUAGGGACUAAUCUGUGAAGAAACUAAUUACAUACGGGUCCCUGGCAGAAAACUAAAAUAAAAGAAAAAGACUAAAUAGCGAACGCUCGUCACCGAUCGCUACCGAACCCUAGCUAAGGAACGCUCACAAACUAAACUAAAUAAAACCGAUCUAGAACUAUAAAGAAAAACCGGGCGGGUUUUUAGAAGUUAUACCGGCUUGGGCGGUUCAGGGCGGUUUACGGCGAAAAACCGACGGUGGCGGUUUGGAUCGGGGCGGCGGCUCCGGCGAGGCUGCGGACUCCGGCGAGUGCGGCGAUGACGGGAUGGCGCGGUGGCGAGGCGCAGAUGCGGCUCCGAUGGGCGUCGUCCUCGUCCUCGGCGGCGGGGCAAGGCGCGGGUGGCUCCGGCGAGUGCGCGGGGCGGCGGCGGCAAAGUGCAGCGGUGGAGGUGAGAUCCGGCGCCGGCGGCGUGUUGCGAGGAGAGGUGAGGCGAGGAGAGAGAGGGGCCCGGGGCGGCGCCCUUUAUAGGAGGGGAGGGGAGGCGCAAGGCGUGGAGGAGGGGGCAAGGUGGCGGGGCGGCGCCGGACUCCGGGAGGAGUCCCGGUCGGGGAUGACAGGCGAGGCGGUGCGGUGCUGGGCCUUGGCCUGGCUGGAGCGGGGCCGGCCCAGUUCGGCGGAAGAAAGUUUUCUCUUUCUUUUUGUUUUCUUUUUUAAACAAAUUUUCAGAAAAUAAAAUAAAACCAAAAUAAAUAAAUAAAUACUAUAGGCAUAUAAUAUAUCAAAAUUUUCAGAAAAAGAUUUCCUACAUCAUGAACAUUAUUCUAGCGUCAAAUAAAAUCCACAAUAAUUUUAAUAAUUCAAACGGUGCUACUGACCUAUUUAAAACCCAAUAAAAUCAUUUUAAAAAUACCAAAAUUAAUUCAAAUUUAUUUUUCUCCAAUUUUCUACUGGAGGGAAUCAUGUUACCCUAAUUUCCAUAUAUUUUAUUUUUUGAGAAAAAAUAAUUUGAAUAAAACCCAAAUAACUCCAAAUUGAAAAUAAAUUCAAAAGAAGUUUGAAUUUAAUUCUUUGAAACUCCCAACUCAUAUUUCAUGUGUUUUGAAGAAGUCAUUUUAUCUUCGCUCGUGAAAAUCAUUGAGUUGCAUAAAGUUCCUGGGUUGGAAAUAUUUUCCAAAUGAAAUUCAAUUAUUUUCAACACCCCUUGUCAUUUAAAUAAAUGGAAGAAGUCAUGUCAUCUUCUCUCCAUGGUUUUGUGGUGAAAAGAAUUUGAAUUCAUGGAGAUCAAAAUGCAAAAUAAAAGUUUGGGAAAGUCCUUUUAUUCCCUCUCAUUUAACUUUCAAAAGUUUCGAAUUUCACUCAAUCAAUCACACAACAAUCAAACAAACAAUCAAAUCUAUCUAUUUAAUAUAACAUUCCAAAAUUUAGAAUUUUGGGAUGUUACAAACCUACCACCCUUAAAAUGAAUCUCGUCCUCGAGAUUCGGAGAGGCUAGAAAGAAAUAGGUUAGGGUCGGGGUCUUCUCAAAAUCCAUCGAUCAUCACAGGGGGUCUGGGGUACUACCACCCUUAGAAACAUUGUUACAGUUCCAUUAAAACUCAUAUACUCCAUCCUUAUUGUUGACAUUGUCAGUUUCUCAGAUUCUCGGGAAAAAUUCCUUCUCUGGGAUCUUCGGGUAGUGGCAUAACCUUUUCCUCAAUUCUUUUGUCCUUUCGUCUUGGUACGUUUCUUCUGGGACUGGGUAUUCAUAGCUGACGGGUCUGGCGCCAAUACUAAACAACUAUCGAUAUCUCAUGGUGGUCAACAAUUUAUGGUUGCUCCUGCAGGAAAUGGGUCUGGGUUGAACCUCACCGUAUAUCCUACGAUUGGCAACAACUGUCAUUUACAAGGAAAAGUACUUAUACCAUUCUAAGGAUUAAACAAGGUUUUGAUCGUCGUCUCUCUACUAUGGGUAAGUCACUCAGAUUUACCGUCCCACAUAGCAAGGCGAAUAAUAAGAGUAAGUCGGUAUGGUGAUCAAUCCAUCCCGCACCCAAAUCAUUACCUUGUAUACGGUUUAGCGAAUCUCGCAUGCUAACACUCGGUCAUCCUCACAAGCAUUGCAGAAUUUCUCUUGUCGAUGAACCAAGUUCGGAUAAAUCCAUUGAUUCUGCAAGUCAAACAAACGUCUAUCGUUCCUUCACAACUCUCGGGUUUUGUGUAAACUCCUAUAAGAUUGUCUGCCGACAAAAUCGUAACUUCUUCUUCUAGGGUUUUUCCUUCAGCAAGAGUGUGCUUGCUUCUUGGCAGGUCCUGGGGCCUGUGGGUUAUGGCCCAUCUCAUCACUUGUAAACCUUGAACUCAUCAUCGGGGCAACUGAUCAUUACUCCAAACAUCAAAGUUCUUAGCAUUCUUAAACCCAUCCAAUUGUACUGUCUCCCUUCCUUCGGUUGGUACCAAACUAAACGUGAUUACUCAGACUCAUCAGAGAGUCACCGUUGCUCCAUAUUACCAACAUCAUACUCCUUUAUAUCCAAAUAGUACUUCAUUCAUUCAUACUCUUGGGGUAUCCCACAUAUCGAGACAAAACUCCUUCUUAUUUUGUCCGAAGUCCACUCCGUGGAAUAUCAUAAUCCUUUCCAGGGGUCAAAUCUCCUCAUAGGGUACUACCACCCUUAAAAUGCUCCAAUCUCAUCCAUAGACCAUAUUUCUCAUAUCCUCGAAAAUGGUCAAAAUCUUUCUUCAUAGAGUAACAACUCAUAAAAUCCAAAUCAGUGCCAACGAUGAUAACUUUAUUGACACUCCAAUUACUACAAUCUCCUGUAUUUCUAUUACAUGCCUCAACUCAACACCUCAAUGUAAAAGAAUUGUUCCCACUACUACUACUACUACAUUUCUUAUGUUGCAAACUCAACUAUUUAUCACAAGUCUCCUUCUCUUUGGGACAAUCCCUGGCAAAGUGCCCUGCUUCAUUACAAAAGAAACAUAUUACUACUGACAAGUCUUGAGGUUUCCUUAUGACUACAUAGCCUCCUUGGGUCCUCGACUUCCUUUUUCGACAUCUAUCGGCGUAUUAACCUAAAUCCUUGCACCUGUAACAGGUGACAUGACUCAGAUCCUUCUCUGCAGAAAUUGGGUUGUUCCUAGAAUCCAAUCUAUUUCUCUUCAUGGACUUUUCCAUUCCAAUCAGGGCUUCUAUUUCCUAUGGGUCAUACUCUACUUCCUCCAUCGAGAAUUCUACUAGAUCCCCAUUCAGACAAUUUUGGGAGAUAGGUCCUUCUUCUCCACAUGAAUAGCAUGACUUAAUGCAGGCUUUAAUUUUGAUUCCUUUGUGUGCGUCCUCCACCUCUUCCUUCAUCAUAGGUUCUUCUAAAGUUUCCUUGAGGGCUCCUUUCUUCUGCUGGAUGGUUCGGUAAAUGUGACACUGGGCAGGGUAGUGGGUAGUUCCUUCACACAAGAAACAAGUAAUCUGCCCAGUUGGGCAUUCUUCAGCUAGGUGACUUCCUUCAUAAUUUGGGCAUUCAUCCUUGUGCUCCUUAUGGUUGUGUCCUAUUUCUCCACAAAGCUUGCAUGCACAAGAUUUCUUCAUAUCCUUUCCAUAAGGCUUCAUCUUCUGAGACACAAGCCGGGACUUUAGCAAGGUCAACUUAAAUUCCUUCCAAGUGGUUACUCCUUGCCAUCCAUUGAUGGUUUGGUACAUCCUCCACCAAGUAGCAACACCUCUUUCAAAGCAUUGAAGAGCAUACUGGGCCAUAUCCUUUCCGUCUAUAGGGUUAUCCUUCAUAUGAUCCUCCAUGUUCUGAAUCCAUCGGUCCGUCUCCAAUUGACUCGUCAAUCCAGAAAAUAUGGGUUCAUCUCCAUUCAUCCUCUAUUGGGUCCAUGGGUUUUGGGGUGGGAUAAGAGAGAUAGGGAGGUAUGCACACAAUACAAACAAUAGUUUUAAAAAGGGCAUUUUUAUUUUGUGGCUGUCGGAAAAAUCAAACAAAUGACAGCUCACAAACAUCGCAUCUAACGUAAGUAUGUAACAGGGGUUUGGUCUUCUAAAGGUCAACAAAUCUUCAAAGUCGCCAAACUCUUCAAGUCUUGUUCAUGUCUCCGAUGGCUUCUUCCGAUCCUGCUUGUCCUUCUCAAGUUCUUCUAUCAGGUCAUUUCUGUUAAUGCAAAGUCUGUCAUGACAUCCUUUAAUAUUCUGGAGUUCCGUUCCAAACUUCUGGGUUUCAACAUCCUUGGCAAUGAGCCAUGGUCCUACUGUCCUUUAGUUCCUGACAAAUCUCUGGUAUGUUGAGGUUUAGCUCCUACAGCUUGGCUACUUUCAGCUUCUGGUUCUUGAAUUCUUCACGAAUUGUUCCAUGUCAAAUAUGACUUCCUAAAGGUCCAUCUUAAACUUCUUGAAUGUAAUACUCCAGAUCCUGGUGAUACACCAGAUAAUAUUAAAACUGCAUCUUUUGCUGACAGAUGCUCCAUCAUCCUUCUACCAUCCAAUCCUUCCAUACAUCUGCAUGCUUACUCUGCACGGUGACAAUAGCAUAAGCGAGCGAUAGCAUCAUGGAUAUCCGUGUUUAUGCCCAUGUUUGUGCCAUGAGCUAUCAUUCCAUAGUUGAUAUCCCAUGUCUUGGGGUUUUCUUGACAAAACUUUGAGUUCUACUGCUCCAUGUUCUGGUCUUUCUCCGAUACGCCUUGAUCUCGGGUAUUGACAACUUCUAUAGUCUGACAAGCUCUAUUAGAGUAGCCUUCCUAGGUCAUACCAAUCUGGAAAUUCUUCAAAGCCUUCAAAUUCUUAGUCUUCGGAGUCUUCACCGUUGUAUUUUCCGUCAUUGUAAUGAACGGUAAAAAUCCUUUUUAUUCCAAGUGGUCUUAAUUGUCCGAUAUCUUGUACUUCUUGGAGUGGUCUCAUCAGUCGAAUCUUCGAGGGGUCAAAAAGGGAAAAGGGGUAUGGUCUCACUAAAAAGGAAUAUUUGAAUAAGCUCAGAAGAGAAGAGAGGUAAAAGAUUCUUUUGAAAAGAAAGUUGUACAGAAAAAUCUUUCCUAUGGGCUUGCCAGUUUCUAGGGUCACGUCCUACAGCCGACAUGUGCUCUGAUACCAUCUUGUAGCGACCCGACCCGAAUGGAUCGAAUCUCUGUGCUUAAGUGUCAUCCCUGGAUCGGCAUGCUGAUACACACAAUACUCGAGGAUUUAUAACAGAGGUAAAUCACAUGUAUAAAGUAACGUAAAUAAUAUUACCUCAAAUCCACAUAGCGAAAGUAACAAGGUUGUGGAUUCCCAUCAACACCAACGGCAAAGUUGAGUGUAGAAACCGUAACCCUAACCUAUCACUUACUCGUCGUAAGAAUCCUGCAACAUGAGACAUUGCAGCCAUGUAGAUCAGUACAUUGAAUGUACUGGCAAAUUCACACCAUAGAGCAAUGUUGAAUAAAGGCUAUCACUACAUGCAUAUAUGGUUGGUGGAAAGCUCUAUGGUUACAGUUUUUGCGAAAAGCCAAUUUUUCCCUACUACAAAGGAAUAAAUUUUAUUUAACUAUCAUUGUGGUUGUUAAACAUUGAGAAUGGUUGACAGCAUUCUCAAUCCCAAUUAAACAUCAUCAUUAAAACCCAACAAAAUUAAUUAUAAGUAACAUGAUGAGAUCACAUGAUAAUCCAAGUACUAGAUACUCAAAACGUCCAUAACCGGGGACACGGCUAAUCAUGAUUAGUUUGUAAACUCUGUAGAGGUUGCGCACUUUUCCCCACAAGACUCGAUCGCCUCCGUUUGUUUUCUCGCACUACAUGGUGUUUGAGAAACGGAUGACCGAGACAUAGUCUUUCAGAAGCGCUAGCACCUUACGAUUGGGUAGACCGUACCACCUACAUCCCCUACAUCUGCUAGUCUACCACUGUAAGAGUUCGCACGACUUACUCAGCUAUGCUAGAGCCCAUAAUAGCAUGUGGCUGCACACGGAAGUUUCUAGCAUGAAUAAUCUUAUGAUCCCUUUGAGCCUGGGUGUCGGUCCAAAAAAAACAGGCAAUCCUGGUCUACCCAGGUGCCUAGACAGGCAAUCCAGGAAUAACCAGGUACCUCAAUCCACCCAGAUGUGUAUUAAUGUUUCCACCUUAAAUAAACCAUUAAAUUAACAAUCUAACAUUUGUCAUGGAUAUUCACUCAAACCCAAUCCACGUCUACGAGCAUAGCAUGGCAUAAUAAGCAAACGUAGAAGUAACUCCCAAGGGUUUGAUAAUAAAACAGGUAAUAGGUACUACCUCAAACUACUUCCCAAAACCCACAAUUUAAUUAGAUCCUAAUCAUGCAAUUGUUUGAGGAUUGAUCUAAUGCAUAAAAACUGGGUAGUAAAGGGAUAUGAUCAAAGUGUGAACUUGCCUGUACUGUUGAUGAAGAUGAUUCGCACUCAACUCCUGAUAGUUCUACUCGUCUCACUCCGUUCAAUCUAUCGUAAGCAAGCAAUAGUAACCACACAUAAGCAAUCACUCAAAAGAUCGGAAAGAACGAAGAAAACAAAUCGGAAAACUUCAAAACCAAACAAAUAACUCUUGCAACAGAAAACAAUUUCUAACAGUACCAAAAUUAUGUGAAUUUGGCCUUAUCAGAAAGUUUAGGCCAAGAGCUUCGAUUUGCAAAAAGAAUCAACUAAAACAGAAUUAUAAAACUUGAGUUACGAUCAUACGUAGUUCAAGUACUAAACUGUUCAAAAUUCAAAUUUUAAACUUUCAAAAACAUGUUUAAGUUGUUUAUCUGGAUAGAGGGGAUCAUAAUGAAGAAGUGGGCGUUGGUUUCGUUGGAUUUGGAUAAAAGGUUGAAAAGUAGUGAGCGUUUGAAGAUUAGGGACUAAUCUGUGAAGAAACUAAUUACAUACAGGUCCCUGGCAGAAAACUAAAAUAAAAGAAAAAGACUAAAUAGCGAACGCUCGUCACCGAUCGCUAGCGAACCCUAGCUAAGGAACGCUCGCAAACUAAACUAAUCAAAAAAAAUAAAACCGAUCUAGAACUAUAAAGAAAACCGGGCGGGUUUUUAGAAGUUAUACCGGCUCAGGCGGUUCGGGGCGGUUUACGGCGAAAAACCGGCAGUGGCGGUUUGGAUCGGGGCGGCGGCUCCAGCGAGGCUGCGGACUCCGGUGAGUGCGGUGAAGAUGGGAUGUCGUGGUGGCGAGGCGCGGAUGCGGCUCCGACGGGCGGCGGCUUCGUCCUCGGCCGCGGGGCAAGGCGCGGGUGGCUCCGGUGAGUGCGCGGGGCGGCAGCGGCAAAGUGCGGCGGUGGCGGUGAGAUCCGGCGGCGGCGACGUGUUGCGAGGAGAGGCGAUGCGGUGCGGUGCUGGGCCUUGGCCUGGCUGGAGCUGGGCCAGCCCAGUUCGGCGAAAGAAAGUUUUCUCUUUCUUUUUGUUUUCUUUUUUAAACAAAUUUUCAGAAAAUAAAAUAAAAACAAAAUAAAUAAAUAAAUACUAUAGGCAUAUAAUAUAUCAAAAUUUUCAAAAAAAGAUUUCCUACAGCAUGAACAUUAUUCUAGCUUCAAAUAAAAUCCACAAUAAUUUUAAUAAUUCAAACGAUGCUACUGACCAAUUUAAAACCCAAUAAAAUCAUUUUAAAAAUACCAAAAUUAAUUCAAAUUUAUUUCUCUCCAAUUUUCUACUGGAGGGAAUCAUGUUACCCUAAUUUCCAUAUAUUUUAUUUUUGGUGAAAAAAUAAUUUGAAUAAAACCCAAAUAACUCCAAAUUGAAAAUAAAUUCAAAAGAACUUUGAAUUUAAUUCUUUGAAACUCCCAACUCAUAUUUCAUAUGUUUUGAAGAAGUAAUUUUAUCUUCGCUCGUGAAAAUCAUUGAGUUGCAUAAAGUUCCUGGGUUGGAAAUAUUUUCCAAAUGAAAUUCAAUUAUUUUCAACACCCCUUGUCAUUUAAAUAAAUGGAAGAAGUCAUGUCAUCUUCUCUCCAGGGUUUUGUGGUGAAAAGAAUUUGAAUUCAUGGAGAUCAAAAUGCAAAAUAAAAGUUUGGGAAAGUCCUUUUAUUCCCUCUCAAUUAACUGUCAAAAGUUUCGUAUUUCACUCAAUAAAUCACACAACAAUCAAACAAACAAUCAUAUCUAUCUAUUUAAUAUAACAUUCCAAAAUUUAGAAUUUUGGGAUGUUACAUAUAUGUUCCUAUUUUGUAUACAUAUUUAACCGUCAAAUGAUGCAAUAUAUAUCGCCUUCCAUUCGUUCACUGCUAUCAGAAAAAAAGUGAGAGAAAAUAAAGGAAAAGAAAAAGGAAAAUGGUUAUAGUAGUAGCGCUUGACUGAAAAAGAGCUACAGCUAGUCAAGGUAGCAGUAGCGGUUUCCGUAUAAAACCGCUAUAGCUGCCUGUAAUAGUAGUAGCACGUUUGGUCUAAACGCGCUACUGCUACGCCCACUUAACCCAAAAUCCUCAGUCUCUCUGCUUCAUCCCGCCUCUUUUCCCCCAAAUCCCCACUCCCCCAUGGCACCGCCGCGCCCCAGCGCUCGCCCUCGACCCGGCGCUCGCCCCCGACCCCGGCCCUCGCCCCCGACCCCGACGCGCCACGCCUCCCUCCUUUGCUUCCUCCCCUCCCAACCUCGGCCGUCGUCGGGCCUGCCUCCUCACCCCUGCACCCUCUGUAAACCCCCCUCUCUCUGCUAGCUAGGGUUCUUCGGUUAAUUUACUUAGGUUUUAGUUAGGGCAGUAGGUUAAUUAGGUUAUCUAUUUAGUUAUGAAUUUAGCUAGGUUUUAAAAUAGGACAGAAAUUUAGGGUUAAGCAAUUGCAGUUAAAAGAAAAAGCAGCAUUUAAGCAAUUAUCCAAAUCAACAUCCCUUGUUAAAGCACAUUUAGGUAGGCUGAAUUUAGGUAGGCUGAAUUUAUAUGUAAAUUUGAACUGGACAUGUGAUAUGUGGACAUGUCAUGUUUGGAAUUUGGACAUGUGAUGUUUUGGUUCAAUUUUGGUAAAUGAUCCGAGUGGCCUAUGUUACGUCGAAUGUUGAUUCAUUUUUGUUCCGGUGAAUUUCAGGCGCUCGAUAUGUCCAUUUUUUAGGAAAGGUCAUGCCGAAAUUUUCCGUGAAUUUUGGCAUGAUUUGUGCUAGAUAGUAGGCAUAUCGAGUGUUGGCACAUAGAUUUCUUUUUUUAUAUCAUUUCUCAUUUUUUUCAUACUUUUAGAAAUAAACGAGGAGACUUAAUCAUAGGAAACAUGUCAAACAACAAAGAAACUGGGCCUUCUGACCAAGAUGCAGACGAGAUGGAUUAUGAGGGUGAACAAGAGUACCUCGACUAUUUGACUACUGAGCAAGGUUUGCAGGUCGGCCUCGAUGAUGGUACUGACGCCGACAUCGACACCGACGGUGCCGGCACCGAUGGCGGCGCCGAGACCGGCGGGGAAGGUACCGGCACCGAUACCGAAAAGAAGAAGCAGAAGAAGCAGAGGAUACGAAAACCUAACAAAAUAGGGAUUGGACGACUAGUGAUCACAAAGAUGGCACCUGGCAAGUUUGAGCCAUUAGAGCCGGAAGAACCUCGCAAGUGCUAUGGGAACCAAGUAGGAUGCAUCCUACGGGAAUGCGCGAGCAUCAACGACGAUGACUUAAGGAGUAAAGAACAUUUGACGGAGUUGCUCCUGACAAAGUUGCACAAGAGAUUCAAGUUCCCCGACCGGGAUGAUAACAUAGAACAACCGUGGGAUGAUCCUAAGAUGAAAAAGAUUAACAAUCACGCCAUGGGCAUGUUCAGCAAUGAUUUGGCCUCCUGGAAAGGGAGGGUGAAACGAGCUAUCGAGGCUGAGGAACCCCUGUCCAAGAUUCUGGAGGAAAAUCCGACACUUACGGAAGAGGAAUUCGAAAAGUUCAAGGACACUUGUGCUACCGAGGCAGCCAAGGCUAAGGCUGCGAAAUUCAAGAGCCUUCAGCAAAGGAACAUGGGGAAGCAUCGCCUCGGAAGCCGUGGCUACCUCGGUAAAAGGCCCAUAUGGGAUAAGGAGGACGCGGAACGUGAAGCCGCGGGUAUCCCAGACCCCUUCGCGAAGUUCACCAACCCCUUGGAGCGUGACUUCAUCAGGACCCACUACAAUUGGGACAAGGAAAAAAGGUUUUUUACACAGACCAGAUCACGAGGAAAUUGAUUAGACUACUGGUAAUUAUUCUUUUACCACCUUACAUUUAGCUCCAUAUCUAGUCGACUACACAUUCCUAAACGGUUCAUGCUCCUUCUGCAGGAGAAGCAACACCAGCUUGUAGCCGAAAGCCCUACUUCUCCGAUGAGGCCCAAGUGGGACACCCCUCUCAACCGGGCCUUGAACGAACUUAAGGGACUCCCUUUGGGCCAGCGACCGCAAUAUGGUCGUGUGCACGGCGCUGGAGACGGCGCCACGUGGAAGGUGUUUUACAAUGAGGGCCCGAAGGCCAAGAAGGAGAAAAAGAAGUUUAGUCAGGUGGACAUCGACGCGAAGGUGAAGCUUGUGGUCGAGAAAAAAGCAGAUGAGGACGCGAAAAAAUAGCCGAGGAGAAAAAUGAGUUGCUACAGCAGGCAGUCAAUGCAGCUGUAACUGCCUGCAGAAAUGAUUUUGCUACUAACUUGGUUCCAGCUAUCAUCAACUGGACGAAGGAAAAUCCAGACAAGACGGUACAUAAUUUCCCGAUGCCCAGUUUCAUCGGGAGCAACUCCAUGAACAACAACAACACCGCACCAUCACUUGCUCACGCAACCGGGCCUCCUCUCGCAGUCGCUCCCGCUCAUAGCAGCCUGUCCUUAGUCUCUGGCGCGCUAGGUGGGCCUUUGUCUUUGGCUGAGCUCGACGCCGUCACGGUAAUUACAUGUCGGAUGUUUUACGCCACAGACAUAUUUGUUUGCAGGCCAUAGAAACCCCGUGCACCAUACUCUACUUGAUCAAAGGCCAAAAGGUGGACGUGGGAAAGGGGAUGGUAAUGAACCCCUUGCAACCCAGGUUCCACAACCAGCCGAUCCCCGCUGGGCACUUCAGCGUUAGCUUGUCCAGUGUGAAAUUGAGGCACGAGGCUUUGCCUCCUCCAGUAUAGCAGGUGGGAGAGGACGACGAGACCCCGCCGCGGAUUGGAAGCUGCAAGCGUUGGGUGUUGCUAUGGCCGAAUAAUCUUAUUUGUCUGGAGCCGGCCAAGAGCACACCAAUAACCACACAUCAACAGGCAUGUGCGGAGACCACCACCCCGCCUACACAAUUACCAGCCCCUGUAGUGCCGGGUGAGAGCGGCGGACAACGUGAUGAAGGGGGGUGCAAUAGUACUGGCUGAUGUAAUCGGUCCUGUACACCAGAGAAUGGAUGAUGAGACGGAGGUCGACCCUAUGGGUUUCCUCAAUACAAACGCGUAUGACUGUGACAUAGAUAUGAUGAGUCAACCAUAUGACGAAUCGGGCUAUCAACAUGCUAAUGAGGAUAUGGAUGAUAUGCCCGAGGAAGGUCGUUGGAAGGAUUGCAAAAAGUCUCUCUUCAUGAAUUCCUCACAGGACACGCCUGAAGAUGCCGCCUCAACACAAGCUCAACCAGCCGGGGGUCGUACAGUGCUUAGCCCGGGAACCCUGGGGCAGGGGUUAAGGAAGGGUCUGGAAGGUGUGCCCAAGAAAAAGGAGAGGAAGAGAUAGGGGAAGAUAACUGCCUCCAAACAAGCCAGAGCACAUAGCAGCCAGACGAUGGAUUCUGAAGAGCUUGUACCCAUGAAAGGUGCAGCCAUGUUCCAUCUCACGGGCGAGCCGAUGCUACCGCCGAAACCGCUAGAGGCACUAUCAGGGGAUCUCCGGAGACUGCACAACCAUGUGAUGUCGACUGAGAAAAGCCUACUAGCCUCAAAGGAUCCAGGAUAUCUGACAUACACGGCUCGUGUGCCCGAGGGGAAGUGCUACGUCGACACACGACCCGCGGAGGUGUUCUUCCUGCGGUUUGACCAUAUCUUUGAGAUGUUUCUGAAAAGGCGGCUCGAUUUUACAAUCGUCCGCCUUUUUGCGCUACAUAUGAGCUCCGUCAUGAAGAGUGAAGAAGUCGCGCAAAUCUGUGUGGCGGAUCCGUACUACAUGCACGAGUCUUUCUUGAGUCUCGGCGACUUUGAGCGUGAAACUGCUAGGGACUACCUCCAAAACUUCAUGGUACAGAAUAAGGACCAGGAAAUUGUCCUCUUGCCUUAUCAUCCAAAGUAAGUCAGUUCUGGACAACCCUUUCGUACAUUUCAAUCAUUCCUUCUCGCUCAUAUGGAGAAUAAUUUGAGGUGUCUUUUCCCCGCAGGAACGGGCGCUCCGUCCUUAUAGUUCUUUACCCGCGAGUAUCCCACGCCGUGUAUUUUGACCCUUCCAGAGACUACGAGAAAAAGGACUACACCCACAUAAUGAAUAUUCUAGAUGAUGCUCUCCAGGGCUUCAGCAUUAGAGGUGGCCACAUGUAGAUCAGGAAACAAAGGAACAAGAAGAUGGGUUUCGUGCAUAAAACUAACUUCUCCUGCAUCCAUGUCCCAAAACCAAGCAAGAAGGAUGGAUUCUACAUCGUCCAUCUAAUGAUUGAGUUUAGCACGGAUCACCAAAAGCUUCGCAUGACAAGCAGAAAUGAUGAUCAUAUCCACAAGUGGCUAGAAUCUCAUGGAGAAGCAGAUUAUAAACUUAGAGAUGACUUCUUUCGCAUCCAAAGGGACAUUGCGAUGAUCAUCAUGAAAGAAGUCGUCGAUGAGAAGGGGAUGUUCCACCACGGCCCUAUAUCGCGAGCUGACGUCCGAACUCGCAUAGGCAUGCAACAUCUAGACCUCACGCCGUUCAAGAAGCUAGGGUCCAUCCUCGAUGAUAUGGAAGGAUGGAACUUCUAGUGAUUUACGAUGCCGAUGAUGAAGAUAUGUGUCGGUUGAACUUGUAUACUUUCUGUAGCGAUGAAACUUUGUGAUGUCUACGGUCCCUGCCGAACUUGCGUAACGCUACUUUGUUAGUUUGUGUACGAUGACCUGCGUACCUCUAGUUAAUUAGUUUGCGUAUUGUAUGUUGCAUCUAGUUGCUAACCCUUUCUUUUUCGUGUUGCUCUAGUAUAUUUUGUUGCAUAUGAUUGUACAUCCUCUUCAUGAAGAUGCAUCUCUAACAGGUACCUAGUUUCUUGAUGGCGAGAUGGCAGUGCUAUGUCAUGUACAAAGGGAAGGUUCCGGGGUGUACAACGAGUGGCCUGGGUGUCAGGCACAAGUGAAUGGGGUCUCAGGCGCCAGCCAUAAAGGCUUCAAAAGCAGACAAGAAGGAGAAGCUAGUUACUUGAGGUUCAUGCUAGCGCGAGAGAGGACUCGUAACCGCCGCCUCAUGUACUGCAUAGUUUCGCUCUCACUCAUAGUGAUAGCUCUUCUCACGUAUACCAUUGUUUGGAUGGAUGAUGUUGUAGUUGCAAGUAUUCGAGACUUGCAUGUAUCUCUAUUUUCAAGAUGAUGAUGAGAUACCACUUUGUGUUGGAUGAUGAUUAUGAUGAGACUAUUUGUAUGUAUAUGCUAUGAUUACAUUUGUGGUCUCGCAGUGUAUGUGUAUGAUGAUGACAUUUGCAUGUGCUAAAGAUUCUUGUAUAAAGCCUGUUCAAAUACAAAACAAAUAUGCAGAAAAAAAUAAAAAACUACUAAAAUUAGCAGUAGCGAGUGGAGGAAAGUUAGCAGCAGCGUCACUAUAACAGUAGCGCGUACGGCCAAAGCGCGCUAGAGCUAUUAGCAGUAGCGAGCAUCCACGCAGCACGCUGCUGCUACACUUGUAUAGCAGUAGCGCGGCCGCGCACGCGCUGCUGCUAUGGGUUAGCUGUAGCGCCCUAUUAGUAGCGCCAAUGCCUGCUCUACUGGUAGGCCAAAAACCCAUGCUGCUGCUAGGCUUUUCCCUAGUAGUGCAUAGUUACAUAGAAAUUUGGAAGCUUAUAUUGAUGAUAUAGUGUUCAAAACCAAGGACAAGUCAACCAUCAUUGAAGAUUUGGAAGAAACAUUUGCGAACUUGUGCAAAAUCAACAUGAAGCUCAACCCUGAGAAGUGUGUGUUUGGUGUUCCAUCCGGCAAAAUUCUCGGGUUCUUUGUGUCCCAGCAUGAAAUCAAACUGAAUCCCAACAAGAUCAAAGAUAUUGAGCAGAUUCAAGUACCCGAAACCAUCAUGGAUGUGCGGCGUCUUGCGGUUGUGUCACAGCUUUGAGUAGGUUCAUUUCAUGGUCUGUUGUGCGCACCCUGCCAUUUUUUCAAGAUAUUGAAGAAGGCAGGUCAGUAAAAUGGACUCCGGAAGUGGAGGCUGCAUUACAUGAUCUGAAAAGGUACCUGUCCUCGGCGCCAACCUUAGUCGCGCCUAAGCCACAUGAACCGUUGUUGCUAUAUUUAGCGGCAAUGAACCAAGUGAUCAAUGCCGCACUGGUUGCACAGAGAGAAGUUGGUGAUGAUGAGACAACGACGACAAAGCCAUACCAUGACAAAGUAGUAUCCUCCCCGGCAAAUCUAAAUGCCGGUAUGGCAAAAGCGUGCAAGAGAAAGUGGAUGAUCAGCAGAUUAUGCCAAAGAAGAAGAUGGUGCAGCAGUCGGUGUAUUUUGUUAGCUCUCUCCUGUAGGGGGCUAGGUCAAUGUAUUCAGGCAUGCCAAAGUUGCUCUUUGGCUUACUCAUGGCCUCAAGGAAGCCGCGCCACUACUUCCAGGUGCAUGAGAUCAUAGUGGUCACUCGCUUCCCAUUGCACCACAUUCUAAGGAAUACAGAGGCAACCGGUAGGAUAGUAGAGUGGGCAUUGGAACUGUCAAGUUUUGCACUCAAGUUCGAGACUAUUCAGAGAAGAGCAUUAGUAGAAUUCAUCGCGGAAUGGAUGCCAACGCAAGAUUAUGAGGCCUCGGAAUCAACCUGCCCCGGCAGGGAAACUAAGAAGAAUUGGAUCAUGUACUUUGAUGGUGCUUUAUCGCUGCAGGGCGCCUGUGCAGGAGUGCUGCUUGUCGCACCUGCUGGAGAAUUGUACGCAGUAUGAAGGACUACUUGCCGGCCUCAGAACUGCAGUGGAGUUGGGAAUCAAAAAGUUGAUCGUCCGAGGAGACUCGUAACUUGUAGUGAAGAAAGUGAACAAAGAUUACCAGAGCUUGUUGAUGGAUGCAUAUGUGGAUGAAGUUAGGAAAUUGGAAGAACACUUUGACGAUUAGCAAAUAGAGCACGUCCCCUGUGCGGGAAACAACAUUGAUGAUCAACUGUCAAAGUGUGCUGCCUAGAAGCUUCCCGUGGAACCAAGAACUUUUGUGCUCCAUUUGAAUCAGCCAAUAGUUGCCUCAUCAAAGAGAGCCAAGAAGAGAAGAACGCUAAGCACUGAUACGUACAUUUUUGCAUCAUGCUUUUAUAUCAAUAUUUAUUGCAUUAUGGGCUAUUAUUACACAUUAUAUCUCAAUACUUAUGGCUAUUCUCUCUUAUUUUACAAGGUUUACCAUGAAGAGGGGGAAUGCCGGCAGCUGGAAUUCUGGCUGGAAAAUGAGCAAAAGUUGGAAACCUAUUCUGCACAACUCCAAAAGUCUUGAAACUCCACGAAACAACUUUUUGGAAUUAAUAAGAAUUUCUGAGCGAAAGAAAUAGGCUAGGGGGCCCACACCCUAUCCAGGAGACAGGGGGGCGCGCCCCCCCUAUAGGGCGUGCCCCUAUCUCCUGGGCCCCCUGGUGGGCCUCCGGCGUCCAUCUUCUGCUGUAUCAUCACUUUUACCCUGGAAAAAAUCGUGGGCAAGCUUACGGGACGAAACUCCGCCGCCACGAGGCGUAACCUUGGCGGAAUCAAUCUAGGGCUAUGGCGGAGCUGUUCUGCCGGGGACACUUCCCUCCGGGAGGGGGAAAUCAUCACCAACGUCAUCAUCAACGAUCCUCUCAUCGGGAGGGGGUCAAUCUCCAUCAACAUCUUCACCAACACCAUCUUCUCUCGAAAACCUAGUUCAUCUCUUUUAUCCAAUCUUGUAUCAAAACCACAAAUUGGUACCCGUGGGUUGCUAGUAGUGUUGAUUACUCCUUGUAGUUGAUACUAAUUGGUUUACUUGGUGGAAUAUGUUCAGAUCCUUUAUGCAUAUUAUUACUCCUCUGAUUAUGAACAUGAAUAUGCUUUGUGAGUAGUUACGUUUGUUCCUGAGGACAUGGGAGAAGUCUUGCUAUUAGUAGUCAUGUGGAUUUGGUAUUUGUUCGAUAUUUUGAUGAGAUCUAUGUUGUCUUUUCCUCUAGUGGUGUUAUGUGAACGUCAACUACAUGACACUUCACCAUUAUUUGGGCCUAGAGGAAGGCAUGGGGAAGUAAUAAGUAGAUUAUGGGUUGCUAGAGUGACAGAAGCUUAAACCCUAGUUUAUGCGUUGCUUCGUUAGGGGUUAAUAUGGAUCCAUAUGUUUAAUGCUGUGGUUAGGUUUACCUUAAUACUUCUUUCGUAGUUGCGGAUGCUUGCAAUAGGGGUUAAUCAUAAGUGGGAUGCUUGUCCAAGUUAGGGCAGUACCCAAGUACCGGUCCACCCACAUAUCAAAUUAUCAAAGUACCGAACGUGAAUCAUUUGAGCGUGAUGAAAACUAGCUUGACGAUAAUUCCCAAUGUGUCCUCGGGAUCUCCUUCCUCAUUAUUAGAAAUUGUCCAGGCUUAUCCUUUGCUACAUAAAGGAUUGGGACACCUUGCUGCACUUUAUUUACUUUAUUUAUUUGUUGCUCGUUACUAUUUAUCUUAUCACAAAACUAUCUAUUACCUACAAUUUCAGUGCUUGCAGAGAAAACCUUACUGAAAACCGCUUAUCAUUUCCUUCUGCUCCUCGUUGGAUUCGACACUCUUACUUAUCGAAAGGACUACGAUAGAUUCCCUACACUUGUGGGUCAUCAAGACUCUUUUCUGGCGCCGUUGCCGGGGAGUGUAGCGCUUUUGGUGAGUGGAACUUGGUGAGGAAACAUUUAUAUAUUGUGCUGAAAUUUUCUAUUACUUGUCACUAUGGAAACUAAUCCUUUGAGGGGCUUGUUUGGGGUAUCUUCACCCCAACCAGAAGAGCAAAGAGUUUCUCCUCAACCUACUGAACUUGAUGAAAAUAUUUACUUUGAGAUUCCUUCGGGUAUGAUAGAGAAACUGCUAGCUAAUCCAUUUGCAGGAGAUGGAACAUUGCAUCCCGAUUUACACCUUAUCUUUGUUGAUGAAGUUUGUGGAUUAUUUAAGCUUGCAGGUAUUCCCAAUGAUGUUGUCAAAAGGAAGGUCUUCCCUUUAUAUUUGAAGGGAGAUGCAAUGACAUGGUAUAGGCUAUGUGAUAAUACAAGAUCUUGGAAUUAUAAGCAAUUGAAGUUGGAAUUUCACCAGAAGUUCUAUCCUAUGCAUCUUGUUCAUCGUGAUCGUAAUUACAUAUAUAAUUUCUAGCCUCGCGAAGGAGAAAGAUUCGCUCAAGCUCGGGGGAGGCUUAAGUCAAUGUUAUAUUCAUGCCCCAAUCAUGAGCUCUCUCGGGAAAUGAUUAUUCAGAAUUCCUAUGCUCGGCUUUCUCUUGAUAAUCGCAACCUGCUCGAUACUUCCUGUGUUGGUUCUUAUAUGCUGAAGACUAUUGAUUUCAGAUGGGACUUAUUGGAAAGAAUUAAAUUCAACUCCGAAUAUUGGGGUUCCGACGAUGGUAAGGAGUCAGGUAUGACACCUAAGUUCGAUUGUGUUAAAUCUUUUAUGGAUACCGAUGUUUUUCGUGGAUUUAGCGCUAAGUAUGGACUUGACUCUGAGAUGGUAGCUACUUUUUGUGAAUCUUUUGCUACUCACGUUGAUCUCCCUAAGGAGAAGUGGUUUAAAUAUAAUCCUCCUAUUGAAGUGAAAGUAGUUGCACCUAUUACAGUCGAAGAAAAGACUAUUACCUAUAGUGAUCCUAUUGUUCCUACUGCUUAUGUUGAAAAACCUCCUUUUCCUGUUAGGAUAAAGGAUCAUGCUAAAGCUUCGACUAUUUUUCGAAAGAGUAAUACUAGGACUUAUACACCUCCUGAGCAAAUUAAUGUUGAACCUAGUAUUGCUAUGGUUAAAGAUCUCUUGGAUGAGGAUUUAGAUGGGCAUGUUAUUUCUUUCUUGGGUGAGACUGCUAAUAUUGCUAGACCUGAUACUAAGACGCGUAGACCUGUCAUAGGCACGCCUGUUAUUUCUGUUAAAAUAGGAGAUCAUUGUUAUCAUGGCUUAUGUGAUAUGGGUGCCAAUGCUAGUGCGAUACCUUAUGAUCUUUAUAAAGAAAUUAUGCACGACAUUGCACCCAUUGAAUUAGAAAACAUUGAUGUUACUAUUAAGCUUGCUAAUAGGGAUACCAUUAAACCUAUUGGGAUUGUUAGGGAUGUUGAAGUUUUUUGUGGAAAGGUUAAAUACCCUACUGAUUUUCUUGUUCUUGCUUCCCCACAAGAUGCCUUUUGUCCCAUUAUUUUUGGUAGGCCCUUCUUGAAUACUGCUAGUGCUAAGAUUAAUUGUGAAAGGAAUAUUGUUAAUGUUGGCAUAGAUGGUAUGUCUCAUGAGUUUAAUUUUGCUAAGUUUAGUAGACAACCUCGUGAAAGGGAACCACCUAGUAAGGAUGAGAUUAUUGGUCUUGCUUCCAUUGCUGUUCUCCAACUGAUCCGUUAGAACAAUAUUUACUAGACCAUGAAAAUGAUAUAUUUAUGAAGGAAAGGGAACAAAUAGAUGAAGUGUUCCUUAAACAGGAGCCUAUGCUGAAACAUAACCUUCCCACUGAAAUUCUUGGGGAUCCCCCUCCACCCAAGGGUGAUCCCGUGUUUGAACUUAAGCCAUUACCUGAUAAUCUGAAGUAUGCUUAUGUUGAUAAAAAGAAAUAUAUCCCGUUAUUAUUAGUGCUAACCUUUCAGAGGAAGAAGAAGAAAGAUUAUUGAAAACUCUGAAGAAGCACCAUGCAGCUAUUGGAUAUACUCUGGAUGAUCUUAAGGGCAUUAGUCCCACAUUAUGUCAACACAAGAUUUCAGUGGAGAAAGAUGCCAAACCAGUUAGAGAUCCUCAAAGACGAUUAAAUCCCAAGAUGAAGGAAGUGGAAAGAAAGGAGAUACUAAAGCUCCUUGAGGCAGUUAUUAUUUAUACCGUUGCUGAUAGUGAAUGUGUAAGCCCUGUCCAUUGUGUCCCUAAAAAGGGAGGUAUUACCAUUGUUCCCAAUGAUAAAGAUGAAUUAAUCCCGCAAAGAAUUAUUAUAGGUUAUAGGAUGGUAAUUGAUUUCCGUAAGUUAAAUAAAGCUACUAAGAAAGAUCAUUACCCUUUACCUUUUAUUGAUCAAUGCUAGAAAGGUUGUCCAAACACACACAUUUUUGCUUUCUAGAUGGUUAUUCUGGCUUCUCUCAGAUACCUGUGUCAGCGAAGGAUCAAUCUAAAACUACUUUUACUUGCCCUUUUGGUACUUUUGCUUAUAGACGUAUGCCUUUUGGUUUAUGAAAUGCACCUGCUACCUUUCAAAGAUGCAUGAUGGCUAUAUUCUCUGAUUUUUGUGAAAAGAUUUGUGAGGUAUUCAUGGAUGACUUUUCCGUCUAUGGAUCCUCCUUUGAUGAUUGUUUGAGCAACCUUGAUCGAGUUUAGUAGAGAUGCGAAGACACUAAUCUCGUCCUGAAUUGGGAAAAGUGUCACUUUAUGGUUAAUGAAGGCAUUGUCUUGGGGCACAAGAUCUCUGAGAGAGGUAUUGAAGUUGAUAAAGCCAAAGUUGAUGCUAUUGAAAAGAUGCCAUGUCCCAAGGACAUAAAAGGUAUAAGAAGUUUCCUUGGUCAUGCCGGUUUUUAUAGGAGGUUCAUUAAGGACUUUUCUAAAAUCUCUAGGCCUAUGACUAAUUUAUUGCAAAAAGAUAUCCCUUUUGUCUUUGAUGAUGGUUGUGUAGAAGCUUUUGAAACACUUAAGAAAGCUUUGAUCACUACACCUAUUGUUCAGCCACCUGAUUGGAAUUUACCUUUUGAAAUUAUGUGUGAUGCUAGUGAUUAUGCUGUAGGUGUUGUUUUAGGGCAAAGAGUUGAUAAGAAAUUGAAUGUUAUCCAGUAUGCUAGUAAGACUCUUGACACUGCCCAGAGAAAUUAUGCUACUACUGAAAAAGAGUUCUUAGCAGUUGUGUUUGCAUGUGAUAGUUUAGACCUUAGAUUGUUGAUUCCAAAGUUACUAUUCACACUGAUCAUGUUGCUAUUAAAUAUCUUAUGGAAAAGAAAGAUGCUAAGCCUAGACUCAUUAGAUGGGUUCUCUUGCUCCAAGAAUUUGACUUGCAUAUUAUUGAUAGAAAAGGAGCUGAGAACCUCGUUGCAGAUAACUUGUCUAGGUUAGAGAAUGUUCUUGAUGACCCACUGCCUAUUAAUGAUAGCUUUCCCAAUGAAAAAUUAGCGGUCGUCAAUGCCUCUCGUACUGCUCCUUGGUAUGCUGAUUAUGCUAAUUACAUUGUUGCUAAAUUUAUACCACCUAGUUUCACAUACCAGCAAAAGAAAAAGUUCUUUUAUGAUUUAAGACAUUACUUCUGGGAUGAUCCACACCUUUAUAAAGAAGGAGUAGAUGGUGUUAUUAGACGUUGUGUGCCUAAGCAUGAAUAGGAACAGAUUCUACGUAAGUGUCACUCUGAAUCUUAUGGAGGACACCACGCUGGAGAUAGAACUACAAAUAAGGUACUACAAUAUGGUUUUUAUUGGCCUGCUCUUUUCAAAGAUGCUCGUAAGUUUGUCUUAUCCUGUGAUGAAUGUCAAAGAAUAGGUAACAUUAGUAGACGUCAAGAAAUGCCUAUGAAUUACCCUCUUGUUAUUGUACCGUUUGAUGUUUGGGGCUUUGAUUAUAUGGGACCUUUUCCUGCCUCUAAUGGUUAUACACAUAUUUUAGUUGCUGUUGAUUACGUUACUAAGUGGGUAGAAGCUAUUCCAACUAGUAGUGCUGAUCAUAACACUUCUAUUAAAAUGCUUAAAGAAGUUAUUUUUCCGAGGUUUGGAGUUCCUAGAUAUCUUAUGACUGACGGUGGUUCACAUUUUAUUCAUGGUACUUUCCAUAAGAUGCUUGCUAAGUAUGAUGUCAAUCAUAGAAUCGCAUCUCCUUAUCAUCCGCAGUCUAGUGGUCAAGUAGAGUUGAGCAAUAGAGAGCUCAAAUUAAUUUUGCAAAAGACUGUGAUUAGAUCUAGAAAGAAUUGGUCCAAAAAACUUGAUGAUGCAUUAUGGGCCUAUAGAACUGCAUACAAAAAUCCUAUGGGUAUGUCUCCUUAUAAGAUGGUUUAUGGAAAAGCGUGUCAUUUACCUCUUGAACUUGAACAUAAGGCAUAUUGGGCUAUCAAAGAGCUCAAUUAUGACUUCAAACUUGCCGGUGAGAAGAGGUUAUUUGAUAUUAGCUCACUUGAUGAAUGGAGAACCCAAGACUAUGAGAAUGCCAAGCUUUUCAAACAAAAAGUCAGACGCUGGCAUGAUAAGAGGAUACAAAAGCGUGAGUUUAACGUAGGAGAUUAUGUGUUAUUAUUCAACUCUUGUUUAAGAUUUUUUGCAGGAAAACUUCUCUCAAAAUGGGAAGGUCCCUACCUUAUCGAGGAGGUCUACCGUUCUGGUGCUAUAAAAAUCAACAACUUUGAAGGCACGAAUCUGAGGGUGGUAAACGGUCAAAGAAUUAAACACUAUAUUUCAGGUAAUCCUAUCAAUGUUGAAACUAAUAUUAUUGAAACCGUAACCCCUAAGGAAUACAUAAGGGACACUUUCCAGAACGUUCCAGACCCCGAAAAGGCAUAGGUAUGUGGUACGGUAAGUAAACCGACUCCAAAACAACUCCAAUGGAAAUUUUUAUCAGUUUUGGAUUAUUUAAGAAUUUUAGGAAGAAAGAAUAAGUACGAAAGGGACACGAGGCUCCCACGAGAGUGGAGGGCCCGCCCCCCCUAUAGGGCGCGCCCCCUGUCUCGUGGGCACCUUGUGUGCCUCCCGGACUCCGUUUCCUUGUAUGUUACGUAUUUUGGUCGGUAAAAAUUCAUUACAUAUACUCCCGAAGGUUUUGACCGCCGUAUCACGCAAAUAUCCUUUGUUUUCGUUUUGAGCUGUUUCUGUUGCAGAUUUGGAACAAGAUGUUGUUCCAAGAUUCUGAGGUGGAGAGCUACAUAGCUGAUUAUAUCGCAAACCCAAAAGUUUGGGGGGAUGUGGAGCAUUAUGGCUGGACCAUGGAGGAAGAAGAAGACUAUGAUCCAAAGGGGAAGGAGGAGACAAGCUCCGAUGAAUAGGAUGAUCCACUACCUCAACCUGGCGAUAUGCAUGUGGAGUUCAAGAAGUCAAGCUUCCCUAAGGUUCAAUCUAUCCCACCAUGUUUUUUGCAGGACACCAAGGCGGCAUUAUGCAAAAAGAUAAUGAAACUUGAGCUCGAGAAUGAGGAUCUGAGGGAGGAAAAUUUUAGCCUCAGACGCAAGCUAGAGAAGAAAAAUGCAACAACUCCCACUUCACCACCUCCGAGGAAAUAAUCACAUGGGUAUGGGCACUCCCCUUGGCAACUGCCAAGCUUGGGGGAGGUGCCCCGGUAUCAUAUCAUCAUCACACUCCUAUCUUUACCGCUUUAUUUAGUUCGAUCCUUUUAGUAGUGUCUUGAUUUAGUAGUUUGAAGUUUUGAUAUCAAGUAGUUUGAGUUUUGCAUUGUGAUCUCUUUAUGUAAUCAAAUCCAUGUGCUAUCUAUAAUAAAGUUUAGUGUUGAGUCAAGGCCUUUGCUAUGUGCUAUGAUCUUGAGAAAGUAGAAAGAAUAAAAGAGUUCAUAUUGAUCUUAUGGAUAGUGAUAACUUCACACAUAGAAAGUAUGAGGCAUAAAAAUUGUUGAGAGUUGAUGAAUGUAGCCUUGGUCAUCGUUGCAAUUAAUAGGAAGUGAUAAGGAAAGAGGGGUUCACAUAUAGAUAUAUUAUCUUGGACAUCUUUUAUGAUUUUGAAGCACCCAUUAAGUAUGAGAUGCUAAAAGAGUUGAUGUUGGACAAGGAAGACAACGUAAUGGUUUGUGACAUCUCAGUUAAAGUAUAUUGUCAUUAACCUUCCAAACAUGUUGAGCUUGCCUUUCCCCCUCAUGCUAGCCAAAUUCCUAGCACCAAGUAGAAAUACUACUUGUGCUUCCAAAUAUCCUUAAACCCAAUUUUGCCAUGAGAGUCCACUAUACCUACCUAUGGAUUGAGUAAGAUCCUUCAAGUAAGUUGUCAUUGGUGCAAGCAAUAAAAAUUGCUCUCUAAAUAUGUAUGACUUAUUAGUGCAGAGAAAAUAAGCUUUGUACAAACUUGUUGUGGAAGUAAUAAAAGCGACGGAUUGCAUAAUAAAGGUCCACAUACAAGGGGCAAUAUAAAGUGACGUUCUUUUGCAUUAAGAUUUUAUGCAUCAACCCUAAACGCGCAUGACAGCCUUUGCUUCCCUCUGCGAAGGGCCUAUCUUUUAGUUUAUGUUUUUACUUUAUGCUUGAGUCAAGGUGAUCCUCACCUUUCCCUUUUUAUUUUUAUCCUUUGGCAAGCUCCUCGUGUUUGAAAGAUCAUGAUAUAUAUAUAUAUAUAUAUAUAUAUAUAUAUAUAUAUAUAUAUAUAUAUAUCCAAUUGGAUGUAAGUUAGCAUGGGCUAUUAUUGUUGACAUCACCUAAAGGUGAAUACGUGGGGAGGCGACACAAUAAGCCCCUAUCUUUCUUAGUGUCCGGCUGAAACUCUAUAAGCACAAGUACUGCGCGAGUGUUAGAAAUUGUAGGAGACUACGAGAUAGUUGAGUAUGUGAGCUUGUUGAAAAGCUCUAUUAUUGACUCUUUCUGAGGUUAUGAUAAAUUGCAAUUGCUUCAAUGACUAAGAUUAUAGUUUGUUAGUUCCCAAUGAAGUUUUUGAACCAUACUUGACAUUGUGAAUUGCUUGUUACUUGAGCAUAGGAAAUCAUAUGACAAAAUCGAUAUAUAUUCCUGUUAUUAGAAUGAUCAUGAUGCCCUCAUGUCCGUAUUUUAUUUUUAUCGACACCUCUAUCUCUAAACAUGCAGACAUAUUUUUUCGAUUUCGGCUUCCGCUUGAGGACAAGCGAGGUCUAAGCUUGGGGGAGUUGAUACGUCUAGUUUUGCAUCAUGCUUUUAUAUCAAUAUUUAUUGCAUUAUGGGCUGUUAUUACACAUUAUAUCUCAAUACUUAUGGCUAUUCUCUCUUAUUUUACAAGGUUUACCAUGAAGAGGGGGAAUGCCGGCAGCUGGAAUUCUGGCUGGAAAAUGAGCAAAAGUUGGAAACCUAUUCUGCACAACUCCAAAAGUCUUGAAACUCCACGAAACAACUUUUUGGAAUUAAUAAGAAUUUCUGAGCAAAAGAAAUAGGCCAGGGGGCCCACACCCUGUCCAGGAGACAGGCCCCCCCUAUAGGGUGCGCCCCCUAUCUCCUGGGCCCCCUAUAUCAUCACUUUUACCCUGGAAAAAAUCGUGGGCAAGCUUACAAGACGAAACUCCGCCGCCACGAGGUGGAACCUUGGCGGAAUCAAUCUAGGGCUCUGGCGGAGCUGUUCUGUCGGGGACACUUCCCUCCGGGAGGGGGAAAUCAUCACCAACGUCAUCACCAACGAUCCUCUCAUCGGGAGGGGGUAAAUCUCCAUCAACAUAUUCACCAGCACCAUCUCCUCUCAAAACCCUAGUUCAUCUCUUGUAUCCAAUCUUGUAUCAAAACCACAAAUUGGUACCUGUGGGUUCCUAGUAGUGUUGAUUACUCCUUAUAGUUGAUACUAAUUGGUUUACUUGGUGGAAGAUCAUAUGUUCAGAUCCUUUAUGCAUAUUUUUACUCCUCUGAUUAUGAACAUGAAUAUGCUUUGUGAGUAGUUAUGUUUGUUCCUGAGGACAUGGGAGAAGUCUUGCUAUUAGUAGUCAUGUGAAUUUGGUAUUCGUUCGAUAUUUUGAUGAGAUGUAUGUUGUCUUUUCCUCUAGUGGUGUUAUGUGAACGUCGACUACAUGACACUUCACCAUUAUUUGGGCCUACAGGAAGGCAUGGGGAAGUAAUAAGUAGAUGAUGGGUUGCUAGAGUGACAGAAGCUUAAACCCUAGUUUAUGCGUUGCUUCGUUAGGGGUUGAUAUGGAUCCAUAUGUUUAAUGAUGUGGUUAGGUUUACCUUAAUACUUCUUUUGUAGUUGCGGAUGCUUGCAAUAGGGGUUUGUCAUAAGUGGGAUGCUUGUCCAUGUUAGGGCAGUACCCAAGUACCGGUCCACCCACAUAUCAAAUUAUCAAAGUACCGAACGCGAAUCUUACGAACAUGAUGAAAACUAGCUUGACGAUAAUUCCCAAUGUGUCCUCGGGAGCUCCUUUCUCAUUAUUAGAAAUUGUCCAGGCUUAUCCUUUGCUACAUAAAGGAUUGGGCCACCUUGCUGCACUUUAUUUACUUUAUUUACUUGUUGCUCAUUACUAUUUAUCUUAUCACAAAACUAUCUAUUACCUACAAUUUCAGUGCUUGCAGAGAAAACCUUACUGAAAACCGCUUAUCAUUUCCUUCUUCUCCUCGUUGGGUUUGACACUCUUACGUAUCGAAAGGACUACGAUAGAUCCCCUACACUUGUGCGUCAUCAAGCACCAACAAAUAUUUCCCGGUAGAUCUCCCUGAAGCUGCCGAUGAAAAUGUUGCCAAAAAGGAUGGUGCACUUGCCGGUGAGCAGCAACCUCAAGCAGAAUCUCAGAUUCUUGUCAUCGAGGUUAGCGCUCCCGCGGAUGAAGAGAUGCCUUUAGUCCUUAUUGUUGAGCCAACAGGCUCUAGCGUGGGCCCAACAGAUAGUUCAGUUUCUCCAAUCAGGAGAACUUCCCAAGGAACAAGAGCGAGCUGAAAAAGUAGCCCGUCAGUCAAGUAUGUAUCUGUUUGUGGACAACAUCCUGUGCAGAAAGAGACCAAACAGAGUCAAAUUGAAGUGCAUUUGCUAGGAAGAUGGACUGAAGUUGUUGGUGGAGAUACACGGAGGCAUAUGUGGUUCCCAUAUAGGAUCAAGAGCCCUUGUCGAGAAAGCUUCCUGGUAAGGUUUUUAUUGGCCCACUGCCCUCCAGUAUGCAACUGAGCUAGUAACAAGAUGUAAAACAUGCUGGUUCCAUUCAAAGAAUAUACAUCAGUUGGCACAAGCCCUCCAAACAAUCCCUCUCUCUUGGCCCUUCUUGGUCUGGGGAUCGAUAUCUUGGGCCUCUUCCCCUAUGCUACCGGGGGAUUUGAGUUCUUGUAAGCUGCUAUCGACAAGUUCACAAAGUGGCCUAAGGUAGAGCCGGUGAGGAAGGUGACUGCACAGUCAGCUGUCAAGUGUUUCAAAGGAUUAGUUGUUGGUUUGGGGUUCCAAACAGAGUCAUCAGUGAUAGAGGCACACAAUUUAUGAGCCGCACCUUCAUGCAGUACAUCCAUAGCCUUGGAAGCAAGGUUUGCUUUGCAUUCGUUGCUCACCCAAGGAGUAACGAGCAAGUAGAAAGGACAAAUGCUGAAGUGCUGUGCAGGCUCAAGAAAAGAAAUUUUGACAAGCUGCACAAGUGCGGGAUGCAAUGGAUUGAUGAGUUGCCAGUGGUUCUUUGGUCACUCAGGACAACAUCAAAUCGAGCUACUGGCCAAACAACCUUCUCCCUAGUCUAUGGUGCAGAAGCGAUACUACCCGUGAAACUCAUAUAUGGGUCACCUCGAGUACUUGCCUAUGAUGGAGUAGGGCAAGAGCAGCUCUGGCAUGACGAUGCUGUGAUCCUCGAGGAAGAUCAUCUUCGGUUGGCUGUGCGAGCUGCAUGCUACCAACAAGCUUUGUGCCGCUAUCAUAGCCGCAAAGUUCAUGCCCAAAGCCUUGAGGAAGGCAACCUUGUCCUUCGGCGCAUUCAAUCCGCCAAGGGAACAAACAAGUUGACACCAAAGUGCGAGGUCCCUUUUUGGGUAGUACAAGUCACCAGACCCGGCGCAGUCCGUCUGGAGACCAAAGAUGGUGUGUGUGUGCAAAACUAGUGGGAUAUCGAGCAUCUUCACAAGUUCGAUCCGUAAGGCACCGUUGCCAAGCCUCAUCCGAGCAACCCCUUUUGUACAAGGAUAGUCUUAUAGACUUGUAACUCUUUGAACAAAGCCAGGCGCAUAACCUGUGCAUAUCUAAAUAAUGCUAAGUGCUCCAUGUACUUUCAUGCAUAUUUACUUACGUACUAAUGCAUAAUAUAGUGUGAUAGUGCUUCGUUUGAAUGAAAUGACUAAUAUACCGCCAAGGUAUCACAUUACUGUGCUUAUCCUUUCUAUUUUCUUCAAGUGCAGAAGGAUUCUCCGCAUACAUGUUUCCCAGGGAGGAAUGAAAAUGGAAUGUUGCAUUGGCGAUUCAUUUCAUUUCAUGUGAUAAGAAGUACAAUAAAGAAAGAUAAGUUAGAAACUUUCCUUGCACAUCCCUAUAUUCAUACGAAAAACCUGCAUGCGAAGGAAUCCUGCUGCAUUUUGUCUCGCGCUCUAGCUCUACCUUGAGUUUGAUCGACAAUCUGUGCAGCUAUGUUCAAGACCACAAGUUGCUUUGCUGGUGGUCGUGCCCCGGCAAGCUUCCAUACAGUUAGGGUACCAAAAUUGAAAAUCGUAUGAGGAUGGAGGCGGGCAAGGAAGAAAUUUCUUUUCAUUAUUUGAGCACAUUGAAUAUCAUACAAUUUUUGAAAAAUGAAAAGUGAUCGGUAAUGCCUUUCUUGUCCCUCUCCUCCUAGGGUUUACAUUGAGUGCAAGUAGUGCAAAAGAAGUGCCUUGGUAGAGCCCUGUUUGACCCCUGCCAGGACCAGAGGUACGCAGCUCGACGGGAGCCCCGACAGGGAAGACGAAGCCAGGGUCUAGGUGCAGAUGAUGGUGCUGAUGGCGCCCAGCUAGUGAUGAAGGUGCUGCCGACGUUCAGCUGGAGUCCGAGUCAUCAUCUUUGGACUUGACUUCUGAAGACUCGCUAUCGUCGUCUUCACCAUCUGCAUCCUCCUUGGCACUAUCGCUCAAGGAGGAGCUUUUGUUGUCGCUCGAGCUUUUCGCGUAGCACCCUAGACAAGCGCUUGAAGGCUUGAAGAUCUUCACGGAGAGCGUGUUGGCCUCCACCAGCUUGAAGUGGAGGAAGUUCCCCUCCGCCAAGUAGUGGGCACGAGCGAAAGAUUUCCACCCACGGGUGAGGUACGUGACGCCGUUUGCGGGGAACUCCAUGUUCACCCAAAUGAUGCCACUCCAACCUCAUUGAGCUUGUGCAUCAAGCUACAAAGGCGGAAUGUCAAGUGCAAGAUAACUUCAAGUACGCCAAGUACUCAUCCAAGAUCUACGGCUUCUCCAACAUCCAAGAUUCAACGACUCCUUCAACAUCUACAUCAACCAAGCGUUCUCCAAGAAACGACGACAAGUCAAAUUACAAGAAAACUUCGGCAAGUUCAAGUCGUCUUCCUCCUACUACAGGCAACUUCAAGCUGCGUGCUUCAUCAUCUACGCCAACCGAUGAGACCGUCAAAACAAGCUCCUUCAAGUGUUUCACUUGCGGUGGCCGAGGCCACAAGUCCUUCCAAUGCACGAACAAGCGCGCCAUGAUCCUCAAUGACGGCGGCACAUAUGACUCAAUGAGUGAAGAGGAGAUGGAAGCCCUUGAGCAAGUGGCCAUGCACCGGCGCGUGAAUGAGGAUGAAGAUGAUCAAGUCUUUUGUGAUGAGGAUUUGAGCCCCGCUCUCAUUGUCUCCAAAGUCUUGACACUUCAACAUCAACAAGAAGAAGACCAACGAUACCACAUCUUCCAUACUAAGGCCGGCAUCAAUGGAAGGUCUGUCAAGGUCAUCAUCGAUGGAGGUAGUUGUCACAACUUGGCAAGUGAAGAACUAUGCUCCAAGCUUCAAUUGGUUAAGAGGAAGCACCCGCACCCCGACAAAGUUCAAUGGCUAAGUGACUCCGACACUAUACGAGUCGAGCAUACGGUCCAAGUCUCCUUCAAAAUUGGUGCUUAUGAAGACACUUUGGAGUGUGAUGUGGUCCCAAUGACCGUUUGCCACCUCCUUCUUGGUCGACCAUGGCAAUUCGACCGUGUUGUCAUACACAAUGGGCGCACCAAUCACUAUAGCUUCAAAAUGAAAGGGAAGGAAUAUGUGCUACGACCUAUGUCUCCUAGUCAAGUGAUAGCCGACAUGCAAGCCACUAAUCAUGGAGAGAAGAGUGAAAAAGUGACACACCCAAAAGUGAGUGAGAGCCACAAGCCAAAUUUGAGCGCCUCUUCGCCUAGAGAGAAAAACCUCAUCCUAUUUGCCACCAAAAGUGAGAUGAGAGAAGUGUGUGAGAACCCAUCUAGUGUGAUGCACUUUGUCCUUGUGUGCAAAGAUGGAGAGCCAACAACUAACACUUCUCACGAGCUACCUUUAGUGUUUCAAUCUCUUUUGCAGGAAUUCCAAGAUGUUUUCCCCGAUGAGCUACCUCCGGGUCUACCUCCACUACGAGGCAUUGAGCAUCGAAUCGACCUCAUCCCCGGAGCGCCACUUCCAAAAAAAGCUCCAUACCGUGUCAAUCCCGAAGAAACCAAGGAGAUUCAACGGCAAGUACAACAACUCAUCGACAACGGUCAUGUACGUGAAAGCUUAAGCCCUUGUGACAUUCCUGUUAUACUUGUGCCUAAGCCCGAUGGAAGUUUCUGCUUGUGUUCCGAUUGUACACCUAUAAAUGCUAUUACCGUUCGCUAUAGGCAUCCCAUUCCUCGCUUAGAUGGUAUGCUUGAUGAGCUUAGCGGAGCCAACUUUUUCUCAAAAAUUGAUCUUAAAAGUGGCUAUUAUCAAAUCUGCAUACAAGAGGGUGAUGAAUGGAAAACCGUUUUCAAAACCAAAUUUGGCUUAUAUGAGUGCUUAGUGAUGCCUAUGGGUUUGUCAGAAGCACCAGGUACUUUCGUGCGUCUUAUGCAUCAUGUGCUUAGACCUUACAUUGGAGUCUUCGUUGUGGUUUACUUUGAUGAUAUUCUUGUGUUUAGCAAAACCAUGAGAGAGCACAUUAAUCAUGUUAAAUCUGUGUUGCAAACCCUUCGCAAGGAAAGCCUUUAUGCGAACUUGAAAAAAUGCACUUUUGGCAUUGACAAAGUGGUUUUCUUGGUUUUGUUGUCUCUUCCAAGGGUGUCCAUGUUGAUGAAACUAAGAUUAAGGCAAUUAAAACUUGGCCCCAACCCACCAAUUUGCAACAAGUGCGUAGUUUUCUUGGUCUUGCAGGAUUUUAUUGCCGCUUUGUGAAAAACUUUAGCACAAUUGCCACUCCUUUACAUGCUUUGAGUAAGAAGAAUGCUCCUUUUGUUUGGGGAUCUUUGCAAUCCACCGCUUUUGAUGAGCUCAAGUCUUUGCUUACUCAUGCUCCGAUUCUUGCUUUGCCCAACUUUGACAAAACUUUUGAGGUUCAUUGUGAUGCAAGUGGUACCGGAAUUGGCGGAGUUUUGAUGCAAGAAAAACGAGCCAUUGCAUAUUUUAGUGAAAAACUCUCCGGUGUUCAACUUAAUUAUCCCAUCUAUGACAAAGAAUUGUAUGCUUUAGUGCGUGUGCUACAUGUUUGGGAACAUUACCUUAGACCUCAUGAAUUUGUCAUCCAUACCGAUCAUGAAACGCUUAAGUACUUAAAAGGUCAAACUAAGUUGAACAAGCGUCAUGCCAAAUGGAGUGAAUUUUAUUGAAUCUUUUCCUUAUGUGAUCAAGUACAUUAAGGGUAAGGAAAAUGUAGUUGCGCAUGCACUUUCACGCAUAUGCACACUUGUCACUCAACUUGAGUUGAAUGUUAUUGGUUUUGAGCAUAUAAAAGACUUGUAUGAGCAUGAUCCUUCUUUUGCUACUCCUUAUGCUAAGUGUUUGACACACACGUCUUGGGAACGCUACUACAUAAAGAAUGAUUAUCUUAUGAGAGCUAACAAACUAUGCAUUCCCGAGUCUUCUCUUCGUUUGCUCCUUUUGCAAGAGGCUCAUGGAGGUGGACUCAUGGGACAUUUUGGACGCGACAAGACUUUCGCCACGCUCUCCAAGAACUACUUUUGGCCCAAGAUGUACCGUGACGUCUCACGCUUCACCAACCGUUGCUCUACAUGUCGCAAAGCUAAGUCUAAAGCUCAAUCCCAUGGUCUUUACAUGCCACUUCCUAUUCCUUAUCAACCUUGGGAAGACAUUAGUAUGGAUUUUGUACUUGGUUUGCCUAGAACUCAAAAUGGCAAGGAUUCCGUCUUUGUUGUUGUGGACCAAUUUUCUAAGAUGGCACAUUUCAUUCCUUACAACAAGAUAGACGAUGCUUCACACGUUGCAAAUCUCUUUUGUAGGGAAAUCUUGCGUCUCCAUGGAGUCCCAAAGACAAUCGUCUCCGACCGCGACGUCAAGUUCUUGAGUUACUUUUGGAAGACCCUAUGCGCCAAGCUCGGAAUCAAGCUAUUGUUCUCUUCGGCAUACCAUCCUCAAACCGACGGCCAAACGGAGGUGACGAACCGUACACUCUCCACUCUACUUCGCGUGUUGAUCAAGAAGAACAUCAAGGAGUGGGAGGCAUGUCUACCCAUCGCCGAGUACGCCUACAACCGUGCAAGGCAUUCGAUGACCGGCAAGUCCCCCUUCGAGGUUGUCUACGGCUUCAACCCAUUGUCCCCAUUGGACAUUCUACCUCUUCCUCUACAAGAGCGCACCAACCUCGACACAAGUGCCCGUGCAAACUACAUCAAGAAGAUGCAUGAAGAUAUAGGGCACACCAUCGAGUGCCAAGUACAAUGCCUCGCGACCAAGCUCAACGUCAACAAGCAUCCCAUGAUAUUCAACAUUGGAGACUUCCUGUGGCUACACCUUCGCAAGGACCGCUUCCCCAACGAACACAAGUCCAAGCUUCUCCCUCGAGCCGGCGGACCCUUCAAGGUGCUAGCACGCUACAACAACAAUGCUUACAAAAUCGAUCUCCCACGUGACAAGUACAAUGUGAGCGACAUCUUCAACGUCUCCGAUCUCUCCCCGUACCAUGGUGAUGAGGAUUUAGAUCCGAGGUCGGAUCUUUCACAAGGGGGGGGGGAGAUGAUGCGGAGCAUCCUUCGGUCAUCCCCAUGGACCUUCCGUCGCCUCACCAAGCACCAAGAGGACCCAUGACUAGAGCACGAGCUCGAGCUCUCGAGACCGAGGUGACUUCUCUCCUUAGUGAAAUAUCAUAUGACCCUCUCGAGACAUGGCUACUACCUCAAUCCGGAAUUUUGUGCAUGAUUAGGUACCAGGAGGACCCUCCCGAGGAUGCACAUGAAGAUGGACAAGAACCCAAGUCCAAGGAAGAAGUGAACCAACGGAAGAAGGCAAAAGAAGCUUCCAGGCACCGGACAUCCGGCCAAGGUCCCGGACAUCCGGUCCCUAGAGAUCCACACGACCAGCUCCUGCAAAAGAAGGCUACAGCGACCAGACAUCCGGCCACCCACCGGAAAUCCGGCCUCCCACCCGGAUAUCCGGCCCAGGCUUCUCGAAUACACUGAAGAUGGCCCCAACAACCCGGACAUCCGGCCUACUGUCAGGACCCCGACUCGAUGUCACAUCGAUCUAGCCGGUAACACUUCAUAUCACUUUGCGGCCUCACGCACGGUAUUCCCACGGGUGUCGCCUUACCUUUGCCCGGGACCGUUUGCGCCUUUUGGCUCACGUAUAUGAUAGUGUCGCUAGCAUCCAUAUGAUAAAGAGCCCGGGCUGACAUGACUAGUCGUAAACCCAAAGUGGCACAGACUUACAGGGACAGGCAUCCAUGACCCAGCUUCGAACGUGUCGGUCAUCAGCAAGUGGGUCCGGGCUGUAGCACUGGGCUAGCAGGACUCCGAUAAACCGGGCUGUAGCGGGCUAACAGGACUCCGGUACUCAAAGCGUGACAUUUCCCCGAAGGGACAGACACAGGAACGAAGAAGGACACAUGCCGGCCAGCCUAAGUGUUCCAGAGCAGUAGCAAGCUACCAUGGCUCAGCGGUAACACUAGGAGACAUUUCCCGGUAAGAGAGGCUACUAAAGAUAAACAACUAGAUAGUCAGAACCCACACAUACCAAGCAUUUCAAUCAUACACACAAUAUGCUCGAUAUGUGCAAAUACAACGAAGCAUCACAACAUGACUCUAUGACACAAGUACUUUAUUUAAGGCUCAGGGAGCCAUACAUAUCAUACACACAGGUACGGGUCUCACGACCCAACAUACAAGUCAUACAGUCAUACAAGCCAACAGCGGAAGUACUUUGUCUGGGUACAGACAACUAGUAAAAUAAAAGAGGCUUGGAAGCCUAACUAUACUACGUGGUCCAUCACAAGCUCAGGGUCACCACCUGGGUCUUUAGCCUACUCGUUGAUGUCAACGUCUACAUAGAACCCAUCGGAAGGGGUUGCAGCGUCUUCUGUAAAAAUGUAGAUUAUAGCAACAUGAGUACAAAGGUACUCAGCAAGACUUACAUCAGAUCCUACAUACAUGCAUAGUAUCAAGAAGGGUUGGUGGAGUUAUUGCAGCAAGCCAGCUUUGACUCUUGGCUAGGCUAUCCUACGAUACUCCAACUGAAAUUGUUUUGCGCACACGAGUCCACUACUCACCACUUCAAUACACUACCGAGGAUCCACCUCCGUCUUCCUACGGAAGAGCCAUCCUCGGCACUCACACUUAUCUUGAGGCUUUUAGUAGUAUCCAUUUACUUGUCUAUGAACUGUAUAGGCAACCAAGUAGUCCUUUACCGCGGACGCGGCUAUUCGAAUAGAUUAUGAUAACCCUGCAGGGGUGUACUUCUUCAUACAUGUUUCCACCACUUAGCGUCUGCACACGACAUGUGCUCGGCAGACUUCAAGCGAAAGCCGACGUGGGUGUAGACCACGACCUACCUAAACACUUAAGCCUCUAGUCCAGGUUUAUCGCCUAUUCAGGUUCCACCCGCAGGGAGUCCGGCCGAGGUUUCCCAUACGGCCCCGAACGAUGUGAACAGGGUUCCCGAGAUACCUAACGGGUAUUCGGUACACCCGGCCACGUACCUACUGCAUCACAGCCCACCCCUACGGUCAGCGCUGUCCACGGCCUCCAGUAGGCUACAAACACCAGAAACUACUUGCAACUCCUGGACAGAGUGCUAGGGUGAAUAAGAAGUCGAGCGGGGUCAUAUUUCAGGGCCCAAUGUAUGGUAGUAGCUGAUUCUUAAAUCACACAUACAGAUCUCAGUGCUUAAGGUCGGCUUCAAUGAAACAACCCACCAUGUACUCCUACAUGGCCUCUCAUCGAUACCUUUACCAAAUCGUGUUCACCACACCACUCUCAUUACCGACAUAAUCAUUUCACUCUAGCCCAUCACCCAGAUGAACCAGACCUUACACGACUCUAAGCAUAGCAGGCAUAGCAAGGUAGGAACAACACAUACAUAUGGCUCAAUCAACUCCUACACAUGCUAGUGGGUUUCAUCUAGUUACUGUGGCAAUGACAGGUCAUGCAGAGGAAAUGGGUUCAACUACCGUAGCACACAGCAGUUUGAAUCGCGUUGUCUUAAUGCAGUAAAAGAGAGCAGGAGCGAGAACAUGGGAUUGUAUCGAUAUGAUCAAAUGGUUGGUUGCUUGCCUGAUGGUUCGUUGCACGGAUACGGUUCUUCGUUAGGGUAAUCACGGUACUCCUCGGGAACAGAUCCUGUCGCAAAGGACACCGAUACACAAACAUCACCAAACAAUAUGCAACAAUAUGAUGCAUGCAUGGAACAUGGCAAUAUGAGUGUGUUGGGCUAAUGCAACUAAAACCAGAUGGGUUUGAACAAAUUUGAACCAAAGAUUCAAAUUCCAAAUUCAAAUAUGGCCUUUUAAAGUGCUUUUCCUUGUUCUGAUUAAAACAUCAAUUUAACUUGUUUGAUCAUGCAUGAAAAUAGUACAGAUGGAUAGAUUGGAUUUUUCUGAUCAUUUUUCAUAUAUAAUUUGUCCAAUUUGGAGUUACAGAAUAAAAGUUAUGAAUUUUUGAAGUUUAAAUAAUAUUCUGGAAUUUCCUGAUUUAAUUUAAAUCCAGAAAUUCAAUUACUGCGUCAGCCUGACGUCAGUGUGACGUCAGUGGUCAACUGUGGCUGGUUGAAGUCAAACCUGACGUGUGGGGGCCACACGUCAGUGACAGGGGGGGUUAAACAGAUUUAAAUUAAUCCUAAUUACUAAUUAGUGGCGCUGGGGCCCACUGUCAGUGUCAGGGGGGGUUGACUAAUAGUAGUUAGCGCUAACCUAACCACCUGGCCGACAGGGCCCACGCGUCAGUGACCCUGGGGGGUCAAACCCCAGGUCGGUCAAGUCAAACCCCACCGGCGACAUGACGCCGGCGAGAUCCGAGACGGCGGCGAGAGUGCUUUUUGCCAUUCCGGCGACCAAAUGGACGGCGGAAGGCAUCUACGUGUUGCUGAGGUUGAGCCGCGUCUAUUGGUGGUGGUGGUUGGGCUCGGGGUGGCCGGAGUUGACGGCGGCGAGCUCGGCUGCGGCGGCCGGAGUUCGGGUGCGGUCGGGAUCAGUGUUGCAGGGGGUUUGGGGAGGCGUUGGUGCGUUCUACGUGCUCCUGGUGAUGUGUGGAGCACGAUGGCGAGCUCGGUUGGGCGCUACGGCGACCGUGGCCACGACGGCGACAUCGCCGGCGGCGUGGAGCUCUCGGUCGAGGUGGAGCUAGGGCCUAGAGGUCGGGAGAGACCAGGGAAGAAGGGGGAAACGCUCCGGGGGCUCACCGCGGUUGCAGUGGGCGUCGAAGCGGGCUUGGGGACGCGCCGGAGACGACGAAUUUGACGGCGACGGUGGUCGGAGUCCGAAGGGGGGAACGGCGACGUGGCGGCGAUGCAGGGCUUCCGGGGACCCGUGGAGCGGUGGGGAGGAAGAGGGAGUUGUGGCGGAGCUUCUGAGCUAAUCGGGGGAGCGAGGGGUGGUCGGAGGCGGUGGCUAUGGCGAACGGCGGCGACGGUCGUGUUCGGCCGAGCGAGAGAGAGAGAGCGAGAGAGAGGAAGGAGAGAGCCAGGGAGAGUGAGAGAGAGCAGGGGGGAUCGGGACGGGCUGCGGGCGUCGUCCACGCGGCCAGGAGGGCGUCGGCAAGCAGGAGGUGGCCGCGCGGCCGCGCGCGCGCGAGCACGCAGCAGCUUCGGGGCGUGGGGAGGAAGACGACGGGGAGCUACAGUGCUGGGCUGGGUCGGUUGCUGGCUGGGCCGGCCGGCUGGCUGGGCCGCACAGGUAAGUCUUCCCCUUUCUUUUCUGUUUUCUGUUUUUAUUUAAUAUAUCUGCAACUUUGUUGAAUUAAAUAAAAUACCUAGGCAAUUUCCAAAAAUCACCAAACUACUCCUGGCUCAUAGUUGGAUUAUUUCCAACAUGAAACAUUUUAGUUUGGAGAUAUUUGAGCAUUUAAAUAUUUUAUAUUAUUUUAAAUGCCCAAAUUCAAAUAGUUAUGAUUUAAUUCAAAAACCCUAGGAUGGCCUAGGAAAAUGUGCACCACUUUUGCAGAGGUUCUGAACCAAGACAAAAAUGAUGGGCAUUUUAGAAGGGCAUUUCAGGUUCAUUGAAAAUUAUUUUAGUAAACCCUAGUUGGUUUCAGAGGGGGCUGGGGGUUCUGUCAUCCCCAUUUCAAGUUUCUGCUGAAAGAGUAAACAUGAUGCAACACUCUAAUGCAUGACUAGCUAGGGUGUGACACCUACUCACCGGACAUCGGGCCCCUCCGGAAGCAUCGGACAUCGGGCACCUCCAGCCCGGACAUCCGGCCCCUCGUGAACCACCGGACAUCCGGCCCGACGCCCGGACAUCCGGCGCCCCUGCCUGCGCGCAGCCUCUUUGGGCAGAGACCCGUGUACCCCUUCGCCCCUUGACUAUAUAUACUCCCUCCGCCCGUAUGUUUUAGGGUUAGCGUUGAUUUAGCUCAGAUUAGAGAUAGAGCUUCGCUCAUCCAUUGGAUCUCCUCUUCGUGAGAGAGCGCGGCCUCCUCGGAGAAGAUCCAAUCGGAUUCAAGACCCCCUCGUGGGAAGAUCCCCUCGUGGAUUCAAGACCUCCUCACGGAGAAGAUUGGUUACCUUUGUAUCCUUACCUUUGUUGAUUGUGGAUCAUAUGUAUCUCUUUGUGUUCGGUGAUCUAGCACUCGUGUGAUUGAUUCUAUGUCGGUUUCGUGAUUCUCUCUCGUUUUCCCGGUGUUUCCCCCUUUGUGCUUCCGUGUGUUCUUCGUGAUUCCCCGUAGGAUCCACUCCAAACGUGAAAGAUCGUCCACAUAGGGUUCCGCCCUACAUCACUUCUACACCACAUUUCCUACCACUUCGGCAUUGUUAAGAAUGCACAAGGACACGCUUGCAAGGUGACAUCAUUCUUGAGCUUGGAUAUUGUGGAUCAUACUUCAUGUGUUGCUUGCACCAUUUGCACGCAUGUUCGAGAUAUUGCUUUCACCCAUGAUUGCCACAUUUCCAUGCUUCAUGAUAUAUAUACCUUGUGUGUUGCAUCCAAUUCUUGGACUACUUGCUACUAUCAUAUGCGGUUGCACCAAGAUCAUUUCUUCACAUAUGCCAUGUUCCUUUGCUUGUCACAUGAUUCACUUGAUUGCCUCACACAUGAUGAAAAAUUGCUCUUUCUAUUGUGUUGAGUGCCACACUAUAUUCACUACACCCUAUGCAAAUUAUGCUUGGAUUGUCUUGCACUUGACCCAUGUGUUUAGACACUUCAUUUUAUUUGGUGUUGUGAAUGAUUCUUAUGCCUACCAUAGACCUUUGAUUGAGCAAUUUGUGAAUGCUUGCUAUGACCUCGAGGUAGAUGCUUAUUAUCUUGUCACACAUACUUGCAUCUCUACCUCACAUUUGCAUCCUUGUCCCCUUGAUAUCUUUGCUUGUGCUCAAUUGAUAUGCUUACAUGCCAUGUCACAAUCCUUUGUCACACCCGAUGCUAUACUUGAUGACGACACUUGUUUGGUGAAUCACCUCUUGAAUGCUUGGUUUUGCACUAACGCUAACCACAUUUGUUUUUCCAAGUGUUUGUUGUUCUUUCUUCUUUUGAAGGAAUCACUAGACGGUGCGGCAUUGGAGAGUUCCCAUUUCGAGUUUCAAGAUGAUGAGUGCUUGGUGGCCGACCACUUCGAAACGGCACCGCCAUCUCUUUCCCAUGGUGAUUUGGUUUUCGAUCCGAGGUCAGAUCUUUUCCAAGGGGGAGGGGAUGAUGCGGAGCAUCCUACGGUCAUCACCAGGUCAAGAGUCCGUUUGGCAAGUGACACGUGCGACCUCUACUUCUCAUACAUAAAGGUGAAUCUUCUCCUUUACACGUGUUCACUUGACCCCUUCGAGGAUGGUAUACUACUUGACACUUCUCCCGUGUGCAUGCAUAGGUAUUGUUGGAGCUUCACGGAUGUCGAGGAGGAGUGCAAGCGCCAAGGAACCACUACACCAUCCGCGAGGGAAGCCUGGAAGCGACGACGGAAGAAGAUGGAGCUGCUGAAGCUACAUCGGUCGGACAUCCGGGCCAGAGGCCGGACAUCCGGCGCCUGGACAGCCGCGCCGGAGCGGCCCCAACAGACGGCCAAAAGCAUCAGCGGCCGGACGUCCGUUGCCAGCCCGGACAUCCGGCGCCUCAGCAACGCCCGGACAUCCGGCGCCUCAGCAACGCCCGGACAUCCGGCGACCAACCCCGGAACUCCGGCGCCCCCUGUCCAGAGAACACCGAGGCCGACCUCGCCAGCCCGGACAUCCGGCCCGUGCCCCGGACAUCCGGGCUCCCGCGAACGGCCGGACAUCCGGGCCCAAGCCCGGACAUCCGGUGCCUGCCUGCAUGCAGAGUCGGGCCAAAGGCCGAUGUAUCCCUUCCCCACUUAUCCCUUCGUGGCUAAGACUAUAUAUACUCCUCCCCUCCUCCUAGUUAGGGUUAGCAAAAUAUGAUAGCUCAUUCUUAGGUGAGCUUUGCUCCUACCUCUACUCUUGAGAGAGAGAGAGACACUACCACUCCCAUGGAGUUCAAGACCUCCAUGUGAGAAGAUCCCGCGGGAUUCAAGCCCCCUUCGUGGGAAGAUCCUUCUAGGAUUCAAGCCGUCAUCUCCUUCAUAGGAUUUGGGAUGAACUCUACCUUGUAUCUUUCUCUUUGUUGUUCAUGUACCUUGUGGAUCUUGUAUGUUUGAUUGUCUAGUGGAUGUGUGAUUGGACUUGUUCUUGAGUAUUUCCCCUUGUGAUUUCUCCCUGUUCUUCCCCGUAUUCAUCGUGUUCUUUGAGGGAUCCCACUCCAAUCGUGAAAGAUCAGCCUAUACCGGGUUAGCCCCGUAUCAACUAAGCAUACAUGCAAUAAUUGGAGGCGAGCGACAAUGAACAAGAUGUAUCAUGUGAGAGGCAUGAACAAAUAUGAUGAGGACAUGACUACCUUGGAUACGACCAAAAAUAUUGCAUACAUGCAUAUUUGUCAGGUGAUUUCUAGUGCAAACUAUUCAAUAAUCUAUUUAUAUUAUCCAGAACUAAAAUACUUCACACACUUUUGUGUUUUGUCUAAUUGCAGGUGUAUGGGACAUUUGUACAAUUCACAUAUGAAGAUAAGGGAGAAAGAGAUGUUUAAGCCCUGUUCAAAAAGUUCUCUCACGUCACUUUUGGGCCAAGAGAAGAUAGAGGUCAAGUCUCUCAUGUUCUGGAUUCAGAUUCGGACUGCACAGACAUACCUGACUUAAAACGCCAACAACUUUUUCAUACGGACUCCGAAUUGGGUGAUUCUAUUUUUGUUGGAAUCUAGAUUUUGUGCUCUUUCCAUCCCAAUUGGAUUCACGUUCAAAUUCGUCCGGAGCGUUGAGAUAUCAGUGAAACAAUCAGACGCUGCAGCAGAAUCUGAGUCAAACAACAAGUCCAAAGGUGUUGCAUCACCUUCACUUGGGCCCAUGAGCCUUGUACGACCUAGGGUUCGUUUUAGGAUGCCUUGGGACGUUCUCUCACCUCCUUGGCUGCCACCCCUUCGUCCUAUAUAAGUAGAUCCAUCUAGUAGCUUUUUCCUUGGGAUUUGUUUAGUUAAAAGUUAGCCAUUGCAACUUCGUGUACUUCAUUUGUGUCCAACGACCAGACCAAGUGAUGAGGACAUGACUACCUUGGAUAUGACCAAAAAUAUUGCAUAUAUGCAUAUUUGUCAGGUGAUUUCAAGUGCAAACUAUUCAACAAUCCAUUUAUGUUAUCCAGAACAAAAAUACUUCACACACUUUUGUGUUUUGUCUAAUUGCAGGUGUAUGGGACAUUUGUACAAUCCACAUAUGAAGAUAAGGAAGAAAGAGAUAUUUAUUUGCUGUCCAAAAAGUUCUCUCACGUCACUUUUGGCCCAAGAGAAGAUAGAGUCCAAGUCUCUCACGUUCUGGAUUCAGAUUCGGACUGCACAGACAUACCUGACUCAAAACGCACACAAGUUUUUCAUACGGACUCCGAAUUGGGUGAUUCUUUUUUUGUUGGAAACUAGAUUUCGUGCACUUUCCAACCCAAUUGGAAUCACCUUCAAAUUCGUCCGGAGCGUUGAGUUGUGGACGAAACAAUCUGAUGCUGCAGCAGAAUCCGAGUCAAACUACAAGUCCAAAGGUGUUACAUCACCUCCACUUGGGCCCAUUGGCCUUGUACGACCUAGAUUCAGUUUUAGGCUGCCUUGGGACGUCCUCCCACCUCCUUGGCCGCCACCCCUUGCUCCUAUAUAAGUAGAUCCAUCUAGUAGCUUUUCCUUGGGAUUUGUUUAGUUAAAAGUUAGCCAUUGCAACUUCGUGUACUUCGUUUGUGUCCAACGACCAGACCAAGACCGCUUCCGGAUCCCCACCAUUAUCAAUACUUCAUAUAUAUUUGCAAUAUUCAGAUUGCUUUAUCAUAUUCUUGCUCGUUCUUCGAUUGCUUGCAGGAAUAGACCUUCGUGGUCAGGCUAACCGUGCUUCCAGCAUCGUCAGUAAUCUCAGGAGAUUGGUUUAGCGAUUGCUAAGGCGCAACAUCGUGCACGUUUGUAGUCGGAUCAUCAAAGUCGUCUCCACCAAAUCGAUAGUUAUCAUCUCAUCGAAAGAUCGGGACCCUCGCCUCUAUCAAGUGGUAUCAGUUUUCAGGUUGCUCGGUGAGAAUUUCCAGUUUUCCUAGAUUAGAUUUAUUUUCUUACCUAUUGUCCGAGAAAAAGCCACAAAAAGAGUUAGAUCUAUUCAUCCUUGGUCCAAGCCAGUCUGAGCCUUUGCAAUUUUCUUUUCAUUGCUUGCAUAGUUGAAUUAUCGGUUGCAUCGUCGUGUCGAGUUGCCGGUCUUAGUGUCUAGUUCCUUUAGAGUUUUGAGUUCUGUUCGCAUUAGUCACGCAGCCGCUGCAUCAUUAUCCCAUCCGUUGUCCACCAUCCCAUCCACCAAUUUCCACCAUGUGUUAUGCACUGUUUAUUGUCAUAAUCAUAGUUGAGGUCACUCACAUCUUCGCCUGAUCGAAUCUGUAUCUUAUCUAGUUUGUCUUGGAAAGAGGGAG
rnacentral:lncRNA from 1 species